rnacentral:lncRNA from 1 species
GGGCGUGUAUGUCUCAUACCUUGGGGUAGGGGGUAUCUUGACGCGGGUUUGACCCACUGCAUUGACUGCCUUGGGGCGAGCGUUAUUGUGGCGAUACCCUUGGUUAUCGGGAUAGUGUCCCUUACUCUUUUUACUGAAAGGAGAGUGGUGAGGAUGGAAAUCCUUCCUCUUGCCUUGAAAUUGAUAUGUCUGUUGAUUCGGUGAAGCAUUAUGCAAGGCAUGGGGAGGUGCCACUGCUGUUUGGGAAGUCGAGGUCUUCUCAUUUAGGUGAGUCUGGCUUCCACCUCCCACUUGUGAUAAAGGAUGGUUGUAGGGGGUUUCUCCUGAUAUGUCUUUGCCUCGGCGGAGGCAUGGUUAUAAAGCCUGCGCCAUUACCUCAGAGUAAGUCUUCCAAGUAUUGGCAUUGAUCAUGUAUUUAAAGAAACAAUCACGUAGGCCUGCCGUGAAGGCUUUGAGGGCAGUCUUGUCGUCUGCCUCGGCACACCGGGAGUAUUCAUGGCUGAAGCGGCCAGCAUACAUACGUAAUGACUCGUCUGGCUUCUGGCGGAUAGUGUACAAGUCAUCUGCAGAGUGCAAGCGAUCGGUUUGGAAAAUGUGUUGGGAAACAAAUAGUUUCCUCAAUUCCUCAAAUGAGUCUACCGUCUCAGGUGUAAGACGACAAUACCAAUUUAGAGCUCCACCAGAGAGGGUGGAGGGGAAGAGAAGACAUCGCUCGUCGUCGGUGUGCAUCCGGUAUGCCAUGGUGGACACAAAGAGGUUAAGGUGCUCAAUCGGGUCCUCUUUUCCAGUAUAAAGUUGCAAGCCAAGCUUUUGCUUUGUCUUUGCUUGAAGGGGGGUGUUGAGGAUCCUCCUUGUAAGAGGGCCAGGCCUGGGUUGGUUCCAGUCAGGUAUUUCAGCCUGACGUUCAGCCUUCAACUUGUUUACUUCCUCAAGAAGUUGUAGGACAAGGGGGUCCUGAGCGGAGUUAUGUGUCACUGGAGCUUUCUUUCGUAAAUCUCCAUCUCCUAUUGGAAUUAGGAAGGUUUGAUCAAGGGCAUGUGAUUUUUCCCUGGACUCGCUGUACUGGCUUCCAGGGUAUGUCUGUCGGAACACCUCUGAGUCCCCUGUACCCCUCAUGUCUCUCUAGGACUUGUUGCCCCUUCCCCAAAUUGGUGGCCGGCUUGGGCCGUGGCAGGGGACCGAGGUCUCUCAGAAAUCCUUGGGUCAUUGAUCUUUGAGCUUAUAUGGAUGGAAUUCUCUCGACGUUGCUUCAGGAAAUCCCGACAAUCGCGAAAGACGGCUUUCGAUCCUUCUGCCCCUUCAGCAAAGAGGUGUCUCCCUCCACUUCUCAUGGUUCGGGUCGAAGCAACUGGGUUAAGAGAAGCCUCAUGUUGAUUAUCAAGUCGAGGGGUAAUCUGUUCCCUAUCAGGGAUAUCUAUGUCGAAUGCAUGUGACCCUCCAUGUUGGAGGGCACCCAGUUGAUGGUUGACUUCCACGGGGGCAACAAGCUCGCGUGUCUGAGCUUGCCUAGCUUCGUGGAGUGUCUCGAAGAGCUUCUCAUAUUGCUCCUGGAGGACCUCAUUCCUCAUUGCUAUCUUGUUGUUCUGAGCUUCCAACUCAUCGACUUUAGCUUGAAGAAGAACUCGUUUUCCUUCCCUUCUUUCGUUGUUUCGCACUAUGUGCAAGGGGGGUGUCAUUCUGUGUGCUGUGGCUUCCUUCGCUUCCCAUGUUGGAGAGGGAUGCCUGAUCAAAAGAAAGUGUACGAAUGAUAGAAACCAGCUUGACACAGCUGAAGAGAGUAGGAAUAAGUGUCGUUUCCCACAGACGGCGCCAAAUGUUUGAUGCACAAAAUCAGCGAAGACUUUGGUACAACAGAAAGUGUCAGGUUUUGUGACCUUCGCUUGGUUGCUUGGUUGCUUCAGUCACUAGUGAGGAUAAGUACGUAAAUGAAUAGAGACAGAGAAGCAAACACAGGAUGUACGUGGUUCACCCAGAUUGGCUACGUCCACGGAGUAGAGGAGUUCUUAUUAGUAGUGAAGGGCUUACACAAGUAGAAAGGAUCAAGCUCUCAAUUUAGUGAGUUCUUGUGAAUGAUUUAACACAAAAUGGCAUUAGGCAAUAUUGUGGGGGAAUGACCCCUAUUUAUAGAAAAACUUGUAGCUUUGUCACAUUGACAUGUGUCAUGUUGUGAUUGGUUCUUGAUGUCGACACGUGCUGCGCUCUGAUUGGCUUCUAAUCUUGACACGUGUCGAGUAGUGAUUGGCCUCCUGGUCGGAGGGGAACUCUUCUGGGUCCUUGACAGUAUAGCGUUGGCCGGUGCUCGGUAGUUUCGGGAUUGGUCAAGUAUGGUACAAACAAAUUCCUUGCUAAUUUAUUGGGUGCUAAGUAUUAUUGGAUCGAGAACAUGAUUUGUGUUAGUUUUACAUAUAUAAAAUAAAUGGGUAAACGGUUACCCGUUUAUAACCGUGGUUAAUACUCAUAACCGUCCAUUUAAGUUUCGUGAGUAAACGGUUAUACCCAUAAUUGUUUAUUUAUGUAAACGGUUACCCAUAACCAUAACCGUUUAAUUUAAAUAGGCGGAUAACCGCGGUUACCCAUAACCAAUGGGUAUUUGCUCAUCCCUAGUCUUGACCUGCAACACCUCCUCCGGCGACGCGCUGUCGACCACGGGCAGUGCAGCCCAUGACUGUCCGAAGACAAAAAGAUGAAGAUAUGUUGUGUGUUGAGCUAUGGGAAGCUCUCAGUAGAGACUUGCGUACUCCUUUCACAUAACACAAAGUUUUCAUCAAAAUAUGCAGUCCAAGCUCUUGUCUAUCAGCAAUCCAAGCUCAAAAGGUUACUCCACACAACCAACAAUCCCAAGUCCUACACCGACUCCCCUUAUAGCGCCAUAACUGAGGCCGAAAAUAGAGAAUUGAGGAAAGAUGAUGCCAAUGUACAACUUGUGCUUUAUGCUGGGAAAAUCGAUCUCUCAAAUGACAAUGAGAAGCUCAGAGCACAUCUGCAAGGCAUGCAGUGCAGGGUCAUGGAAUUGGAAAAACGUUGCAAGAAAAUGAAAUCUCAAAUGGCGAAGUUUUCGAAAUCGAAAACACCAAGCCACACCCGGGCGAUGCAGCCCAUGACCCGGUUCGAAGCAACCCGACCCAAGACAUCAAACGGCUAGAGGAGAGCCGCGUAGUGCAACAGGCGUUUAACUUUGUUGAUUGGUUGAGGUAGAGAUUGGAACUCGGAUAUCAAAGUUUGGAGUUUUAAGGGGACGAGCUCGGCGGUUUUGGAGGAGGGGGAGAGGGUGAGGGCGGAGCAGGAGAAGAUGGAGGCGGAGCCAGGGUUUUGGGGAGGCGGCGACGGGUGCUUUAAUGGGUUGGGAUUGGAAGACAGUAGCGUUUGGAUGCAUUUGAGGGAUUUGAAGGGUGUGGGCUGGGGAGUGGCCGGAAAGUGGUAUUUUCUCUGUCAAGCCUAACGGAGGAAUGACAAAAGAGCAUAAAUCCUAAUAGACUUAGACCACAAGGGUUUAAAUCCAAAUUUUUUUACCACAGGGGCUAUCUUCCGAAUACCUUAUGACCACGUGGACCAUUUAUCCGAUUAGGUCUUAUUUUUAUUUUCAACAUAUCUCUUCACGUGUGGUAAAUUUUCAAGCCUAGUAUGUAGAGCACGUGCAACCGUUGGACUUCACACAACAACUUGUUCUGAUACCUUGAAGAAAGUUAAGAUUUCACCAUAAAACCCUGACUUAUAAGUCCAUGCAAAGUCCCUCCUAUCUAUGUGAGAUCCAUUCUCAAUAAAAAUAAAUUACUAGCACUAUAGUAUAGGAUGUUGGCAGGUUGGGCUGGGGACAUGUAGAUGGGUCCAAGAAGGGCUGCAGGCCUUCUCAGGAGUUGGGCUAGGCUGCGUGUCACGCCCCGGACCCGGGGUCAAUAGGAAAAAUAACUCUGAAUCCGAAACGUGAGAUAAAAGCUAACUAAUUAAAAUAAAACUGAAAUAACGGAGUGAAAAAUAAAAUUCUUCUUAUUUAAAAUAACUCAAUAAUUAUUUACAAGGCUAAAUAAAUAAAUACAAAAUUAUAUCCUCACACUUAAUCUGAUCUCAUCCUGUCUACCCUUUUUUUUACUAUUUAGUUCUUAAACCUGCAUAACAAUAGAGGGGUGAGCUUCAACAGCUCAAUAGGGACAUAACUUUAUCACAAUAAAUUGAAAAUAUUAAAUUAAGUGUCAUAAAAUCAUGUAAUCAAGUACCAAAUCAUUAUCAUCAACAAUGCAUGAGUGCGAUACAAUACUCUUCAUCUCUACCCGUUAAUUCAUAUAAUAAAACACGCGGACCUGCACAUCGCAUACCAUGCAUUUUACCUCUACAGUAGUGGUUCGAAUGUUCUAAUAUACAAAUUAACCCCCUGUAACUCAAUCAUCCCAAUUUCCCUUUUUGUUAGUCAUAUUGCCAAAACCUUCGUCGCCAGUCCCGAAUUACCCUUAAAGAAUUUGUGUAUUGUGGGCUCGCCUGAGACCUAGUACCUGCUAAGAGUUUGGCUAAACUACACAAAGGAUCAUUUCCAACUACCCUCAUUUCCAGUUCCUUUCUCAACAUCGAACUUCCAACUAUUCUCAUACAUGAGUAAUGCACAAAUAAUCUCAUUUCAUCAUUCACAUGUACCACAACAUAUUCUCAGCGAAUAGCAUUUCACCAAUAAUUCUAUAACCAAUAACAAAUAAACACACAAGAGCAGUAUUUGUCCAAUUAGUAAACCAGAUCACAUUAAUCAACCAACAAGAUCAAUAACAAUAAUAAUAUAAUGUUUCACGAAAUUUAAUAAAGCCAGUCUCCGUAAAGGUCUGCCAUAUUUCCCCUACCUGGAUUCCAAAGCAUAGCUCCGAGAUAAUAACACAAAGAAGUAUAAGAAAAUCACUAUAUGCAAGACAAGAACUUUAAUCCCAGUCAAAGCACUUGAGAUUACUAACUUAACAACACCCAUUUCAAAUACCCUUUUGAUUGAUCUAAAAUAAUGACAUGGUCAUAAGAGAACAUUUGAAUGAGUACAACUUGCAGAAAAAGGGACAGGUGAAAUACAAAUAUAAAUAUGCAUGCUGUCUUCUUGGUGUAUAAGCUGGGAACAUAACUUUAGCCAAUAAUUAAAUAAAGUCUUACAUAUGAUUAAUGAAUAAGUAAACUAAACCACAUAUAUAAGCAAAUUACCAAAUGUAUGACAUGAACUCUAAUCCUAAUUAACAUAUUUAAGUUUAGCGAUUCCGCAAUACUAAUUCACAAGUUAUUAUAUAUACAUCAACUCCAAACACAUGCUUUACUUGAUACAGUUGAAACUAUACCUAUGAACAUAUGCGGAUAGUUCCAUGCCGAGAAAGCUAGCUUGGUUUACUCUGGCUUGUGCAAAGUUAUAUGCAUGAAUACCAGCAUAUACGUAAAUAGUUUCUCUCAAAACCAAUAAGAAAGAUAUAUGUGCGAAUUAAUAUGCUCAAGUCCUCUUUUAUACAACAACCUCUAAUAAAGGGAAGAUAUAAUAUUUAGCAUGUGAUAAUUAUAUAUAGGCUCAAUCUUAUCACUUUUGUGUAGGUAAGAUGAUCUCCAAUUGUAAAGUCUGAUAGCCAAACGUCUAUGCAGAUAUACUUACAUAUAUACUACAAACCAACAGAGAUGAAACACGACUGAGUUGUACAAUAUAUAGAGCUAUGGAAAGACUAAAAAAUAUGAGAAUCAUUACCCAUAUUUACCCUGCUACAGAUUUGACACCGCCGAUUAAGAAGCACCUCAGCUUCCGGUUUCUUACACCCUUCUCUUUCUCUCACUCUCUUUUCCUCGUAAGAUACUAAUGUCCAAAACGAAAUGCAAGUGUAGCUCCCUAUUUAUAGUCAGAGAAGGCAGCAACUUCUUAGAGUGCUGAACAAGCACUUAGAGCACCUUGCUGGCAACACCCCAGCCACCCUUAUCCAUAUAUUUCUUUGGCCAUCUAUAAACUUCACACGUCCAGCUUGAAAGAGUGCUUAGCAAGCACCACUAAUGGCUGCCUUAGAAAUUGAGACACCUCAUAAGACAAAUAAAAUAUAAACUAGUAAAAAGAAUAUAAACCAUUACAAAAUUAAAAUGAAUAAUUUAAAAAUAUAGUUUUUAAGUCAAAUAAUACUGAAAAAGUCUAUUAGACUUAUUUGAUCAAAAUAAAUAUUUUUUUUAUAUAAAUAUAAAAUACAGGUCUUCACAACCUUCAAUUCCUUAGUUUCUGGUAAGAGUGUGCUAAUAACGUGUUGUAGGCAUAUUUGACUGAACUAUAUUUAGGACUAGAAAAGGGAGAGAGGCCGGUGGCAAGAAAGAGAGAAGAGAAAAAUUUAAUUGUGAGGUGUGUGUUGUAUCACCACAUUGUGCCUUUAUUUAUAGCAAUAUGAUAGAUUAAAUCCUUACCCUAAUAGGAUUACAACUAUAAUAGGAUAAUAACUACUAAAGGGAAUAUUCAGAGGUAUCACUAAAUACACUAGGAUUUACACAACACAUUCCUAUUCUAAAUAUGAUUGCAAUAUUAUUCAAUUUUUUUUAACAAACAAUAUUAUCUACACUAAGAGGGAGCAUGUGGGCUUAGCCUCAUAAUGGGCUAGCAAUAAUGUGGUUCAAAAUCGUUUUUAGUGAGAAUCGAACCUAAGAUGUCUAAUUUACAAGUGAAGAGGAAUACCACUAGACCGUAGUACUAAGUGACGUUAUUCAAAAUUUAAAAUAGAAUUCUCAGUCAAGUAUUGAAUUGUCCUUAUGAAAAAGAUUCGCGAUUGUAUUUUUUUUCUUUUCAUUAGAAAACAAAAUUAGGGGAAGGGAGGUUAUUCCAUUCCAAGACUAGAGCGUAUCACAAGAUUUUUUAAGGAUUCACAGAGGGGGCUUCAGUCUUUUUUUUAUUUAUUUAUAAAUUAUAUAGAUUUCACGCAAGAGGGAUUGUCGGCAACAGGACUCGAACCUAAGUCUUGAUCUAUUAAAGAAAAAUAUCUUUAUCAACUCAAAUAAUUCUGAAUAAAAUUUGUGUUUAUAUCUUACAUUUGAUAACUAUUUCAAUUUUUCGUUUCAUGUGCAAGUGAAAUUUCACUUGGUGGUCAAAUUGUGAAUUCGAGGUCAUAAUGAAUGGGCAAGUGAUAAAUAGCAUGUAGCAUGUUGAUAAAAAACAAAUCGAAGGUAUGAUGAAUUUUUGGUUGGCAAACGAAAAUUAAAAUUGAAAUUGGUUUUACACAGAUUUCAAAGAUUGCAUUGAUUUUGAAAUUGAGAAAUGUUAAGGAGAGUUUCUCGAACUCUCCGUCACCUUAUGUUUUUAAUUGGGUUCUUUAGAAAAUGGCCCUUGAAACUCUUAUUUUCCAAACAAAAACCCACCUAAUAUUAAAUAUCCAAAUAAAACCCAAAUUUCAAAUAGAGUACCAUGUAGACAAAUAUGUAACCAAUUAUUAUCACAUAUUUACAACUUAUGCCACAAAACCCUAAUUAUGUCAAUAAAUAUUAUUACUUACCCUAAUUAUGAUUAGUAAUUAACCCCAUAUGGAAAAUUUCACCUUUCUUGUAUGGUAAAUAUUAGGAAUAUUAUAAUAUAUAUAUAUAUAUAUAUAUAUAUAUAUAUAUUAUAUGUAUUAAUUUAACCAUGUUCAUAAACAAUUAUGGGCACAUUUUUCAUAUGAAAAAAAAAAUCCUUGUACAAUCAGUUAUUUUGCAUCAAAUAAUAUUGUUGGAUAAAAAACAAUAAAAAACCAAUUAAUAUUCUUUUAUGUUGUAGGUAAAUUAUUUUACCUAGAUUAUUACAUACGUUAGGCAUAUUUUGUUUGUUAUCAUAUAUGCUUGUUAAAAAUAAUUUAUCUAUAUUUGUAUGUAAAAUAUAAGUAAAUUAAUUUUGAAUCAAAUAGCAUUUAUUUUGUAGGUAAAUUAAAAUAGUAGUUCCAUUAUUUUGGUAAAGUUAAACAGUGCCUAAAUUAUUUCGUAAGAAUUAAACCAAGACAAAUUAUCUCUACUAAAAUAAAACAGUAGAUAUUCGACAAAAAAUAAAUAAAAAAUAAAACAGUAGAUACAUUAUUUUCUUAUAAGAUUAAACAAUAGGUAAAUUAUAUUGUAGGUACAUUAUGUUUGUAAUAUAAAAAAAAGAAAUUGAAAUUUAUAAACAAAAAGUAGUAGAUAUAUUAUUUUUUAAUCAAAUUUCCUUUAUUUGUAGGUGAAUUAUUUCAUCAUAUAUUUUUCAUUUUAUGCAUUAUUAUAUAUAUUGGGCACAUUUUACUACUAAUAUAUAUGUGUGCAAUAAUUUACCUAUAUUAUUAUAUAAAAUAUAGAUAAAUUUAUUUUGAAAUCAAAUAACAUUUUUUAUAUUACAAACAUAAUGUACCUACAAUAUAAUUUACUGGAUAUCCGAUCCCGUCCUACACCUAUUAGGACUAUGAACCUAGUCCUUAGCUAUUAGGACUAUGAACCUAGUCCUUAGCUAUUAGGACUAUGAACCUAGUCCUUAGCUAAGCUGGAUUAAUUUCCUGGAUAUCCGAUCCCGUCGAGACUCCCCAUUGCACUAGGAUUCGUCUUAACCGCCCUAGGUUUGGACUCCCACGGGUUGACCGAUCCAUGGUCCUUUUGCCGCCCGGCCUCCUGGGCCGAGAGUGAUCCUACCCUCGGCCCAAACUAUUAUUUUGGGCCCAAACACAUCCAUACAUAACAAUUGGUGUGGUAUAUUCAUAUCACAACAUAAUGAACAGUAAGAACUAGCAUUCUUGAGACUAGAACUCGUAGGGAUAAAAAUAGAUUACGGAUAGAAUCAAAUUUGCGAAUACAAUCUCCUUAGAAAGAAAAUCAUGUCUCAUAUUAGCCUGCUUUGGUUUCCUUGCGAAACUUUUGUUAUCGGGCUAGCAUACACUCUAUAUGUUUCUAGUGAUUCACAUGAUAUUAUCAAAUGAAAGUCUUGGAUAAGAAUUUAUAACGCACUAUGACGUUCUUGUUGACGAUCCUUUACUCCGAUAGCAUCUAGAGUUCAUCUCUUUGAAAUUGCUUUCGUUUUUCAAAAACCAACGGGGAAAUUCAGUUUUCAAAUCAUAAUUGUCACAAAAAUAAAUGUUUUCGUUCAGGAUUGUGGGUGACUUGUAAUACCAAAUCAUGUUAUGUGCCAGCGUAGAGUUUUACGUGGAGGUAAAACUAUAGUCCCAAUAUAUUUUCAUAUAGCUUUUAUUAAAGAACGAGAUCCACGUGACUUUUGGCAUCACCUAUUCUUCCUAGUCCCUAAAUUAUAGACCAUUAUUUAUUUAUGAUUGUGACAGUUUGUCACGAAUCAUUACGCUCGUACAAGGUUCUUACUCUCAUUAUUAAUGAGAGACUUAUUUUCUACACAUCUUUUUAUAUGUGGUGAAUUUUCAAGCUUAGUACGUAGAGCACGUGUAGCUUUUAGAAUUCACAUGACAACUUGCUCUAAUACUAUGAAAAAAGUUGAGGUUCCACCAUAAAAUCUAUUGGUAUAGAGAGUAUGCCAACUUACUUAUAAAUUCAUGCAAAGUCUCUCCUAUCAAUAUGAGAUUUAUUCUUAAUAAGAAUAAAACACUAGCACUACGGUGUAUUGAUAUUGUUCUGCAACUUGUAAGUGAUGAGUCUCAUAUUCAACUUCUACAAAUGAUGAAUCUAAUAUCUUAUUCUUGUGGCUAGUAGUGCGCGUCUUAUCUCAAUUCUCACACUAGCACUAUAGUCAGGUGAAGUUAUUCUCCAACUAUAUGUAAGGUGAACUUUAACUCUUAUAAACUAUAAAUUCAAAGGAAAAUUAAUGAAAAUGCUUGAAAACUUAUAGUUUUAACGAUAAGGAUAAAAUAAAUGGUAAAAUGAAUAGUACUAUGAUUGAUUUUUAAGUAUAAUAAUAUAAUUUUUUAUUAAAGUAAACAAUACCAAGAACUUUUCGAUAAAGUUUUCUAAAUUCAAUACCUAAUUACUAUGAUUAGUUAGCGUGCGACUUAGAACAUCCUUCUAGAGAAAAAGUAGAUAAUAAAAUUUUCUCCAGCAAACUUAUUCAAACUCUCUGACCCCAUCUUAUUUGCUUCACCAACUUAAAAAACCUGACUUAAUUAUUAGGCACAAUGUAUCAACUGACCAAUCGUCCACUUGUUGCGUAAGAACAAAACCACCAAUAUCAGUUUGUCAACCGUUUGGAUUUGAGAAUCAAAUUAGUAUUUAAUUAAUGAAGUAAUUAAGUUUACAAUAGUACCUGCAUAAUCCUAAAUCCUUGCGUACACUUCCGGAUUACAAUGUAUUAGUUCGUUCAGAUCAUAUUCUUAUAGGAGUCCUGGGUUGAUAUGUAAUUUAAUUUCUAAUUUACUCAAAAGGAACGAGUAAGAUGUGAUGUAGAAUAGAAGGUUGAGAGAAUCGAAGAACAAUUAAAAAUGCGUAAGGCCCAAACACUACAAAUUUAGACUUCAAAUUUUUAUUUGUGCCCAUAAUCUAUCGUUUCAAAGACAAUGGCGAGGUGAACAAGACACAAUGCUCGACGUAUGAAUAUUUUUGGCCAAAUUCCUUUGUUUACUAGCCUCAAACGAGAUUUUACAAUUUUUUGGACCCUUAUGUAAUUUGGUUUUCCCAUUUUUACUCUAAGAGCAACUUCACCGCUAAACAAACCCUAGGCAAUAGGCAACUCAAUCUCCCAAAGUGAACAACAACUGUCCUUAGUGAACCGUAACUGUCCAAGUGUAUCUCCACUCCUAAAUUGAAUAGCCCAGGCUAUUGGAAUUAAAAUAUUUGUUUAUAAAAUAAUAAAAGAUAAUUUUGUUUUUAAUUUUGGACGUUUAACCAAAUCUCGGUGGAAGAGCAAUGUUAGGUAUUUAUAGAACUAUAAAUUUUUUUGUUAACCUUUUCAAUAUUUUUAAUAAAUUUUCUGUAUUUUUUUAAUAAUUUGUAUCUAACCUAAUUAAUAUGGACCAUUUGAUUACAUUGUAUGAUUAAUCCAAAAGCCCAAUUUAGACACGUAAUUUCAACGGUAAUAAUAGGAUUUUCUCUUUUUAAUUUUUUUUUAAGCUCGAAAAAUUUGGACCAAUAUCUAACAGACCAGAUUCCGCCACGUGGACAAGCCGUUAUUUCGAAUCCAAAUUUUUUUAACCAUAAGAAAUCCAAUGGCCGAGAAAUUUAACGGUUGAAAAUCCGACGGUAAAGGUGCCGUAGCCCCUAAUUCUAAAGCACUGGGUGCGCCUGCAGCGCGAGCCCGCCCGAUUUCUUGUCGGCUCACCCACCGAUUGUUGCACGUGUAGUUCGCGAGCCCAGCACAUAAAAAAAGAAGGCUAAUAUGGCUGACGUCACUCUAUCCAGUCGUUGGGCCUGGAGAUUGAUAUGGGCCGGAGUUGCUCUAAAAACGUUUUAAGGCUAAGGGGCACUUUAAAAGUAACAAAUUCAACAUGUGGAGGGUCAUCAUUGCAAAUGAUUGUUACUUGGCCACAAAUGAGGCUUUUGUACCAAAGUUUCAAACUCUAAAGAAAAUGGAAUGAAAUUGUUGCCACGUGGCACGUCACUAGCUAGGUGGUUCAUAAAACUAAAGUCACGGCAGGUAAUGGGAUAACGAUUAGAAAAUUGCCUUUUGAAAUUGUUGCCACGUGGCACGUCACUAGCUGGCUUGGUGGGUCGCCAUUGCCUUUUGAAAAUUGCGCAUAAGGAUUUCAGACUGGUGAAGAAUUUGGGCGCGUUUGCCGUUCGAAAUCCAGUUGAUUGAUGGAGAAGGAAGGAAUUGGAUUCCAUUCAAAUUUACUUUAUAUAGGAAUUUUAAGAAUCCUUACAUUUUAAUCAUUCAUCGUAUAUCGAGAAGAUUAGAAAAUAUUUUACUUUUUUAUUUAAAAUUCAGCAUAAAUAAUAUCUGAUAAAAAUUAACUGUACAAUGUACGAUAACCGUUAAAAUGUGGAGAUUUUAUUUUCGAGAAGGGAGGGCCCAACGCAACGCACGCUUACCCUGACAGCGCAAUAUUCCAAUUUCUUCCUCAACUGCCUCUCUUUUUUCCAUUUAUUUAUUUAUUUUAAAUUCAUAAUGUUCUCUUGCUGUCUCUACUAACGUAAGCCGCAUGGUUGGUUUUUGUAAUCUCACGAUAUUCUACUCCCAUUUCACCUAGUCUCGAGAAGAACUCACAUCUAUUAACGCAUGUGCGAGCGAUCGCCAGUAAUAUUUGCCGGUAACAUAUUGCCUUAACAAAAAUCUCCUCAAGUACGUUGGAAUUAGAAAUUAAGGCAGACUAAAAUGCACCGGUUCUAAUUAUUUUCGUAACAAAAAAACCGAUAAAUGAAAAACUAAUUUGUCUUAAAAUCUUGAUUAUCAUCUCACACGUUAUCGGUUCAUUUUAGAGAUGAAAAUGCUAUUUACUCUUCGAAAAAUAAUAAUUAAUUUUUUCGCUUAAUCGCAAAUAAAUAAAAUAAAAUAAAAUACACAUGUUUUUAGACAAACAAUGAAUACCAGACAGCGAUUCUCUCUCCUCUCAUCUCACUCUCUUGUUUCCAGUUUCCACGCCCAGUUUUCCAUCCUGUCACGAUUUCCCCAAAAUUCAUUUUUCUGCAAUUUUUUGCUGUUAUUAUUUUUGAGUAAAUAAAGUUUCGAUUUUUUACCCAAGGAGUAAGACCGUGGAGGAUUGCAGUUAGGGUUUCGUCGUUAAACCUCCUGCAAAUCUCGUUCGGAGGCGACAGAAGCUGUGGAGUGUUUCGGAAUCGUAGAAAGGGGGAAGGUUAGGUUUUCUUGCGGACUCGAUUUGGGAGGGGUUAGUCUCUGGCGACAAUGGCCAGCAACUUGCCGAUGAGCCCGCAGUUGGAGCAGAUCCAUGGCGAAAUCCACGACAAUUUUCGAGCCCUCGCGUAUGUCUCUGUAUUUUCGAGUUAGCAUUUCGAUUUUCAUCGGUUACUGAAUAAAUUUCAGAGCUUUGAUAUUUCUUCAAGUGUUUGAAUUUUAUGAGCAUUGUUGAUUGUGUGAAUUCGAUGAUUUCUGAGAGUCCUAGAAUGUUUGACAUUUGACGAAAGAAAUUAGAGGGAUGGGAAAAUCAAUUUGCUUGUUUUGUAAUUCGUUUGUGUAUUCUUACGAAAUUUAGUUAGAUUGAUGACCGUAAACUGUAGUUGAGCAUUAUUGAUUUACCGUAGAUUCAGUUGCUAAGGCGAUUCGAAGAGGAUAUGUGCUUCCUCAGCUGUUCCAAUAAUACUCAACCUCUUUUCGAUGUUUUCGGGAGUGUUGAGUAACAUUGUUUCUCUUUGGAAACUUAAAGUGGGUGUCUUUUGGAUAACACAAAUAAAUUUACUAGCUUUCAAGACUCGAGUUGCUCUAUCGAUUUUGCACAUUGAUGCAUAAAGCAUUGGCAUUGGUUAUGCGAGGGAACCAAAUACUGAAGUGAAAAAAUUUAUUUUGGCCAUGCUCUUGAUGAUUCAUUACUACUCCCGUGCUACCUAGAGGGCAAUAAUGUUAUUGCUUCCACAGCCGCUUAAAUUUUUUUUGGCAUCCAUACUUGAAACCCGAGGGCAGCAACAACCAUGAUAUACUAUCUGGAAACUGAUGGAUAAUGAGGGAGAUAUUAGUCAAAUAGUAGCCAUUGCUUAGUAUUUGUUCUUUAUUAGAGUCUCAUUUAGCUUCCACUUGUUUAGGUGGUUGCUGAAACCAGAUGCCAUUGUUGUAUCACAGUUCUUCACUGCCUCCGUCGGACCCAGUGUACUCUUUAUUAUCACUAACCAUCGUGAUUGUGCAGUGCAUUUUGUUAAUCUCUCAUGUUUGUGUCACCAACUGCACAUGAUACUUCUUGUUGUGCACCAUCUUACGUGUUAACUGUUUGUCUAUUUUUCUUCUACAAGGUGUAGUCACUUAAUGAAAGAACAAUUCAUCUCUUUGCGGACUAUUUCUUUGUUUCAUUUGUUGGGGGAAGUGCUGGGGUUGUUGCACUAGAUACAUGUAUUCCACUUUCCGUAUUAAACUGAUCACGUUAUAAUUAUUGUGAGUUCGUUUUUUGUUUCAGAAAUGGCUUCCAGAAGCUGGAUAAGAUCAAAGACUCCAAUAGACAAAGUAAACAGCUGGAGGAACUUACAGGAAAGAUGAGGGAAUGUAAAAGGUAUGCCACAUAUGGGAUUUUACUCUCUGACCCUUUGUCUGAUACUUUUAGUAACUGAGGAUCUUGGACAAUCUUAAUUUUCACAUUCUUUGAAGAGAGAAAAUAAGACAGACAAAAUGUUGUCACAACAUCCAAUGCAAUGUCCAAAAUUCAACAAUUCUUGCUCAAAGACUUCAUUAGGUUACUUUGGAAGUUUGAAGAAUUAGUAACUUAUUAACAAAGACAAAUUAGGUUGGAGCCAUAAAAGUUUCCUCAAGUAUAACUAGGAUCUUGAUGUGAGCGACUUUAAGUCAUGCUUAUAUACAAGCCCCACAUCCUGUUCCUGGACUCCCAUGCAUCUCUUCAUUUUUUAUUUUUUUGGGGGAUAUUGGAAGAAUUCAGGCGUGCGAUGAUUGCCGUUAUGCUACAUGAAAGAAAAAAAUAGCUAAAAAGGGAAAUAGAAUCUCAGUUAUUGAGGUAUUUUGUUUUAGAUAAAUUGCAGAGUAUGAUCUUGUAAAUACUUUGUUUCAGAUUAAUUAAAGAGUUUGAUCGUGAAGUCAAGGACGAGGAGAGCCGAAAUCCUCCUGACGUGAAUAAACAGCUUAAUGAUGAAAAGCAAUCUAUGGUAAGUUGUUGUGAGCUUUUGUCUUUUUCCAUCACAUAAAUGCACAGGUACACUGUACCACUUGCAUUUUUACAAACUCUGUGACUACUUUUGACCGGUCUAUUAGUGCACAAGACCUUUCCGGGUACACAAUAUCUAUUAGUUUCUGCUAGUGUAACAACUCCAUCUAAUUAUCAUGCUUCAUUUUGCAGAUCAAAGAGCUGAAUUCAUAUGUGCAAUUGAGAAAAACGUAAGUCCAGUAUGCAUUCUAUGUUAUUGUCAAUACUAUGGAGUCUAAUUGGUUUAGCAUGUUGCCUUCAGUCCUAAUAUUCAUGGGAUAAAUAAAUUAAUCGACAAACACAACAAAUUAUUGUAUAUUACAGUCCUUGAAUUCUAAACCCUGUCACUCUUCGUGCUCUGGGUAUCUGUGAUUUUUUAAAGUGAUUUUCAUACUGUAGCUGAACUGCAGGUAUAUGAAUAGCCUUGGUAACAAGAAAGUCGAACUCUUUGAUAUGGGAGCAGGAAUUAGUGAACCCACUGCUGAUGAGAAUGUUCAAAUGGCUUCAGGUAGUUUUGUCAUUCUGCAUAUCUUUGAGCUUAGUUUGAAUUUGUAGAAAUGAGCUUUUUCCUAUAUCUCUUUCAAGCUUUAGCCGUUAAUCAUGCUAUGUUAAUCAGCAUGCGGUCUUUUAAUGAUAGUACAAAGUAAAGGUGUAUCAAACUUUGUAAAGAUCAAUCUGCUUGGACCAUUCUAUCUAUGUCUUCUUGUUUUGUGCCUGAUUUGAUGAAAAGAUUUGUCUGACCACCUUUCUAAUUGGCAUGUAUUUCUGAUAGCUAUGUCAAAUCAAGAACUAAUCAAUUCUGGGAUGAAAACAAUGGAUGAGACUGAUCAGGUCAUUGAACGCUCUAAAAAGGUGAACAGCUAUCCCAGAAAAAAAAACCUUCAACUUUAAGUUUGAGUAUUUUAUUUUGCCGGCAAUUUUAACUCGAUAGUUUGUGAUAGGUUGUUGAGCAAACAGUUGAAGUGGGAACUCAAACUGCUGUUACCUUAAAGGGCCAAGUCAGUGUGUUCACCUAUUGUCUCUAUACCUCUCAUUUCAAGAGUUUAGACUAACAUUGUUCAACUCCAUAACUUGUAGACUGACCAAAUGGGCCACAUUGUAAAUGAGCUGGACACAAUUCAGUUUUCAAUUAGGAAGGCCUCUCAGCUUGUAAAGGAGAUUGGUAGACAGGUCAGUGAGAUCUCACCCCUUAGAUACUCUACUUGUAUAUUUUUCUAACAAACGCUAUUUUUUUCCUCUAUAUUUUCAGGUGGCAACAGAUAAAUGCAUCAUGCUUUUUCUUUUGCUUAUUGUAAUUGGUGUAAUAGCAAUUAUUGUUGUGAAGGUAUGCUGUUUGAUUCAUUUAUCUAUUGCCGUAGAUUUGCUACCCAUUUUACACAUUUUUUUUAAUACUCAGGAAGUCACACAUUUAAGUUACAGAGAUAUCUGCAGAGUUGUAUUAUAGGAACUUUUUCCGGAGGAAAUUUGUUGAUGAGUUUGGCAAGUUAUUUCUGACGGAUUGUGAACCCUGCUACCUAUUUUCCUCUCCCUGUUAAAUUGUUAGUAAUGCAUGGGAAAAUUGAUGCUUUCCUUCUCAGGAGUGUGUUCAAAUCCUCCUGGCAAAAAAUUCAAAGUUGAGAAAUGACUACAUCUGUUCCUAACUGUAAUGUCUGUUUAUAUUUCAGAUUGUGAACCCCAGCAAUAAAAACAUAAGGGAUAUCCCUGGAUUGGCGCCGCCUGCUGCAAGGAGGCUUUUGUCAACGAGUCUUCUGCAACAGUUCGAAUAGUUUCCUCCUCUUUUUCAGGAUUCAAUUUUUCCGACAUAGGUACUAUGAUUCAUGUUCUGGGGAUGCGGAGGAGGCUCAGAGGAAUACUUGUGCAUUGAUCGGUCUUUUCUUUUACUUAUACAUUAUUCUUGCCCGAGUUGUGCAUAUUGUUUGUGAUUCUCUAUGUAAAUCACGCGUGAGUCCUUUUUUUUUUGCUUUGGUUUGAAUGGCCAUCCACGGUUCUUUCUGUAAUCUUUCCAAGACUGUUUUAGUUAUAGAGAGAUGCACUUUGCUCUAUAUCUACCUGCGAUUUAGAUGUAUUGCCUUCCAAUAUGUAUUCACAUUGUUUUAUUCUAAUUUCUAGUGAAUAUCGAAGCGCCUUGUUGCAAGUUCUGUGCCAUUUUCUGCUCCGUCACAGGUUCACACAAUGUGGGAGGGCCUGCGUGUUUCGAGUUCCAGCAAUAAACGGUAAUUACAACAGUAAACGAGAUUGAAGUCCGUAUCGAGCUUCAUCAACAGCGCGGUAAGUAGCAGUUUAUCCAAAAAAAUAUAACUCGCAAUUGAGAAUCAAUUCGUAACAUCUGAGACUACUCAUGAAUCAGAGCUCAUGUUCUAACCACAAAACUCCAGCAACAGAAAAAAUACAGAGAACAGACAGACCGCCGCAUGAUAAACUUUGGGUUUCUCCAUUACUACCUGGACUACAUAUAACAAGGAGAAAUGCGUAAUUCGUCAAGGCUCUUGACAAAUUAAUGGUGAGCUUGUUCACCCGAUGACCAUGGGUCAUAAGCUACCAUCUACAAAAUUCAACCGGCAAAUCAUGCAUUCACUUCCUAAAACCGAAAGUAAUACAACGAACUGCCCCCGUGGUUCAGCGCUUUAAAGUCUGUUCCCUGGAAAGAAUUAAGGGUCUAGAGUUUGAAAAGAAUCUGCAUACUCCGUUUCUGGACUUUCCUUUUCCAAACAUCAAUCUACACGCGAGUUCGUGAAUCAUGCGGCAUAGUUGCCAGCCUGUGUUCGUCCAAUGUGAGACAACCUUGUUGAUUGAGUUAAGGGUGUUUCUUCAUCAACAUCAUCAGAGGCUGAACCAGCCCCUCCAGGGAUAAAAAUAUCAGAGGACUUUUUCUCCAUCUUCCAAUCCUGUAUUGGCCAGCACAGAGAACACGUGUUACAAAAAAAUUAUGGGAACUUUAAUGAAAAGCUCCAGAUACUGUUCACUUUAACGAAAAACACAUUUUAACACUAAAAAGUCAAUCAUAAUACUAUUCACUUUACCUUUUAUUUUGUCUUUAUCGGUUAAUACUCAAAGUUUUCAAACCUUUUUCAUUAGUUUUCCUUUUUAUAAGGGGAUCAAGGACUCCAAACAUUUUACCGGAAAUCAAAUUCUAGAGAAAGCAAACCUUCGAAAUUCUCUCAGGAAUGCUUUCAGAAGGUAGCUGAGAUGCACGAACAUCCUUGACCUUUAUGUAAUUGUACAUGACAACACCACACAGCUGCAGGCCAAAUUGACUGGUCAGCCAAAACUUCACAUUUAAACAUGUAUAAAAUGCAGUUGUAACUUCGAAACUUUCAAGUUAAGAUAUAUGGAGAGCUACCUAUGGCAUAACCGAUUAUGUUCAGCCUGGUUAUAAUAGACUCUGGAAAUAUAACAGUUGAAAGGGCAAUCAAUAUCCAGUCUUUCAGAACACCAGCAACCCGGAUGGUAACUGCUCCAGUUCUACCAAUUACUAAGAAUAUGGAGAAGUUCAAAGCCAAAGCACAAAGAGCAUUGGAGAAAAAGAUCCAGAAGUUGAACUGAAACUGUGAAUAUUCUAUUGCAGACUUCUCAAGUAACAACCAAGGCACAAACAGGAAGACAAAACUGCAAAAAUAAAUGAAACAAUAAUGGUGAGAUGCUGAAGCUAUGGCAUGCCUGUCAAUAGUUUACACUUAAUUUUGAUUUUCCUGUUUCUACUUCCACAAGCAUCAAUGGAAAAAGUCAAUUGAGUACAGAACCGUGUUUAAAUCACAUGCAUCCAUCAAUAAGGAGAUGUAGAACUUCAUCAGAAUAAGGGUGUAAACAGAAGGAAUGGAGAUUUCCCAUGGUACAGAUGGAUCGUUCUUAUACUGAUAGUAAGCUUACCAAAAUUGUGAAUCCCAGCCAUAUACCAUAAGUUACAGAUUCAGAAACUCAAAAUUACGAGAAAUAGUAAGUUAAAGAAUAAUUGGCGUUCACUAUCAGAACUAAAUUCUAGAAAUGAGUCACUAUUCUCUAUCAAGAUUGUUACGGAUGCCAAAGAACUAAUAUGCUACUUAUUCAUACUUUGCAAUUGGAAAAAGUAGAGUUCAUAUAUUGCGAUUGGAAAAAAUAGUGUUUGCCUAAAUUCCAACUCCUAUGAUGCAUACAAGUCCAAGCAUGAUAGUAUAAUACCUGCAUGGGGCGAUAUAGUACAAACUGGUGAUUGGAUUUAGAGUCAAGCCCUUCUUCUGUAGAAGGACUUGUGUUAAGACCAGUCUAAGAGCUUCUGCAAAGAUGCCCGUAACCUGGUACACUGUACCAACUACAUUAAAAUGAAUCUCCCCGUAUGAGGAAAUGACAACUCCAACACUGACCAGCAACAUGUUUGUGAACACAUCGCACCUUGGUUUGUCAGUGCCACACAAUACAGCCAUGAUAAAAGUAGCCACUGGCACUGCAGUAUUGAAUGUACAUAGAUAUAAGCAGUCAUUUGCGUUUAAAAGCAUCAUUAUUGUAGUAAAAUAGAUAUCAUGAGUCUCUGCAUCAGCACACAUACUUAGAGCUUUAAGCAUUUGGAUGAACGCCACUGAAAUAUGCAAGUAAGCAGUGUUUCCAAACCUGUAAUGACAGAAAAAGAAAAGUUCAAAACAAAAAAACUUGAAUUCUCGUCUUGAAUCUUGAUAAGUGCAAUUUACAACAAUGCAAAACUUGACAAGCAUACAAUUCCUAAAUGUGGGCAUUGCAUUUGAGCCCAAAUCUGGACAACUCAACCAACAAGGGACACCAAUUCUUGAAGGAAGUUCGGACAUUCUACAUCAGGGAAUCUAAGCAUAAGUCCAUUGUUUACCACAAAAUGAGAAAUUGUAAGAGAACAGAUUGGCACAAGUAACAUUAAGUCUCUACGCAUUUUAGUAUUUUCAUCGUUGAGAGGCAUGAGCCUAGUUACAGUCAAAUCUGAAAAUUUUGACCGUAACCUUUACAUAAAAAUAUGACAAUAACCAUCUCAGCCAAAACAAUCCAUGCCCUUAUUAGUUGCAUUAUUAGCCAAAACACCCAAUUACAUUUCAAUUCAGUGCUUACCAAAGACUUGAUGCAAAGAACGCACUGAUUGGAAUUACACAUGUUGCAUAUCUGCCAUAUAAAGGGAAAAAAAAAAUAAGAAAAACAAUUUGGACAAAAAAAAUUAAUAACAAGUCGGAGCCUAAAUUCAGCCUACAUACUUACAUUUCAAAUGUCAUUUUGACAGGAGCUACAACCUGCAAAUUCACAGAGGAAUAAAUAAGGAGAACAAAAGCAAUAAAUGAAUACAACAAAAACAAAAAUAUGGAGUAGUGACACAUGCAUAACAGAAAACUGAUACUUGCAUAAGAUGCAGCCAAAAAAAAAAAAAAGGAAAGAAACUAGAGCACACCGUGUGUACCCUAACUCUGCACAAUUGAUGACAAACUAUAAAUUUUGAAAUUCAAUAAAAUUUCAAAAUUGGCUUCUAUAGCUCCAGUUAAAUCCUAUUUCACUCUGGCCAUAUAGGACAUCAGUUACAUGCCUUGUCCCGCUAUAGACUAACCUAACCCACUAUCUUUUUGGCAGUCUCCCUUCUCAUUCAGAGUUGGGUAGCAUCAGUUUCGAAAUCAUUCAUGUAUUAACUACUGAUAAGAGCAAAUUCAGGAAAAGCAGAGAAGGUAAGAAUCCUAAUGGACACAAACAGCAGACAUCAACUCAACCAAGAUCUCAAGGUAAUCAAAGUGAUGUGAAUCACAGAUGAGUUCCAGUCAGAUAAAGUUAAUAGCGAGGAUUAAUAUGUCAGGGAAAUUAUAUGAUAUCACUUCGAUUGUCAACUAAACGAAAAUCCACUACCUGUCAAUACGUUAAACUGGCUUGACAGAGAUAUCAACACCUAUGUCAAAAGUAAUUUGGAGAUACAAAAAGCAUAUCCAAAAAUAAAGAGUCAGUCAUACCUUGAAAACACGAACAAGUAAAAAUGCUACUAGUCCAGAAAAUCCCAUAUGAAUCAUUGUAAGUGAUGGGUAAUGGAAAAUUGAAGUAUUUUGGAGACAGAACCCACUGCAAGGAAAUUCACCCAGAAAAUCUUCAGUAAAACAAGGAGGAAAAUAAUAGCUCAGAGUUUCAGUUUAACCAAUAAAGACUAUCGGUAACCCGCAAUAUAGAUAUAAACAUGCAAAUCAGUAAUGGCAAGAUAUAAAAAUGAAGUACUGAGGAGGAAGGACCUUGUUGUACAAUAUAACGCCGGACGAAAGCAGAAUGUAGAUGAACAGGUAAAAAUAAGUCAGCAACAGCGGUUUGCUGAUCAUCUUGGGCAUUUUUUCUUUUAUCAAACGACCUAAUGUAUGAUUUUCUGGCCUUUAAACCAUCUUAUUCAACAUUUUUCACUCCGCAAAUGUUAUGCAGUCCUAAACCCAGAACCGGAAGAGGACCUCCUCGUGCCCUCAAUCACAGAUUUGUGUGAGGAUCAAAUAUUGCAAUGGCUGCACCGACUCGAAUGCUUAAAUCCUGAAAGUGAAGGCACAAAUGAGAGAAACAUACUACAGUACCAUACACCUUAACCAAACAACAAGGAAAGCAUCAAACAUUUGUUUAUUAAAAUAGUAGGAAAUGGUACAAAAAUUAAAAGUGGAAGCUGCAGAGAAAUUGGGGAAAUGGGCAAGCACAGAAUCUGAUCCAAGACACUUAGCAACAAGCAUUCAACAAAGAAUCACGCCAUGGUUUCUUCAAGAACUAACAAAACCAACAUUUCGCAAUUGGAAACCGAAAAGGGCAGAUCUAAAAGGGACCCAAAACAACAAAGCGAGAGAAGCCCAAUUCAGAUUCUGAUCCAAAACACAAAACCCAUGUCGAAUUCAAGACGAACGAGCUUACCCAACAGUCGAAAUCAACUGGAACUCGCUUCGAAUCUGAAAAACCCCCGCUUAAUUUCAGAGAUCUACCCACUUGGGAAAGAAGACAAAGCGACACGGAGUAAAGGAGAAAGAGAGGGAGAGAGGGAGAGAGAAAUGGGAUCAAGGACUGGGAAAUGGUUGGUGACAGUGGGUGGGCAAAUGAGUACAAUAAAUAAGGCUGGGAAAGCUAAGAGAGGGAAGAAAGUGGGGUUAUCGAUGAAUCACAGAGAGAGAGCACGUGGGGUAGCCUGAAUCAGAAGAAAGAAGGGAAAUUUACGACUAGCAACAAGCAAACCAGCAAAGAGAGCAAGAAAGAAAGGGGCCCGCUCGCCUUGCCCUCCUUCUCCUACCUAGUGAGAGAGAGAGAGAGAGAGAGAGAGAGAGAGAGAGAAUGCAAGACCAAGCGUUAUCUGGGCCUUCCUCUCACUGUCUGAUUGCGACUUACUGGCUUUGUUUGCCACAGAAAGAGGAGAGCGAAGAAUAAUAAGCGUUUUUCUAUAAAUCCCGCGUUUUUGUUCUCUCUCUCUCUCUCUCUCUCUCUCUCUCUCUCUCUACUAUUUUACCGGACGGUUUUGUUUUAUUACGUGUUGUUGAUUAUGACUUUCAUAAAACAAUUUCACUAUUAGCGUCACGUUUUGGUUUAAUAAUGUGUAAAUUUCUCUCUGCACGUUAUUGGGUUGUUGAAACGAGAUUGAAUCUUUGGUUUAAUAAUGUAUAAAUUUCUCUCUGCACGUUAUUAGGUUGUUGAAACGAGAUUGAAUCUUUCAGUAAAUCUGUUGCUUUCAUUCUUAAGACUUCUCUUUGGUCAGUCACUCACUCAUUUUCUAACUGAGUAUGCAUGUCGAAUUGUCAAUCUCAUAAUCAAAGACUAAACAUCACUGCAAUUGCGUAGAGUUGUGCACUGUACGAUAUAGUGCGCCGUCAAGGUUCCUUCAAUGAACGGUCGCUCAUGCAUAGCGGGUAAGUGAUUCUUUAUCGUAGACGUACGUGAAUUUUACAAUAAAUUCCAUAUGCAUUAGCAGUUACGUACACCCACUAACGACUGACUAGCAUUAUCAUUCUUCCCAAACCGUACAAUUGAUGGAAAGAUUAACCUUCCUAGUUGUUGUGCACGAAAUAAUACCACGUGUUUUAUAAAGGAAGUGUCGCAAGUUGGACGUAGGGACACAUAUUACACGAUGGUUAAAAGCUGGUAUGAGCCAAAAAAAACAUUUCAUUUACUUGUCACUUUAGUACUAGGAUAGAAGCAUAGAGCCAUUUCAAAUCGACCUGGAUUGUCGGCCCUCUCCUAUCUCAUCUUAUUCUAUUUAUGUGGUCACGAUUAAGCCACGUUAAUAUUUUAUAUUGAUUUUUUUUAUAGAAAUAAUAAGACAAAAAACAAUGAGAAUAUAAAAUGUUGACGUGGUUUAACCGUGACCACAGAAAUAGGAAGGGAUGAGAAAGGUAUGGGAUGAUGAGGGCUGACAAUCCAGAUCCAUUUCUGAUACCCGAAAGGUUAUGGGUGCCUCCAAAGUUGUCAGGCUGGAAUGGCUAGAACCUAGAGAGGUUCCCCUUUAUAAUAUAUAUUGGAGUUUGGAGUCUUUUGACCUUCCUAAUAGUGGUUAGUGUAUAUUUUGGCUUUGCCCUAGCUGUAUAUGAAUUCUGAUGUAAUGACAUUCUAACCACAACAAACUCAAUUAGUAGUUUUUAUCAGAAAAAAAAAAAAAAAAAACUCAAUUAGUCAAGCUAUAAUCUAAAUAUUUUAUGGUGCUCCAUAGUAUAUUUAAUUUCACAGAGUACUCUAGAGUUGAUCAUUGUGAUUCUCCAUAACUUUUCAACAAAUUGAAUUGAUUUAGUCGGCAAAAACUUGAGUGUAAUUGGGAAUAUAUUUUGAUCAAGGAGUAUUUUGUAUGAUCAAUUUUCAUGUAAUGAUCGGGUGCAAAAUACAAUUUUCUUAGCUAGGUAUGGGAUGAUAAUUGACAUUAGUAUAUUGUUGUGAGUAUUGUUGGAUAUAUGUCAACAAUCCGUAAUAAAAUAAAUAUGCUAAUAAUAAAUACGAAUAAAUGUAUUCCAGAGACUCAACAAGAUGAAAUAUUAAUUAAGCAGAGUAAUAAAAGAUUGAGGCUUGCGUACCGUAAUGUCCUUGAAACAAAAAUUUCGCCCCUACUCAGUGCUUGUAGUUCUACGGACGUCUGCUUCACCAGGAUUCAAUGAUCUAAGUCAGAAAUUCCAGCACCGGAAAAUUGACUUCUGGCGAAUAUUAAUGUGGUUCUCUCAUAAAGGAUGUUUAUGAUUGCAGGAGAAGAUUUAUGAUUUUUUUUUUUUUUUGUAUUCUAAAUGUCAUGCAGAUGAAUGUAUAUAUAUCAGAUAGAUGCAUGUUUGCAACAGGUAUGAGAAUGGGGUGUGACUGUUGGGAGACAUCUCUUCAGAGGGGUGCUUUACUCUGUGUUCAGAAAGAACUCUCAGACUUCAUCUGAAAGGAUGAAUCUUUUCAUAAAAAAUAAAUAAAUAAUUAAAUUCAAAUUUAAUUAAAAAUAAUUAAGUAAAUCCAAAAAAUAAUUAAUUAAAUAAUUUAAUUAUUAGAGCCCAAGAGCCCCACCCAUCUUUUGACAAUUAAAUAUAUAUUAUUUAUAAUUAAUUAUAUAUUAAUUACCAAUUAAUUAGUACACCCCAAAGCCCAACCCCAAGGAUGAGCCCAAUUUUAGUCUCCAUGCCUAUUACUCCAAUCACUUUCUCUAAAGGACGAAGCCUUAUAAAGUGAUAAAAUCUUUUGGGAAUGGCCAAUGUGGGACAAAGAAAUUUAUACUCAAACUACUCAAAUUUCCAACAAGUAUGAAUUCUAUAUUUGAAAAGAGAAGUUUUGCUUACUGAUUUAAAUAAUCCUAAGAGACUCUCUUGUACUGCCAAUUGAUUUUAGGUUGGAAGAAAAGGAAAGUCUUGCCUACUUAUUUAAGUAAUUAUAAGCCUGUCUCUCCUGAUUUGAAAAGAGAAGUCUUGCCUAUUGAAUGACUAAAUGACGUUAGUUUUAAUUGAUUUUUUGUAGAGAACAUAUUUACAUAAUGAUUUAUAAUAUAAACAUUUCUUAUUAUAAACACAAAGUUCUAUAAAUCGAUCUCACAUUAGUUGGUCAAGUGUAAUGUGACAAUAAUUAACAAGGCUCGCAGCAUGAAUGAGUCAAAAUCAAAUUCGAUGGCUCAAUGAAAGUAAUGCAAUUGAUAUUUGAUAUUCCUGCCAAAAACUCUUGCAAUUUGUAUUAUGAGGGGUCUUUUUUCAUGAAUAUUCAUGGACAAAGACAAGAUGAUGGAAUAUAUACAUCUAACUUUCUAUUCACUAAUGGGAUUCAAGCGUCUGUAUAGACAUUUUAGAUGUAGCUGUUGAAAUCCCUCGAGCAAUGCGUGCAGUUUGAUAAAUUUUCAUCAACAAAUUAAUGGUCAGAAAGUGGAUGGGACUAGAGAAAUUUAGAAUAUAGGGUUUGGACCACGACUGAAAACAAAUUAAAUUAACAUCACACAUCACAAUUAAUUGGAAUCAUCGGACAGGCCAACUACUCUAAUACAGCUGCAUAAUUACUAUUUUUAAUCAUUUUUAGGUCACAUUAUUUCUCUAAUCCCAUCCCAAAAGCCUUCUUAUGGAGAUAUCUUAAUAAACGCUACAAGAAGAAGCACCAUUUUUGGCUUCUAACCUGAAUUCGAUACAAUUAAUAGGAUAUGAAAUGACAUUUGACUUGAUCUGUUUACGUGUCUAGUUGAAUGAUGGUGUAUAUAGUUCUUGGCAUAUGAUAGAGAGGGAAUCCCAAAGUGUACAUGAUGUCGUCGAAUAUAAUGUAAAUACUCUUAACCACUUGAGUAACAAACUUUUUGAAAACAUCUUGCAAGACAUUGCAUUAAAACAAUUCGAAAGGAGUUGUACCAACCAUGCUACUUAGACACAUAAAAUUGACCACAUUGCUGACUACUUUUUUAACAUAGGUGAAUUCUACACACAACUGUGAAGUCCAUCUAUAGAAGAAAGGUGGUCGACAAUAUAGUUUUUUUAUGUGUCUAAGUAGUAUUAUUGGUUUCGAGCUAUUUGUGUCCAUGACCACAUGGUCUAGUGGCACCUCAUAUUUCACUUUAUUGAAGGAAGUUUAAGUUCAAAUUUCAUGAACAAUAGUUUGUUAAAUUCAGAAUAGAAAAGAAAACAAGUCUAGAAUCCCUUUAUUUAAUUUGGGCCUUACUAUUUUUGGGCGGACUCAAACACAUUUCAAAUUUUGGGCCUCAAGAACUUUGAACACAUCCAACGGCCACAAAAUCAAGUGUCUUUCCCAACACAGAAGUAGUAUUCUGGGGUCCUAAGUUGUUCCUCUGUAUCUUUCUAAACAGAAGAAGUUUAUCUUGAAGUAAGUGCUCCAAGUCCAAUUUUUUUAGCCUUCAUCAUUAAGCUGGAAAAAGGGAGUGUGACACAACCAUAUUGAAUUCAUAUGGAAAAUUAGGAAUCACUCUUCUACAGUCGGAGAAAAAUUGAGUGUAAUACCAAUUUAAAGAACUCACGAGUUCGAUAUAUCAAACUUAAGAGUGUGUUACCAAUGAACUCAUACUAGUGUAACAAUAGUAUUACAGUAAUCAAACUUAGAUAUUUGAUUCUUAUAUAUAUGUAUCACACUCACCUAAAUCACUGUGGAGGGCUUUACAAACCAUAAACAAAAAAUUAAGUGAUUAUGUCAUAGUUAGGCCUAAAAAUUCUGUGAGAUUUGCAAUUAUGGUGUCAAAAGUUCAAUGGAAUGAGCCACAUCAACAACAACGUUGGAGAUUGGAGGUUAAUAGAAAAUUCCAAAUAAUAUAAUUAGGGGAAAAUAUAAUUUCAUUAGAAAAAUUUAUUUCAUUAAUUAUUGCAUUAAAACUGCAUUAAUUAUAAAUUAAUCAAAUCAGUAACAUAAGUUGAUGCUUCCCAGCUAACAACCGUAUAUUAUCUAAACAGAAACAGAUGUUGCUGUUUCAACAACUGAUGCAAUAUGUCAUCAGCUGCAUAAUUACUAUUUUAAACCAUUUUCAGGUCACAUUAUAUCUUUACCAAUUGUACACACGUUAUGUAUGUGCUUAAUAUUUUGAGAAUAACAUUUACAAUGAGAGAAAAUAUAAUAUGGUCACUAAAGUUUUUUGAUGUCGACCUUGAACAAUUUUUCGUUGCUGAAGAGAUUAUUCACAUCUUUAGCGACUAUUUCGUCACUAAAAGUUUAUUUUAUUUGGAAGAAAAACUUGGAAGAUAAAAUGAGGGCAACUGAUAUAGUUACCUAGCUAUGAGGCUUUAAAAAAAAUGAGUUUUAACGAAAAGCCCACGGUAUUGUUCACUUUAACGAAAAACCACAUUUUAACACUAAAAAGUCAAACUCAAUUUACCCUUUAUUUUGUCUUUAUUGUAAAAACUCAAAGUUUUCAAGCCCUUUCAUUAGUUUUCCUUUUAAAAAAACAAUAAAAUUUUUUUGUGCUUAAAUAACUAUAUUGCCCAUAAUUUUUAUUUUGGUUAUUUUCUUAGUUUUAGUCUCUUUUGGUUGAUAAAGAGAAUAGUGUUAAUAAGUUGUUUAGAUAAUUAAAUGUACAAGUGCAUAAGCAUGCUAAUUUAAACAUUAUUCUUCUUCCAUGAAAAUUCCAAGAGCAUGCAAAUUGGGGAUCAUGAGAAUAAAUUAGAGUUUGAAAUGCCCAUUGGCUUCUUCCUAUCAUCCUGUCCAAGCCUUGCUCUAACUACCAACAUCAAAGAUUCCUUUUUAGUUGAUCAAGUUUGGCUUCAUAAUAUAUUGGGAACCAAAUCUAUAUAAGAAAAGUUGAUUGGGUUUGCCACUCUCAAUUCACUCAAAUUAUAACACACGUAUUGACCUUUGAGCUCGUAAUUUUAGGCUGUUUAUAAUUUAGUUUUUUAGAUACAAAUAAAAAACAUGAGUUAUAUUGUUAGAUAAACUGAUACAUUAUAUUAACAUGUCUAUCACAUAGAGUAUCAUAUAAAGUAUAUAUAUUAUUAGUUCACUACAUUUAUCUUUAUGGUAAAGAGCAUAUUCUAUUUCGAUAGGGUCAUCUACUAAUAUUAUCAAUAGCUUAUUAUCAUAUCGACAAUUUAUCAUUUAGUAAAGAAGUAUAACUAGAAAUAAACUGAUCGUAAUAUUAUAUAUGCCAUGCGGAUCGUUGUAUAUACAGAAUUAUUGUAAUCCAAUCCAAAUUUUUUUUUUUUUUGGUAUGCUUUAGGUUAAGAGACAAGUAGAAGAUUUAAUUUGGACCAUCGUCUAUGUGACCUGUAUGAAACCCUAAAGAACCUGUUAAGCUUUAAGAUUUGGGACUAUAAAAUAUAUGAACCUGUAUAUAUAUCACGCUUGCCCUCAAAACAUAGGACAUUGAGUUCCCUUGAGGAUUCUGUACAGCACAUUCUUUUUCCUACUUUUUCAUUAAAAUACAAGGCAAAAUGCAUGAUCAAACUUGACCUUGAUUUUCCUUGCUGCUACAAAAUUGCAAAACCUAAUUAUACUGCCGACGAAAGAGAAAAAAAACAAGAAAAACCUGACUUUAUAUAUUUUUAGCAUCUGCAUCAAGAAUUAAGAAUAAAAAUAGAGAAAAAUGUUUCUUUAACAACCGAAGAAACUUUGAGAGUCUCUUAAGUCACUUAAUAGUACGGUUUAGUGAUAAUUUUUUCAUUUGUAAACGAAUGGUCUUGAGUUUGAAUCUCGUAAAAGAUGAGUUCGAUAUCAAAUUAUUCUUGUAAUGCAAAUAUGUUGUAGUAUAAAUAAAAAAAAUAACACAUUGUAGCUAUCUACUCAUGUUGAGAAUAUAGUUACUUAAGUUUGGCUGUUUAGUUUUAGAAACCCUAACCACUGUCUUAACAAUUUCUUAAUUGGAUGAUUAUAUUAUAUUAAACAGGUGACCGACACCUACUAGCUUACAAGAUGACAUUGUUAGCAUCAUUCGAUUUUAAGUUAACAUUUGAACUGUUAGAUAUUUUCCUACUUUUUCCCAAUUAAGCAUGAAAUUUAACACACUUUUGUGAGAAGUCAAUAAUAUUUGCGUGUGGGGAAGAACUAUGCCAACCUUUUAUUAGCAUAUUCAAUCUUGACGGAGCUGGUCCCAUAGGAUAAGUUUUCCUGGAAGACAACAACACAUCAAAGUAGUUUCUAUUUUAGAGAUUGAAUAAAAAUUUUAUUAACAACGACCAAUAAUACAUAAGGUGAACAUGUUAAACGUAAUCAAGAGAUUACAUACGCUAAAUAAAGCAUUACAAAUUUAUAGUUACAAACUCAUGAGCGUCAUACAAUUCCUUAGUUACGAAGGACCCUACCACAAAAAAGAUAAUGCCCUCAAGGACUAAACCUUGCAAAUUGUCGAACUACCGUAAAGGUACCAUGAGAAAAAGACUGCACAGACCUCUGAUGAUCUUGCAACUGUCCGCAAAGAAGCACUGCUAUGAGUCACCUCUAACAAGUAUCAAACUUCCUCUUCACAAUCAUUUGACAUGUGCACAAUACCACACAAGAAACCCAAAACCAACUCCCUCGACUCUGAACAAUAGCCAUCACUCAAAGAUUUGAGUUUGAGCAGUAAGUCAUAGGCGCUACAAAGACUUUCUCAAGAGAGCGAGAGCGAUCAUAACCAAAAAAUAUAGAUAGUCAGAAGAUACGAUAAACAUAAAGGAAAAGGGAAGGAAGAGAUUGUCGCUAAGACCAAACAGGGUCCGCGACGAAGGGUUUUUCUCUCUAUCGGCUAUAUAUCGCAUGAGUUGAAGUUAACACAUGCAAUAAGAAAAUCACUAGCGAAUGCACUACGACUAACUAAACUGAAAUAUUGGUUUUUUCAAUAUUUUGUUUCACAUAAUUUUUUUUGACCUUACGUGGUUAAGAACAGUUAUUCAGGAGUUCUUGGUACCGGCCAAGCAAAAAUAAUAUGAAUAGCGAGCCAUCUACACGAGGCAAAUGCUUGUUCUUAUGCUUUUUUAAUAUAGGGCGGUGACUAACUAAAACAUUGAUUUAUAGAGCCAUAUUUUGCUAAGAUAAAACACACCAUUAAGGCUUGUUUAGUCAGUUGUCUCAAACUGACAAGAAAGGCAGUUGAGAUGUAAACAUGUGAGUUUUUAGGUGGAAGCUUCUAUCAUAUAUAUGUUCACGAUUUAAUAUCGAACUAACUAUAAAUAUAUCGGCAUUGCAUUCAUAUGAGCUGAGCUUAAGACCAGCGAUCAACUAAGUGAAGAUCGGAUGUUGCUUGACCAACUCAUGAUGUGCAUAUUGUUUAUGCUUGAUUCACAUUUUCAUUUUUCUGGAAAAUGAUACGAUAUUCAUUACAAUGAAGAGAAUACAUAAAAAUGAUCAGGUGUAAAAAAUAUCAAUUCGUUAAAACCUUGCUGGGAUUCCUAAACCCUAAUUCACACUUGAGAAAAAGGGUUUUUCUUGUUCUUUCCCCCCAGGAGAUUUUAGGGUUUCUUAAAGUUCAUUUGGGAGUUUGAUUUAGUAAUUGUCAAGGUAUUCCUAAAUCUCAUUGGAUUCUAUUUAAUCAUAUUCCAUGCUUGGGUGACUAAUCUGAACUCUUUUAAACUUUUUAAAGUAGUCUUAAGGGGCCAAAGACAAAGGCUUAUCUUCCAAAGCACUAUUAUCUUAUUCUAUAUUCUCCACUUUAAGCGAAGCCUUGUGCAAUGCUCAAAAACCAAGUGCAAAGUAUAUGAAAUUUGAAAAACGAUUCUGUAUAAGUAAGCUAAUACAAGCUUAGAAUUCGUUAUCAAUCAUUAAAUCAUCCCAUAGAAGUUAUUAUGUGCUAUUUAUACAAAAACACUAAUUUUUUAAAUCGAGCCUUUCACGACAAUCAAAUUGUCAAAUCACAAUGCAUGUUUUGUACUUCCAUACCCUAAUAAUUUAAAGGGGUACCUAUAUACAAGCGUGUUUACAAUACAUACGGUGGAUGACCAGAUUCAAAAACCAAUAAAUUCAAGUACAACAUUUUAAUUAUCAUUUUUGUGGAUGACUCCCUCAUAAUUUAAACUUAAGACAUUUUUUAAUGUUGAGAAGAGAAGUAUCACUAAAUGAAUAGUUGAACGAUAACUUAAUUAGCUCUAUAGUACUAAACAUUGCCAUAUAUGAUCAGGAGUAAGGCAUGAAUUCAGGUGUCUGUACAGGUAGGUUCACAAAACAAAACAAUAAAUGAUGAACAUGGACAACAUGUGAAGUCAUGCAGAUGGAGAUGGACUGUACAUGCAUUGCAGUGAGCAGAUAAUAAUAAUAAUGAAUAGUUUAAGAAGCAGAGACGUGUUAUGUAGUCUAUGUAUCUGAAAUGUGAAGCAAUCUGACAUUUCAACCUAUAGCUAGGUAUAUGAUCGAGUCCUCAGCCUCCUGCAUUCACUGUACCAACCAAUCCUGCUACUGCUAAACAUGAUUGAUCCUGCUCUAAGAAAUGGAACUGGAUCCUCCUUGAGCUCAGGAUGAGGAUCCUUCUGAGCAGUCCAUUCGGACCGUUGAAAUUUAAUCCAACGGCUUCAAAUAGGGGGUUCCUCUAAAAGUUAUAAUAAUUACAGCCGUUGGAUCAAGUUUGAACGGUCCGGAUGGGUUACUCAUGAAGAUCCCCAUCCUGAGCUCAGAAGAGGAUCCAGUUCCCUAAGAAAUGCAAAUGCCGCAAGCUGACAUAUUAGUUGACUAUAAUAUAUACAUACUCUCUCGGUCUUUCACCUAUAGCUAGUAGCUUAUUGGUUCUUGUAUUGUGAAACCCUAAUGAGAUAUUUACUUACAUAACGGGAAGUAAAAAAUCGAGAAACUUAUGAAUAAAAGAAAUGUGGAAUGAGAACUGGAUACAACGUACUACUUUCCUUAGUUGAUGUAAUUAUUGGUUUUGACGAUAUUGGGUUAUAGAUUAUAAGAUGAAAUUCACGUACCUAAUAAAUGCUGAAAAGUCAGGAAUUGUAGUGAUUUACUUUGCUCGAGUACCAAUUCAUGAUAAGUAAUAACAUGCAAUAGGUUAAACAUCGGCCAUCUUGUGAACGAGAGUUUAUACAAACACUUAGGUAUUGUUUGGUAUGCAGAUGGGAUGAGACAAAAUGGAAUCGGAUGGGAUAGGACGGAACGGAACGGACAGGAAGCAAAGAUGUCCUCGGAUGGAAACAAGGAGGAAGAAAAAGGAGACGGAGAGGUUAUAAUUUUGUGUUCCAUGGAUGUGGAACGAGUCGUUCCAGGGGAUGAGGGCGAAUGAAAAUUCACUCAAAAUUAGUCCUGGGAAACAACGCGUUCCACCCGUUUUAGGCGCACCAAACGUGGGACGGAACGUCUCGUUCCCCUUUAUUCCGUCCCGUUCCACGUACCAAACGGUACCUUAAUCAACAGUUACAAAACAAAAAAUCAACUUCAACGGAUCCAUGCCCAUGCACGGUGCACCCAGAUUGCAUUUUCCCCCGAGAAAUAAUUUUCAAUUUUAUUUUCAAAAACAGAUGAUAUAUUAGUAUAUUAUCAGGGGUAUUUUGGGGUCAGGAGCGUAUACAAUUUGGUACGGAGUUGCAGUCUGUUUCCUUGACUAUUCCGACCUACUAAAUUUGAACAUCCCAACCUCAAUGAUUAAAAAAAAAAAUAGAAAUUCACAAAGCUCAAGGAAAGAAAAAUUUGCAAAUUUCAUGAAAUGAUUAAAUAUUCAUAAAUAUGAGAAAUUUUUAAUUAUGAUCGAAAUACGGAUGGUACACCACGUGUUUUUAUGUAAGUGAUGAAAAAUUUUAUUUUUUAAGUUAUUAACUUUUUAACACAUGUAUCCCACCAUUUAUAUAACGACAUGUAACGUAUCAUUCCGUAUGACGAUCACACUACAAAAUCUUUCCAUAACUAGGGCAUCAAAAGGUCUUUGGUUAAUUUGCUGUCCAGUCUGUUCAUUUGACCUUUGAACCCCCCCCUUUUAUGCUUUCCUUUCACAAUUUGUGCUCAACAUUUCUUCAAGGUCACCUGAUUAAUUGUCCCCCAUGUAAUCAUAACCCCUUUUUGUAUUUAAAUACAUUUAUUUUAUUUAAAAAUGGAUGUUUGACUAACAAAAACGUUUUUUGUCGUAAGAAAACGUUGUUAUUUCUUCUUAAAAUAAUGCCAAGAAGGGAAUACGAAUUUGUAAACUCUCAAGUUCACACUUUUUUUUCGUAAUUUGGAAUAUAAUCAUGUUGAACAAAAUAUUAUAAAUUCUCUAGAGAAAAUGAAAAUACCGAAAAUAGGGUCUUGUGUUAAAUGCUAAACCUGAUUAAGUUUCAGAUUGUCUGUCACCCUCGGCACGCAUUUAGACAUCACUAUAAAGGAUUAAAACAAAUAAAAAGAAGGGAAAGAGAGAAAUUUGAAGAAACAGCAAAAGAAAGCUUCAAUUUUUUUCAUGCUUCUGUUUUACUGUAUGUAAUGUUGUAAGGCAGUCUCUCUCUCUCUCCCUCCUCCUCAUCACCUACCACUGACAACUCCACCCCUUCUUAUUAACCCCACCACCACCAUUUGCUCUCUCCAGAAUUCCAUGUGCCUCUUCUCUUCUCCAUUCCCCUUGGACUGCACAGACACACAUUAGCCUCUGUUCUUGUGAGUUGUGAACCCCCAUUUUUGUUUGGAGUUUUUCAAAGGGGCAAGUGCUUGUGGGGAAGAGUGUUGCUCUGCCUCUGUCUCACCAUCUGAGCUUGGAUACAAAAACCUAUUUCCCAAUUGAGAAAACCCAGUAAGGAACCCCACCAAUAUUUACAUUACAAAUAAUGGGAUUGAUUUGGUUCUGUGGCAGCAGCCCCAUUUCCAAGCUGGUUUUUUCUGGGUUCUUUGGAGAUCUAGAAGAUUGAGUUGAAGAAGCCUUUCAAAUUGAAUUUGAAGAAUAAAGGUACCGAUUCAGAAACUUCCAGUGUAUGGAGCCUCUCUAUAUGGUUACUUUUGCUGCAUUUAUAUACAUUAUAUAUAUAUAUAUACAUUAUAUAUAUAUACAUAUAUAUAUAUAUAUAUUCCCUGUUUGUUUGCUGAGCUAAAUGUGGAAACGAUUAGGAAAUGGAGUUUCUGAAGAUUUUACUGUUCUUGUUGUUAACCUGUAGAAUGUUAAAAGUUCAUGCUUGUUUCAACUUUUGUGGGUAAUGUAGAACUGGACUGAGCUAAGCCAAGCGGUUGUUGUAUUAGGCUUAUUGGGUUUCUGCAGUUAUUGGUUUAAUUGGGUUGGGUAAUAAAUGUUUAAAGUUUUGGUCUUUUCGAUUGUGUAUAUAUUGGACAAUAUGGAAUGAUGUGGGAAAUGCAUUAGUUGGUCCUGUUGUUAAUAUGUUUUCACUGUAUGAAAGUGGGUGGAAUUGGAAAGGAGAAAUCUUUGUGCAUUUUUUCCUACUUUUCCUUUGGUUUGUAGUUUGAAUGUCAUAUUGAGGCUGAGUUUGUUUCCGUGAUCACUUUGGUGUUAUGUGAUCUGCGUAGUCUUUGUGAGAUUGUGGAUUGUGGUUGAGUCCGUUUCCCUGACCAUGUUGGUUUUCCGCUCUCUCUCUCUCUCGCACUACAUAUUUGUUUCGUAGCACACUAACUUCUACCGCUUUGUUUACUUUUAUUAUGUUCCCAAUUUGUGAAUAUGUGUUUUGUCUUUGAAAAGAAAAAAAUUGAUGGCAUUGAAAGAGGUGAAAUUUUACAUAGACAAGCAGUUAAAUUCAGUAACAAAAUGGUAGAUAUGCAAAAGAUAGAGUUUUUUAUGCAUGGAAUUGGAGUUUCUAAUUUCUUUGUUUUGAACUCUGCAGGGUCCUUUUUAUCAAGAGUAAAUGGCAUCUGGUCUUGAUACUGUAUUAACCAAGAAGACAUUUGUCUUCGGUUUAAAGGUUUGGGUAUUAACGGGGAUCAUUGUGGGAGUUUUUAUAGUGAUGAUUCUUGCGGUGAUAUCAAUUUGUCUUACUUCGCGAAAGAGAUCCAGAAAGUCUACUGACAUGCUUCCUCUGCGCAGAAUUCCAAAUGAUUCAAAGGAAAUCAAAGAGAUUAGGGUAGAUCAAGCUUGUGCAAAUAACUACGUACCCCGUAGUAGUUCUUUUCUCACCCUUGGCGAUAAAUUCAGUGACAGAGAGUCUGAGAAAGUUUUGAUCCAUAAGAAUGGAGAUGGUAGCAGUCGAUCAGGCUCAUUUAACAAUGGGGAGAAGGAAAAUGUUGGUUCUCAAUCUGGAGAUGAGUGUGGUGCAGCUUAUAUGUAUGAGCCUUCUUCACAGCCUAUAACUGCACCUUCACCUCUAUCUGGUCUACCUGAAUUCUCUCGCCUUGGUUGGGGUCACUGGUUUACAUUAAGGGACCUUGAGUUCGCAACAGGUCGGUUUUCAAAGGAAAAUGUCAUUGGUGAGGGUGGAUAUGGAGUUGUUUAUCGGGGUAAUCUGAUUAAUGGAUCUCCUGUGGCUGUGAAGAAGCUACUCAACAACCUGUAAGAUGCAUCUUAUUUCAGUAGCUUUAUGGAUUUCUGUUUUUUCUAUCUUCUGUUUUCCUUACAAUUCAAUUGCUUGGGCUUAUAACAUAUAUAUUUUCAAUCAUCACACAGAGGACAAGCAGAGAAGGAAUUCAGAGUGGAAGUUGAGGCUAUUGGGCAUGUACGACACAAAAACUUGGUUCGACUUUUGGGAUACUGCAUCGAAGGAACCCACAGGUAUUUCUCUGUAAUUUUAUGUAAUGACUUCUACAUGGUAAAAUACAGGCAGUCAUGUUAUUAUUUGCUGAGCACCUUGUUUGGAUAAAAUAGAGAGUACUAUGUCACAUCCUUAGUUACAUGUAUAAUCCAUUCAUACUUAAAACAUGUGUGUUUUGUUCAGGUUGCUGGUUUAUGAAUAUGUCAACAACGGAAAUUUGGAGCAAUGGCUUCAUGGAGCGAUGCGUCAUCAUGGAUAUCUCACAUGGGAGGCACGCAUGAAAGUUCUCCUUGGCACCGCUAAAGCGUAGGUCUUCCUAUACCUUUGUUUGAGUUUUUCAUCCUUGUGGUUUAUCUUUUUCUGACUCUUUUUUUCACAUAUUUCAGGCUGGCUUAUUUGCAUGAGGCCAUUGAACCCAAAGUUGUGCAUCGAGACAUUAAGUCGAGCAAUAUCUUACUUGAUGAUGAUUUCAAUGCUAAGAUAUCUGAUUUUGGUCUGGCAAAGUUGCUAGGUGCCGGGAAGAGUCAUAUUACAACUAGAGUUAUGGGUACCUUUGGGUGAGUACCUUUUCUCCCUUAGGAACAGUUGCAAUUUCUUGUACGAAGAUUCUUGUGUUGGUAGAAGAACACUAUAUCAUAAUUCUAGAGUAAUCCUUUCUUAUCGGUUCCUUUCAUCAUUCUGUUUUUCAGAUAUGUGGCCCCAGAAUAUGCCAACUCUGGCCUUCUAAAUGAGAAGAGUGAUGUUUAUAGCUUUGGGGUUGUGAUUUUGGAAGCAAUCACUGGAAGAGAUCCGGUGGAUUAUGGUCGGCCAGCACAAGAGGUAUGACAAAAUUGUUACUGUUUUGAAGUGAGAAUUUGGAGAUCAAAUAUGCAUCUUAGUUUUGCAUUCGUAUAUUGAUUAGUUAAGGAUGCAUGUCAUAUUCGAUAAUCUGCUUUUAAAUUCAUUUUAGUUUGCACAGGAAAAUUCUUUGCUUCCGAACAAAUGGAUACCCCAAAAAAACCUUGGAGUUGUUUGAUAUGUUCUGUGACAGCUAACUAUCUUUAUAUCUGCUUCCUUUAGGGGAACAAAAAAGAAGAAAAAGGAAUGAUACCUGUGUAGUAACAGUUGCCCUUACACCUGCUGUGUGCAUCUUGUAGGUAAAUUUGGUGGAUUGGCUCAAGAUGAUGGUUGGAGGCAGGCGUUCAGAAGAGCUGGUAGAUCCGAACAUUGAGACCAAGCCAUCUACGAGUGCCCUUAAACGAGCCCUCUUGACUGCACUGAGGUGUGUAGAUCCAGAUUCUGAUAAAAGGCCUAAGAUGGGUCAAGUGGUUCGCAUGCUUGAAUCGGAGGAGUAUCCCAUACCUCGAGAGGUACGUUUCUGAAAUCAUCUUUGAAAUAACAAUGCUAAACAGACCUUAUAUCCAUUUGACACAAAUAUAGAUUUCAUUCGAAUUUUUGGCUUGCGUGGCUUGUUUUUUCAAUUCAUCUCAUCGUUAUACUCUGAGGAGUUCAUAAGUUGAUCUAUGUAAUGUAACUUGGCUGGAAUUCAGGACCGAAGACGCCGCAGAAGUCAAGCAGGGAACACAGAAGCCGAGUCUCUAAAUUCUGAUACAGAUUGGAGUGAGAAGCCAACUACAAAGACAGAUAGCAGAAGGAACCGUCGAACAUAGGCAAAUGGCGAAUCAAUCAUAGAAAUGCAAGGAAUACAAAUCAAAGGGGACAUGUUACACUCGUUUAAAGCUUUCAUAUUCUUCAGCCUACCAUAGUUGUGAUCAAAGGAAGGAACUGAAACGAGAUAAAGGAAAGGACCAGAACGAAAGGAACUUUUUUUUACUUGUUUUUUUGAAUAUAUAAACCUACUUAUAGGUGUUGAGAGAUGGUUUUUGUGUAUGGAGUGGCACUAGAAGGGGAUGCCUUAGCCAUCGAGUGUGUACAGUUAUCGGUUUUUUCUCUUCCUUUUUUUCUUUAGGUGAUUGUAAUUCAUGAGAUUUUUUCUGAGACAUGCUAAAGUUUACAGGAAGAAACGUUUUUGGCUUGCAUUGUGUGUUUCUACUACCAGCAUUGUGUUAGGUUUACGACCGCGACGGGAGCUUGGUUGAAUGUCAAGCCAUGUUGCCGUGCAUUUGAAGCAAACUGUGAGAUGUGAAACUCAGCACAAGGAAAGGCAGUCAUAUAAUUGCCAAGUUCAAUAUAAGGGUUGCGUGUCAUGUGAUUUUGGAGGCUAAAAUUGCACAUCAUGUGCUUUGAUUUAUUGCUAAGCACGGGAAGGCUAUUUUUCUCCUUUCAUGCUCCCAACUUUUCUUGAGUAAUUGCAGACACACAGUACCAACACAUUUAAUUGUUCGAUUUGAUUUAACGCUCGUUGGUCAUUCAGUUUAAACCGUUGGAUCAAAUCCAAGGCUUUGUAUUUUUACAGAUAGGAUUGAAUAUGGCUAUGCAUUUUUUGUUUUUUUUGUUAUGCUUGGCAAUAUUAACCAGACAACGCUUCAAAUUAAAAUGGUGUUUGAACAUGUUAUCCAACAACCAAAAGGGGUCAUGAGCAUUAUGGGAUGAUUUGUUCCGCCGAAUCCAUGGACUAAACAAAUACGCAUAUGUGAAUUAAGCCAGUUGAAAAAGGCUCCGUGUCUAACCCGUGCAUCCAAGCUCAAAUCACCCUCCUCAUAAAUUAGAAUAAUUUAAAAUAUCAUCUCGCCAAGAAUAAAAACAUAAAUACACUGUUUGGUCCCCUCACAACAAAAAGCUAUAUUCUGCACUAUGUUUGGAAUCUUAUUCUCUGCAAAUUUAUGUGCUGUUCCAGGAGACUAAACAGACACCCAAGAAAAGGUUGUUGAUUUAGAAAAGUCGAAUAAUCCAAGGCUCCAAUAAGGAACUUUUGAACAGGUAACAGAGUCACCGUGAAUUACAUAGGGGAUCAUUAAGAUUUUGAUGAGCAAAAGGAACCGAAGAAUGGUAUGAUCUACAGAAACUGUGUUUACAAAACGAAUCUCAAUAAUGUUGUCUGCACGAACGAUUGACAGGUCGGGAAUCCAGAAGCUUGUUGUUUCAAUGGUGGGGAGCGGACCGAGCAUGCAAAAGAGGCUGUAGAGCCUUGACAACAAUGCUCAUAUUUGGCCGGAAAUCAGCUUCAUAUUGGACGCACAAGGCGGCAACAGCAGCCAACUGUUUCAAGCACACAAAUUGUGAUCAGUGGAUUUGAAGUAAACCAACUGCCUGCCUUUUCAAUUAGUCUAUAACUGGCCAGACCAAAAGUAUGUCGUGUUCUUGUCCAUCCAAUCAACAAUUUAAAGAUAACAUAAUUAUAUAUGUGUGUAACUGUGUAUACAUAUUAAGGAAUCGCAGCAAUGGCAAGUAUUUCUUGGAAUCAAGUAAACUGGUGGUGAAUAAUUACUCAAUGUGUUCCCGAUUACCUUUGCAACUGCCUUGGAAGGGUAUUCUCCAUUGAGUCUAGCAUCAACACACUGCUUCACCUUAUCCUCACUGAGUUUUGGUGUUGCCUAAUAGAAUCAAAAAUUCGAGAAAAAAACUCAGCGAAAUGAAAGAUGAAAACCAGUAACCAAUAAAAUUCUCCGCUUCCACCCGUCCUGAAUGAAUAAAACAAAAGAUGCAAGAACCAAGCAUGAGUUACAAGUAGACAAGAACUAGGAUGAAAUUAGUACCCAUGUCACAAGGCUCUGCUGCCCACGCGGCAAUGUGUGAUCAACAGGUUUACGCCCAGUCAAGAGUUCAAGCAACACUACACCAAAGCUGUAGACAUCACUUUUUGAACUCAGCUGUCCAGUCAUUGCAUAUCUGCCAUUCGGAAUCACAGACAAGAAUUACAAGGGGAUAUAUGCCAAAUCAAAAUUUUGGGCGUACAUCAUAACGUGAUUAUACGGUACAUCAAGGAAGAAAUUACUCUGGAGCAUGAUAACCAAAAGUCCCAAGAACACGAGUAGAAUGAAGACGUGCUGCCAUAUCAGGUGCUUGAUUUGACAGAUCAAAAUCAGCAAUCUUUGCAACAUCAUCAUCAAAAAGCAGUAUAUUGCAGGACUUAAUAUCACGAUGGAUUAUAUGAGGCUGCGCCUUUUCAUGUAGAUAUUCAAGUCCUCUCGCUGCUCCUACAGCAAUUUUAACCCUUUGUACCCAUGACAGAACCGGACCUGGCUGUGCUCCCUUAACACCUUUCCGACCUAUAGCCACAUAAAGAGAAACAAAUUUCUAUUAGCAUAGAGAUGAAGGCGAUCUUACUAAUUAUCAAAGAGAUAAAGCUCAAAAAUUUGCAGCUGAUGAGCAAUUUUCUAUUGUUUGGAGGCCAACCCGCUCGUUUCGCAGAUUACAUGAAACACUAGGCGUCAUUAAACACAAACAACUAUCAUCAACUAAUUGACCUUCAACCUAUAAGUUAUUAAGCCUCAUUCAAAAUUUGUAAACCAAAAAAAAAUUCUGUGUGCAUAAAGCUUCACUAAAAAAAGAUCUAUGUGGUACUUGAUUAAAAAUUUACAACUUUUGGAGGCUGUAAAUAACACCACACGAUAGGAAUGUGGAAAUGUUACUUACCAUGGAGAAUAUCAUGAAGGGACCCCUUAGGAGCAUACUCAUAGGCAAGGAGACGGAGAGGGCCAUCAAUACAAUAACCAACAAGCUCGACAGCAUUCUCAUGUUUUAGUCUUGAAACCAUGGAGACCUGUAAAUUUAUGCUCCAAGCAUUAAAUAAAUUUGAGUAUCAAAUAGCGUACCAUGUCAAGUAUCAAACACAAAACAUUCCGCAGACUUAACCUGCGAUAAGAAUUCUCGCUCCGGUUGUUUACUGGAGUCUAACUUCUUAAUAGCUGCAGCAGGCCCACUUUUCAGAACACCAUGAUAUACUCUUCCAUAUGAACCCUCACCGAUUAAAGAUUUCGUGCCAAAGUUAUCUGUCAAAUCUUUCAAUUCAUCCACUGGAAUGGCAGCGACAGCGAUGGGGAGGAUAUUUACAACCUGAGUAUCCUUGGGUGCAGCUUCUUUCUGAUAGUAACCUCCACUAUUGCCUAAAUUUCAAAUGUCGAGUUUUGCAUCAAUCAAACAAUAAGCCGUAAACAGUGGAUAUCUAAAAUCAAAUGGCAUAGAAGUUGACCUGACUAAUUCCAACUGAAAAAGUAAUGGAAUAUGUCAUUAUUAUCAAUGCACUCAGAAUAAGAACAUCGUAUAUAUACACCCACGCGGUACCUGCUGAGUGAUUUGUCACAUGCGGUCGAGUCUCAGAAGCUUUACGGACAUCAUCUUGUACACAACAACUGAAGCAGCUCAUGAUGUUUUUAUCUGAAGAAACAGUUGAAAACCAUCUUAAGCAAUCUUACGUUGACAGACCGCGGGCGAUAAAAUUUAUCUAACAAAGAUCAAUGGUUUCUGGAUAGUUAUAAAGUCUGGCUUAAUUUCAGACUAGUUCAAUCUGUUAUAAGUUACUAAAACCUCAAUGAAUUAACAUGCUUUAUUCUAAAUCAAUGUUAUUCAAACAAGAGAAACGAUGAAGAAGCACUUGGAUAUCACCCAAAAAAUUAAAAAAACACAACCAAAAAUCUGUAUCAAAAGUUAAAUCCAUCAAUUUAUUCAUUUCACAAAUUAAACCAAAUCAAAGUAAAAAUUCAAAAUUCCCAUUUAAGAUCCAUCAACAAGGAGAGAUUCAUUUUUACAACAGAACAUAAAAUUCAAAGCUUUCUAUUUCUACAUGUUCCUCUUGAGUCCUGUCUCAAAAAAACAAAACAGAUACACAAUAAAUCAAAAGAAAAAGAAGCCACAAUUAGAAAAAAGUGCAUCUAAAACAAAUAAAUUUACAAAAAAUAAAAAAUAAAAAAAAAGUAGCAGAAUUGUGGGGGAAUGAUAUCUCUCACCUUGGUAUGUUUAUAUGGUUCUUCUGGCAAUUGGGUUUUUUGAGUUUUGAGUCAAGUGUUGGGAUUGGAGUGAUGAGAGUGAUCAGGCCGGCUAUGGAGGCCCGCAGGAGAGGGAGAGGGGAAGGAGGCGCACGUCAGCAAUGUACAGAAGGCAUGCAAAUGGGGAGGUUGGGAUGUCUGUCUGUCUCUCUGUCUCUCUGUUCUGGCUUUGACUUACGUUAGAAGAGAGGACACAAAGACAACAACCGAAUUUUGUGUUUCCACUCUUAAACUCCUCGGUCUUCACGAUCUUCUGCGCAUUUCGAAACUGUCAAAAACCAGUUGGGAUGUUAAAUCUUUUUAAUUUUUUUUUUAAUUUGAUAUAAAUAUCUCUUCACUCAAUUGCGUUCUUAGUUUAAGUUCUCUGAUUUAUUUUUAAGUGUGCAUUAACGUAAGAUAUCGCUUCUAAACAGUACAAGUAACAACGCCAUUUACAGUUAUUAAUUAAAAUUUUAAUAAAUAAAAAUAAUAGUGCUGUUUUCUAAAAAAGUAAAACAUCAAAAGUAUUAAUCAUACUAAAAACUAACAUUUGUCUACAUACUUUGUAUGUAUGUACAUAUUUUUUUUUUAGAAAAUAAGAAGGAGAGAGAAAGCGUGUAGGGUGAGAGAUUUUUGUUUUUGAUUUUGAUUUUUUGAUUUUUUGAUUUUUUUUAAAUAUUGAAGGUAUUUUAACAUCACAUGUAGGUGAUGUUUUAAUAAAAAAUAAUAAAAUUUGGACCUAUGAAAUUACAUUAUUGCCUAUCUUUUUUUUUGGUGUCAUAGAAGACUAAUUUAUCUUUUCACUCUCUUUUGAUUGACAAAGAGAGUUUUAUUAAUUAGUAGAAAUAUUAAGGCCAUCUCCAACCGAUGGCUGGCCAGAUGGCUCGUCUCAGCCCUCUGGCCCUCCAAGAUUCUCCAAGAUAUUAAUAAAAGGGGAUGAAUAGUGAGAACAAGUUCAACCCAAAAAAGAAAAGCAAUAGAAAAAAAAGAAAACUAAUGAAAAAUGUUUGAAAACUUUGAGUUUUAACGAUAAGGGUGAAAUAAAGAUUAAAGUGAAUAGUACUAAUAUUGACUUUUUAGUGUAAAAAUAUUAUUUUUUAUUAAAGUAAACAGUACCGGAAACUUUUCGUUAAAGUUCUUAAAAAAAAAAAGAUGAAAACCCAGUUGACGUGUUAUUUUGAUGAAAGUGGCUGGCACAUUGUUUGUAUAUAUUACUCACGUACUUUCUAUACAUAUUAAACUACAUAAAGCAGAGCAAAGCAAUUAUUCCUCUCCAAAAUUCUUCUACCCAAUCUCAGUUUAUAUGUGCAUGUUACGCCUCGUUGCAACGUCAUCUUGAGUCAUGGGUUGUUCAUUUAGAUUAGUAAAUUAUUUCGCUCCUUAGAGGUGUGCGAUGCAAGAAGAUUUGUAACUAACUCGUUUAAUUACGAAUAUUUACAUUUGCAUCGGAUGAUUUACGGUAUUAAGUUCAAACCUCUCCUUGACUCUUGUCCUUUGAUUUUAAUAUAUGUUAAUUCCAGAUUAAAUUAUGUUAAUGUGAUUUGCAUUACAUUUUUAUAUGCACCGCCGUUUUGAAGAUGUGGAUUCUGGAGGGAUUGUUCCUCUGUGUAAGUAUGUCUUAAUGGGCUUUUAAAUUUAGAUGCUUUGUUAGAUAAUUUUUCAUUGUGGCUGAAACGUUAAAGCGUACUCCAUAUAUUAUUAUACAAUUAGAAGGACAUUUAAAAAAAAAAAACUUUCUACUGAUGACAUGUGAUGUAUUGUACUAUGUUCUAAAUAUGCUGAAAAAUUUCUCGCCUCAUUGACCGUUUUCAUUGACUAAACAUCGAUUUCUUUUAAACUUUUGAUUAAAAUGCUUUUUUCUAGUUAAUUAAGCCAUUUUAUGUACAAAAUUACACUUAUGAUAUAUUUUCUUUGUCAAAAGAUAAAGUUUUAUUGAAUUCCAAUAUAAACGUUUUCAUUUUCAGCAAGAAUAUUAAAAAAAAAUCUGGAUCAAGAACAUCCCACCGGAAAUCACCUCCAUGCGAGGUAACAUAUGAGGCUACAGCAUCCAUAACGACAUUUCCUUUUCGCUUUACAUACAAAAACCUCACCUCUCCUUGUUGAGACACCAAACAUAUAAUGUCACGAAUAAAACAUUCCAAACUAGCAUCUAUAGAAUACGCUUCUUGAAGCAUUCGAAUCAACGACUGAGAAUCAGAUUCGAUUUCCACCAACGCAGCACGAAUCGCCGCAGCUUCAGCCAUAGCCGCGUUGUUGAAGAAUAAACCCCCUGCGCCACCCGCCAUUUGCAACAACCCUGCGAAAUCCCUCAUAACCCAUCUGUAUCCUCCCUGUAAAGACUUCCCACACCAGGCACCGUCACAAUUAACCUUUAGUACACCAUAGGUGGGCCUCCUCCACCGUACCUGCUGCUCAGCAAAAAUAGCACCAUUCGUUUCCACAUAGGAGUCAGCAGCCUGCUGAUUGGUAAUAUGGCAUGCUUUAAAUUCUAGGAGUAGAUGCCGCACCAAAUUAACCCCAUCCAUAGGAUUAAUUAAUGUACCUUUGAAAACCAUUGCAUUUCGACUCUUCCAGAUUCUCCACUAGACAAACACGCACUCCUGCAAAAGAAGACAUACCAUUGCUAAAUGAAAACGUACCAAUGCCAAAUUAAAAUAUAUCGACGCUAAAUCAAAAUGUAUUGAUGCGAGGUGAAUAAGUCUCAACACAAAAUGAAAACGGUCAAAUUAAAAUGUAUCGACCAAAUUUAUUUACCGGUAUUAGACAAAGUACGGACCUAAUUUAUUUACCCGUUCUAUACAUGUCACUUCAAGUAAUGCUUAGAAAGUACAUGCCUACUAACACACAAUUAACUUUAUAAAUUAAAUAUGAAAAUAGACGUACAAAUCAACAAUAUUAAUAAAAUCGCUUUGAAAAAUAUGUAUAAAGUUAAAUUGAUUAUAGAAACAAACGUACCAAUCAACAAUAUGAGUAAAAUUGCUUUAAAAAAUAAUAUAUAUAUAUAUAUAUAUAUAAUCAAACGAUUGUGGUGGCACUAGUGGCGGUUGUGACAUUCGCUAAAUUGCUCCGGUCAUUAGUAUGGAUAAGUAUGUAAAUGGAUAGAGAUAGGGAAGCAAACUCAAGAUGUAUGUGGUUCACCCAGAUUGGCUACGUCCACGGAGUAGAGGAGUUCUCAUUAGUUGUGAAGGGUUUACACAAGUACAUAGGUUCAAGCUCUCUUUUAGUGAGUACAAGUGAAUGAUUUAGUACAAAUGACAUUAGGGAAUAUUGUGAGAGAAUGAUCUCUAUUUAUAGAAGAGAGUUUCUAGUUUCAUUCUGACUUUGACACGUGUCGUGUUGUGAUUGGCUUCUGAUGUUGACACGUGUCGCGAUAUGAUUGGCUUCUGAUGUCGACACGUGUCGCGCUGUGAUUAGCCUCCUGGUUGGAGGGAAACUCUUCUAGGUCCUUGAUAGUAUAACGUUGACCCGUGCUCAGUAGUUUCGGGAUUGGUCAAGUAUGGUACAAACAGUGCUCCCCUAAGUUCCUGAGUGAGGGAAGCUCCUCGGUUGGGGACUUGCAAGAUCCAAGCCAUUGAGUAAUCACGAAACUUCUAAGUACCGAAGUGUGGUAUCAUUUUCACUUGUCUUAUCUGUCUCAUACGUAGAUGUGGCAUCUUCUCUGGAAGUACUUUUCCUCCAUCCAGGGGUGAUAUCUUUAACCGAUGAAGAUGCACAAGGUAAUGUAUCAAUUUCACUUGAAGCUUACUUGUAGUUUUGGGCUUGGUCAAAUGCGAUACAAAACCCUAUAGUAGGAGCCCCCCAAGUCGCCGAGCUAGGAGAUUUGCCGAAUGAGGUAACAGACAAGGUAAGCAAUCAGACUUCCAAGCAAGCAACCUGGAUCGGAGGUUCGUCUUCGGAUUCCGGUUGAUUGUUCUUCUUCUCCUUAUGUCGUAAACAACAACAAGGAUAAGGAGAAGCAAAUGGAGAAUAGAUGAUAUGAGAUACUUUUACUUUUGAAGAAGUAUUUUUCCACAUGCGUAUUCUUGAACUGGGCUGGAGGGUUUUCUAGUUUCUUUCAGAGUAUAAGGCUAACUCAAGAAUUUGAGGGUCAAAACAAGUCCAUCAAAUCUAGAGUACGUUUGACCUUGAUGAUAUGUGAUACUUUUGUUGUUGACAAAGUAGUGGAUGUAUCGACACGUGUUCUGUUACGCUUGUCUCCACAUGCUUCCUUGUAUCCUUCUCACUUGCCCUAUCUGUUCCUCAGGCAGAUGUGGUAUCUUCUAUGGAAGCAUAAGAUGUUGAAGAUGAGUACUCGAGAGCAAUGUCAGGUAAGUAAUCAGGCAAGGGGUUCCAGGCAGUCAGUUCCUGACUGGAAGCUUGAUUCCAAGUGCUGACUGAUUGCUCUCUUUCUCCUUGUCUUGCAGGUAAGAACAAUGCCAAAGGAAAAGACAGGGAAAAAGCAUGAUAUGGGAUACUCUUGCUUUUAACCCUGAUGAUAUGAGGUACUCUUGCUCUGGUGUGGCUUGUUUGCAUAGGUAUUAUCGGGAGGAAAAGAAGCUGAGUAUUUCGAGAGACUUUGCUGAGAGUGCCCUCUCGGAUGUGAAGAAAAGUUGAGCAUUUUUUUUAUUUGCAGGUCUGCCUAGCUGUGGAGGAUGGAGGUCGACAUAUAUAGGAGUCUCCUUAACAACAAGUAGUAGUGCUAUUCAUUUACCCUUCUUGGUCAUAGCAAUGUAGUGGGAGCUGCAAGCUUCACGUGUUUUAACUUUGUCAAAGCACUUUGAAAAAGUGGUCUGUGGUAUCUGGAAAGCUGAUGUUGCGUGUGAAGAUUGCAGACAAGCUUUAUCCAAGGAAAUCAGGCUCUCGAAGUUCGGAGAGCGGUGCCUCUUCGGUUUUCGAACAGGCAAUCUUGUCAAGGAUCUGGCUUUCGAGAUUCAGAGAACGGUGCUUCUUCAAUUUUUGAGAACGCAAUCCUGUUUGGGGUCUAACUCUUGAGAUUUGGAGAGCAGUGUCUCUUCGAUUUUUGAGAAAGUAAUCAUGUUGGGAGUCUGGCUCUCGAGAUUCGGAUGGCGGUGCCUCUUCAAUUUUUUAGCACAUAAUCCUGUUGGGAGUCUGGCUCUCGAGAUUUGGAGAGCGGUGCCUCUUCGAUUUUUGAGAAAGCAAUCAUGUUGGGAGUCUAACUCUUGAGAUUCGGAUAGCAGUGUCUCUUCAAUUUUUUGAGAAAGUAAUCCAGUUGGGAGUCUGGCUCUCGAGAUUCGGAGGGCGGUGCCUCUUCGAUUUUUGAGCACGUAAUCCUGUUGGGAGUUUGGCUCUCGAGAUUCGGAAAGCGGUGCCUCUUCGAUUUUUGAGCAAGUAAUCUUAUUAGGAAUGUUUUCUCGAAUGUGAGUAAAGGUUGGGCAUUUUUGCCAGUUUGCCUUGCCACGGAGCACGGAAGUUGACACACAUUGGGACUUUCUACUUAUCAAGGAGUGGAGCUGUUCCUUUACCCUUGUGGGUAAUAGUAGGGUAGCUGGACCUUCAAAAUUUAUGUGUCUAAACUUUGUCAGAGAUUUUUGGCAAAGUUAUAUAUGGUACCCGAGAAACUGAUGUUGCGUGUGGAAAGUGGUGCCACUUCAAUUUUUGAACCAAUUACCCUAUUGCCCUUUCUUUUAUAAGGGCACCAAUUGUGUGCAAGGAGUACAUUCAGAGAGUUAUUGCUUGUAGGAAUUUUCCCCUUACUUCAGAGAUUUCUUUCACCUAAUUUUUCCUUCAUCAUUUCUGAGAAUGUCUGACCCAUAUAACCGUCGUUUUGACUUGAACUUUGGUGAAGAGGUAGCCAUACCUUCUCAAGACAACAUAUAACGGCCAUCUUUCUUAUCCUCUACUGGUCCUCUUACCGUUGGAGACUCUGUGAUGAAGAAUGAUAUGACCGCUGCGGUGGUGGCCAAGAACCUUGUUACUCCCAAAGAUAACAAACUACUUUCCAAACGGUCUGAUGAGUUGGCUGUUAAGAAUUCUCUGGCUCUUAGUGUUCAGUGUGCAGGUUCUGUGUCUAAUAUGGCCCAACGCCUAUUUGCUUGAACCCACCAAGUUGAAUCAUUAGCGACUGAAGUGAUAAGUCUCAAACAGAAGAUCAGAGGGCUCAGGCAUGAGAAUAAACAGUUGCACAGGCUUGCACAUAACUAUGCUACAAACAUGAAGAGGAAGCUCGACCAGCUGCAGGAAUCUGAUGGUCAGAUUUUAGUUGAUCAUUAGAGGUUUGUGAGUUUGUUCCAAAUGCAUUUAUUGCCUUUGUCUUCUGGGGCUGUACCGCGUAAUGAAGCUCCAAAUAAUCAACCUUUGGUGCCUCCUCCUUUUGGGAUUCUGCCUAGUACCGAGGCUCCGAAUAAUCAUCCUAUGGUGCCUCCUCUUUUUAGGGCUAUGUCGAUUGCUAAGACUUCUCCUGAGCAACCUUUGUGAAGGCUCCCUCUUAUUUGUUUAUUUUGAUUCAUGUAUAUGUACAUAUUUGUAAUUUAUCGGAGAUAUCAAUAAACAAGUUUUGCUUCAUUUCAACGUAUUGUGUUAAAUACAUCAAGGCCUUCUUCACUUAGUUCUUUGAAUUUUUCCUUUUGUUGAAACUUGUAUGUUGAAGCUUUGUGAGUGAAGCAUGUAGGUUGAGGUAGUGCUCCCCUAAUUUUCCGAGUGAGGAAAACUUCUCUUUUGGAAACUUGAAAAAUUCAAGUCACUGAGUGGUCGUGAGACUUCCGAGUAUCAAGGUGCAGUAGCAUAUGGUAGGAGUCCCCCAAGUUUCCGGUCGAAGUAGUUGACGAAUGAGGCAUUUCCUUUCUAAGUGGUAGCUCAAAACUCCUUCUUCAUAUAUAUUUGUUAUGAAAGUUGUUAGACUCAUAGAAUAGGAGGCCUAGGCAAUUUUUAUUUUAUUUUUUUGAAUUUUUUUUUUUCGAUUUUUUUUCGAAUUUUUGAAUUUCCAAAAUUUUGAAUUUUUGAAUUUUUGAAUUUCUGAAAAUAUAUAUAUAUAUAUAUAUAUAUAUUUUUUUUUUAAAGCUUUGUAAGUGAAGCUUUGGUGUUGAAGCUUUGAGGUUGAAGCUUUGUUGGGCACCAUGAAUUGAUUUUGCUUCACACUAUCUUGAUCAAGAUAGUGUGAAACUUUUGUAGGUGAAGCUUUUGUAUUGAAGCUUUGUAGGUAAAGCUUUUGUAUUGAAGUUUUGUAAGUGAAGUUUUUGUGGGUGAAGUUUUUGUGGGUCAAGCUUUUGUAGGUGAAGCUUUUGUAUUGAAGCUUUGUAAGUGAAGUUUUUGUGGGUGAAGUUUUUGUGGGUCAAGCUUUUGUAGGUGAAGCUUUUAUGGGUCAAGCUUUUGUAGGUCAAGCUUUUGUAGGUCAAGCUUUUAUGGGUCAAGUUUUUGUGGGUCAAGCUUUUGUGGGUGAAGCUUUUGUAGGUGAAGCUUUUGUGGGUGAAGCUUUUGUGGGUGAAGCUUUUGUGGGUGAAGCUUUUGUGGGUGAAGCUUUUGUAGGUCAAGCUUUUAUGGGUCAAGCUUUUGUGGGUCAAGCUUUUGUAGGUGAAGCUUUUGUGUUGAAGCUUGCUUUUGUGGGUGAAGCUUUUGUAGGUGAAGCUUUGAAGUUGAAGCUUUUGUUGGGUACCAUGAAUUGAUUUUGCUUCACACUAUUUUCAUCAAGAUAGUGUGAAGCUUUUGAGAAUUUGUAGUUGUCCUCCAUUGAUGAAGCUUUGGAGUUGAAGUUUUAUAGGUGAAGCUUUGGAGUUGAAACUUUUGUUGGGUACCAUGAAUUGAUUUUGCUUCACACUAUCUUGAUUAAGAUAGUGUAAAGCUUUUGAGAAUUUGUAGUUGUCCUCCAUUGAUGAAGCUUUGUUGAAUUUCCACACUGUUGAGCAAGAGAUUGUGAUGCAAGCCACACCUUGUAUUAGUCGAAGGUUUGGAUGAACCAUAUAAAUUGAAUUUGCUUCGAAGGUCUAAGAAUUGUAGUUGCCCUCCAUUGAUGAAGCUUUUGUUGGCACCAUAAAUUGGUUUUGCUUCACACUGUCAUGAUCAAGAGUGUGUGAAGCUUUUGAGAAUUGUGGUUGAACUCCUUUGGUGAAGCUUUUUUUGGCACCAUAAAUUAGUUUUGCUUCACACUGUCUUGAUCAAGAGUGUGUGAAGCUUUUGAGAAUUGUGGUUGCCCUUCAUUGAUGGAGCUCUUGUUGGCACCAUAAAUUGGUUUUGUUUCACACUGUCUUGAUCAAGAGUGUGUGAAGCUUUUGAGAAUUGUGGUUGAACUCCUUUGAUGAAGCUCUUGUUGGCACCAUAAAUUGGUUUUGCUUCACACUGUCUUGAUCAAGAGUGUGUGAAGUUUUUGAAAAUUGUGGUUACCCUCCAUUGAUGAAGCUCUUGCUGUUGGCACCAUAAAUUGGUUUUGCUUCACACUGUCUUGAUCAAGAGUGUGUGAAGCUUUUGAGAAUUGUGGUUGCCCUCUAUUGAUGAAGCUUUUGUUGUCACCAUAAAUUGGUUUUGCUUCACACUGUCUUGAUCAAGAGUGUGUGAAGUUUUUAAGACUUGUGGUUGAACUCCUUUGAUGAAGCUCUUGUUGGCACCAUAAAUUAGUUUUGCUUCACACUAUCUUGAUCAAGAGUGUGUGAAGCUUUUGAGAAUUGUGGUUGCCCUCUAUUGAUGAAACUCUUGUUGGCACCACAAAAGCUUGACCCACGAGGCUUAUGUAUUGAUGAAGCUCUUGAUGCAUAAAAUCAGUGAGGACUUUGGUACAACAUAAAGUGUUAAGUUUGUGACAUUCGCUAGAUUGCUCCGGUCACUAGUAUGGAUAAGUAUGUAAAUGGAUAGAGAUAGGGAAGCAAACACAAGAUGUACGUGGUUCACCCAAAUUGGCUACGUCCACGGAGUAGAGGAGUUCUCAUUAAUUGGGAAGGGUUUACACAAGUACAUAGGUUCAAGCUCUCCUUUAAUGAGUACUAGUGAAUGAUUUAGUACAAAUGACAUUAGGGAAUAUUGUGAGAGAAUGAUCUCUAUUUAUAGAAGAUAGUUUCUAAUUUCAUUCUGAUAUUGACACGUGUCGUGUUGUGAUUGGCUUCUGAUGUUGACACAUGUCGCGCUAUGAUUGGCUUCUGAUGUCGACAUGUGUCGCGCUGUGAUUGGCCUCCUGGUUGGAGAGAAACUCUUCUGGGUCCUUGAUGGUAUAACGUUGACCGGUACUCAGUAGUUUCGGGAUUGGUCAAGUAUGGUACAAAUAAAAACAAUACCAAACGAAGCAUAAAACCUAUUAACAAGAAGUUGAGGAAUCUAAUUUCCUCAUGUCUUAAUUAGCAUCUUAACACUAAUUAGCUCGCAAAGAUUUGACUAAUAUACAUAACAAUAAUCAAUCUAACCGAUGAAGAAGCCAUGAAGCCACUCUUCAAUGUUGACCUUCUCCUCCACGUCAAAUUCUCAAUGUUAACAAUAGGUCUUAGUUCAAUUGCGAGAAUAUUCAUGGCUGAAGCGACCGGCAUACUCUCGUAGUGACUCGUCCGGCUUCUGGCAAAUAGUGUACAAGUAAUCUGCAGAAUGCAAGUGAUCGAUCUGGAAGAUGUGUUGAGAGACAAACAGUUUCCUUAAUUCCUCAAAUGAGUCUACUGUCUCAGGUGGAAUACGGCAAUACCAGUUUAGAGCUCCGCCAGAAAUAGUGGAGGGGAAGAGAAGACAUCGCUCUUCGUCGGUGUGCAUUCGAUAUGCCAUGGUGGACUCAAAGAGGUUAAAGUGUUCAAUUAGGUCCUCCCUUCCUGUAUAGAGUUGUAAACCAAGCUUUUGUUUUGUCUUCGCUUGAAGGGGCGUGUCGAUGAUCCUUCUUAUGAGAAGGCCAAGCCUGGGUUGGUUCCAGUCAGGUAUCUCGGCCUAACGUUUGGCAUUCAACUUGUUUACUUCCUCAAGGAGCUGUAGGGCAAUGGGGUCCUGAGUGGAGUCAUGUGUCACUGGAAUUUUCUUUCGUAAGUCUUCAUCGCCUCUUGGAAGUAGGAAAGUUUAAGCAAUGACGUGUGGUUUUUUCAUGGACUCGCUGUACUGACUUUUAGGGCAAGUAUGUCGGAAUACCUCAGAGUCCCCCAUACCUUCAUGUUCCUCUGGGACCAGUCAUUCCUUCCCUAGAUUGGCAGUUGGCCUGGGUCGUGGGAGGGGAUCGAGUCUUUCAGAAACCCUUGGGUCAUUGAUUUUCGAGCAUAUGUGGAGGGGAUUUUUUCGACGUUGCUUUAGGAAGUCUCGGCAGUCACGAUAAAUGGUUUUCGAUCCUUCCAACCUUUCUGCAAGGAGGUGUCUUCCUCCACUUUUUCUACUUCGGGUCGAAGCAUCUGGGUUGAAAGAAGUCUCAUGUUGAUCAAUGUUUUGAUGAUUAGCUCGCUCCUCAUCAGGGAUACCCAUGUCGAAUGGAGGUGACCCUCCGUGUUGGGGGGCACCCAGAUGAUAGUUGAUGUCCAUAGGGGUAACGAGCUUCCGUGUUUGAGUACGCUUAGUUUCGUGGAGUGUCUUAAAGAGCUUCUCAUACUGCUCCUGGAGGACCUCAUUCUUCAUUUCUAUCUUGUUGUUCUAAGCUUUUAGCUCAUCGACUUUAGCUUGAAAAGCAACCAUCUUUCCUUCAUUCUUUCGUUUCUUCGCACUAGGUGCAAGAGGGGUGUCAUUCUAUGUGCUGUGGCUUCCUUCGCUCCCCAUGUUGGAAAGGGAUGCCUGGUCAAAAUAGAGUGUACGAAUGGUGGAAACCAGCUUGGCAAAGCUGAAGAGAGUGGGAAUAAGUGUCGUUCCCACAGACAGCGCCAAAUGUUGAUACACAAAAUCAGCGAGGACUUUGGUACAACAAAAAGUGUUAAGUUUGUGACAUUCGCUAGAUUGCUCCGAUCAUUAGUGUGGAUAAGUAAGUAAAUGGAUAGGGACAGGGAAGCAAACACAAGAUGUACGUGGUUCACCCAGAUUGGCUACGUCCACGGAGUAGAGGAGUUCUCAUUAAUUGUGAAAGGUUUACACAAGUACAUAGGUUCAAGCUCUCCUUUAGUGAGUACUAGUGAAUGAUUUGGUACAAAUGACAUUAGGAAAUAUUGUGAGAGAAUGAUCUCUAUUUAUAGAAGAGAGUUUCUAGUUUCAUUCUGACUUUGACACGUGUCGUGUUGUGAUUGGCUUCUGAUGUUGACACGUAUCGCGCUAUGAUUGGCUUCUGAUGUCGACACGUGUCGCACUGUGAUUGGCCUCCUGGUUGGAGGAAAACUCUUCUGGGUCAUUGACGGUAUAAUGUUGACUGGUGCUCAGUAGUUUCGGGAUUGGUCAAGUAUGGUACAAACACAAAAUGUAUUGAUGCUAGGUGAAUAAGUCGCAACACAAAAUGAAAACGGACCAAUGCCAAAUUAAAAUGUAUCGACCAAAUUUAUUUAUUGGUACUAGAUAAAGUACGGACCCAAUUUAUUUACCCAUUCUAUACAUGCCACUUCAAGUAAUGCUUAGAAAGUACAUGCCUACUAACACACAAUUAACUUUAUAAAUUAAAUAUGAAAAUAAAUGUACCAAUCAACAAUAUUAAUAAAAUCGCUUUGAAAAAAAUGUAUAAAGUUAAAUUGAAUAUAGAAAUAAACGUACCAAUCAACAAUAUGAGUAAAAUUGCUUUAAAAAAAUAAUAUAUAUAUAUAUAUAUAUAAUCAAACGAUUGUGGUGGCACUAGUGGCGGUUGUGGUGGCAGUUGUGACGAUUGUGGUGGCGGUGCAGUGGUGGUGGUGGUGGCAGUGGCGGUGAUGUAAGGUUAGUGUUUAUAGUGGUAAGUGGUGGCAAUCAUUUUAUUCUCCAAGGAUUAAAUGUGUGUAGAAGGAUAAAAUAUGUUAUUUUAAAAAACUAAUGAAGGUAUUACAAGAAUUGAAAAUUUUCAUUAAAUGCUCAAUUCCUUUUAAAAACAACCUAUAUGCUUCUUUUAAAAAUUGUUGUAUGGAGACUAUUGUUUUUAAAAUAAACAGAAUAUUUUAUUUUUACCAAACACUUUUUACUGCUUAACUAUAAAUGAAACAAAUUUCGAUAAAAAAAAAACAACACCAAACGAAGCAUAAAACCUAUUAACAAGAAGUGGAGGAGUCUAAUUUCCUCAUGUCUUAAUUAGCAUCUUAACACUAAUUAGCUCGCAAAUAUUUGACUAAUAUACAUAACAAUAAUCAAUCUAACCGAUAAAGAAGCCAUGAAGCCACUCUUCAAUGUUGACCUUCUCAUCCACGUCAAAUUCUCGAUGUUAACAAUAGGCCUUAGUUCAACAAUGAGCAUAUAUUAUUCCGUUAUACUUUCAAAACCAAUAUGAACUCAAACAUUCGGCUAAAAUACACCUCAUAUUCGAACAAUAUAUUUUGUUAAUUGUGAAAGGUGAUUUGGAAGAUAAUUGUGAUACUUGAUGCCAUGCGCGCUCUCGAUUUCUAACUACUCAUGCCGCCAUUGUCAUUGGGUAUGACCGGUGACAACUUGGUGGAAACGUAGCAAUUCGACACGAUUAUUCUCCAAACAUAUGAUUGUUGAGAGCCUGAAUCCUAUGUAAGGGUGGGCAACGGUUAUGCCAGACGGGUAACCGCGGUUAUUUACUUAUAACUGUUUAUGCUCAUACUCGCAUAACCGUUUACCCAUUUGGUAAUUGCCUAAAUUGUUAUACUCAUACCUAUAACCGUUUAUAAACGGUUAACCAUACCAAUAAUCGCAUACCCAUUUAACCGUAACCGUUUAAUACCCGUUUACUCAUUUUUAACUUGUUUAUCUUUUUCCCAUUUUUAACUUGUUUAUCUUUUUUUUUUACCAUUACCCAUUUUUCACCCAUCUACAUGUUUUUUAACAAAUUGAAAUUUUAAAAAAAAUUUGUCAUAAUUUUUUUUGACAAUUAAACACCGUUAUAGGGGUACAUUCAUUAUACAUUUCCUUAUUUUAAUUUUUUAAGUCCUUAUACCGUUUCAAUAAUUGAAAUAAUAGUUUACAGACGAUAUUUUUAAGGGGUGUGAUAUCCACACACCCCAUUUUACUUCUCACACACCUUUUUAAUUUUCGACCGUCGGAUCAGAUGAAUUGAAGAAGAUCAACGGACAAUAAUUAUUAAAGGUGUGUGAGAAGUAAAAUAUGGUGUGUGGAUAGCACACCCCUAUUUUUAACUGUUACCAAUGAAGGUAAUAUAAUAUUUGCUAAGUAUUCUUGGGUUAUGAAAACUGUUUAGAAGACAGUAUUUUUGAGUUAUUUAACCCAUAGUGCAAAGUAUUAACAUAAUAUAUAUAAUGAGCUACAUUAUUUUAUAAUUAGCUAUAUAAACCAUGCACUAUAGUCAAUAGCAUCAGAGGUGCAAUUUGGGCUGAGCCAACCCGAACCCGCCCAUGUCUAACCUGACUUUAAACUCGAAUAAGCGAAUUUUGUUGUUGUUAUAACCCGCCUGAACCCAACCCGAUUUCAACCCGUUCAUUGAUUGGGUUGGAUUGGGUUGAUCAUUUGUCCAUCCCAACCCAAUCCAAUUAACCAAACCCUAUUAGGUUGAGCUGUGCAACAUACUUCUCAAUAACCUUUGCACCUUUGCACCUUUGCACCUUUGCACCUUUGCACUUUCAUGAGAACCUACUGAUAUGAUAUACAAUUUGACUUGAAAGGAAUCAUAUUAAGUUUAUUUUGCUUUUCACAUCACAUCCUGUAGAACAACUUCCUUUAUUAAAUUAAUAUUGCAACUAUUCGACCUCUCUUUGAGAUCUGCUUCACAGUUUGAGUUGUGAUUGUUUCUUAUGCUGAUUCAGACGAAGUAGGCUAUUGAGCAAGUAAAUUUGAGGGAAAGUGAUUUUAAGGUCAGUUGUUUGCUAAUACAAAUAGGUUGACAUCAUUGUUGAAAAACAUUAAACACUACUUGAAAAAGUUAGGCAACCCAAACUCAACCCAAGUAAAUCCAAACCCGAUUAAACCCGAGCCCGACUAAACCCGAUUAAAACCCAAUCCGAACCCGAACCCGAAUUGUAAAAGUUGGGUUAGGAUUUGGUUGAUUUUCCAACUCGCCCGAGUUGCACCCCUAAAUAGCAUUGAUCUAAGUUUUGUCCUAUAGAGAACAUGGUUUGUGUUAAUUUUACAUAUAUAAAAUAAAUGGGUAAACGGUUACCUGUUUAUAACCGUUAUUUAUACCUAUAACCGUUUAUUUAUCUAAAUAGUUACCUAUAACCAUAACCGUAAAGUUUAAAUAAGUGGGUAACUGCGAUUACAAGGUAUUUUACCCAUAUUCCCAUGUCAGAAAGUAAAGCAUUGCCGUAUAAUUUAAAUUAUCUUAGAUCAGUUGAUUUUAGACCGAAUGUUCACAUUCUAAAAUUUCUAAUAACGUCUGCGUUGGUUGUGAUAUGAGUUCUGCACCUCCGAUAUUGUAAAGCAUUAAAUAAAGGCCCAAUUACAAAUUCAUAAUUUUGGCCCAUGGUUUUUGGGCCCAGAGUAAGGUUGCGUAAUUUCCAGGGUCAAGUUUUAAAUUUGAUGCUUAAAUAGCAAGCCCAACCUUUUGCAAUCUCUUACAUGGGCAUUUUCCAGUCUUUACUUUUCAUUUUCAUUUUUACUUUGGAAUUCUAAUCCUGUAUAACAGUACAUGUGGAAAAUCUAUAUCUUUUUUUCUUUUUCUGCAUAUUCCUGUUUAGUUUUGUUAUUUGAUUUUCUAAUACUUUAUUUCAUUCAAAGGUUAGAAAUGAGCAAGAUUUGUGUGUGGGAGAAAAAAGUGUGUGCGACAAUCAUUUCUCAUUUCAUUUUUUAUCGAGGAGAUAAGAGAUUCAAACUUAAAAUCUCUUCUAACAUUGAGAAGUAUCACUAUUGUACUAACGACUAGUUGGUAAUCUUGCACAUGUGUUCAAAACCAAAAAAUUUCUAUUUUGUAUAAUGAGAUGCAAAAUUUAGAUUGCAACGAAGUUCUUCUUUUUAUGCAUGUGAGAGUGAAAUUGCAAUAAAUCGAACAACUUCAAUUACAUAUAUAAGAGUUUCUUUUCUUGUUUGUUAGAAAAUUUUGUGCAGAACGGUUUCAUAUUACAUAUGUAUCUUUUUACUUUUUAUCACGUAUCUUGUCAGGUGACUUCGCAAUGAGAGAUAGAAACACGUCAAGAUACAACGAUUGUUCCAAGAAAGUUUUCUAGUGGUAUGAGAAAGUUAACGAAAAGGGUUGGGACUUGGGAGGCGUUACGUCGUUAUCUGUAACGGUCUUAACAUGGAGCCAAGAUGGGAUGGUAGGGUUUUCGUGUGCAUGAAGGAUGCAGAUGACCUGAUCUGCCUUUCCCUUUGUGCUUGUGACCUCCUGCAAUUUCCAUAUCGACAAAACUUUUGCCCCUUGAUGGAAAUAUCCAACUUUGUGGGGGCCACCAGUCCAAUCCAUGCAUGGAUCCGGCCCGUUCAAUUUUCAUCGCCAGAAUUCAGUUGAUCACCUUGAUAUCAUGACCUAAUUCAAUCAUCAUUUGGAAGACUUUUUUGUCAAAUAAAACGAAAUAAUUGAUUAAUAUGAUUACAAGAUUAAUUCUUCAUUUUCAACAAUAUUGUAGGAUUUAUUUACUAGAGUGAUAGAAGAUUUGAACUUGAAUCCAGACCGCUUUAAAAACUCGUAAAAAAAUAGUAUCAAUGACCAUUUCCUCCUGUUUUGGAGGCAAAUUUGGUCCACUGUUUUUGUGCAUGAAUAAUGGUUGCCUUUAGUAUUAUUUGCUACUUUUUCUUCAGUAAAACAAUAAUACUGUCACUUUCUAUGAUGCCCAUUUCACACUAGCAUGCCCUGGAAGAACUAAAUAUCUUUUGUCAACAAAAAUCUUCCAUAGGUUGUUCCAAUCCAAGCUAGCCUUGGGUUGUCAUGAUGAUUUUGGUUUUAAUACAAAGUAAAUGGUAUAUAUCAACCGACCAACUGUAUAAGUUACUGUCAGUCGUUAAUAUAUGAACGUUGGUUCAUAUAAAUCUCAUAGGUUCCAUUUGGUGUACGAAAUGAAAGGUUGUGAGUAACAGUUAUAUCCUUAAAGAAAAUAUUGACAAAUUAUGUAAUGUACCCAUCCUGCAGUCCUCAUGUUGGCCAUAACCCUACCCAUGUGCAAAUACAAGUGAACAUAUAUCUCUUUUAAUGUAAUCAAAAUUAAAUUGAAACUUAAAACUUAAAUAAGAUUAGGGUUUUGAAUAUUCUAACGUGCAUGGGUUUGGUGACAUAGCAGGUUUAUUCGGUCCCUCGUACACUAGCAAAAGAGCUUGAAAUUAAUUAAUAUAAUUUUAAUUAAAUUAAAUAAUAAUGAUUAAGCUGAGUAAGAAGGAAGAAAGAUCUCCUAAUUAAUCAUCUCCCAAUUGGAUGCAUGACAGUAGCAUUUGGCCCACGUUCCGGAGUAGGCUCCAUCCUCCAUAACAUGCACAUGAGCUGCCAACCAUUUGGUCUCUCUGGGACCGCAUCAUAUUCAUCUGCAGUUAUUUGGAUUCUCAUACGAUCGACACAGAGAGAGAGAGAGAGAGAGAGAGAGAGAGAGAGAGAGAGAGAGGUUUGCAUUGUGAUGAGUGUGAACCCAUGAGACGUUGCAUAGUAUUAUCUUCUGCUACUAUCCCUCCCCAUUGGUUCUGCAAACCCAACACCAACCAAGAUAAGCGUUAGGCUAGUCGGUCGCCUUACCGCUUCUGGUGACGGUAUACUGUUGAUGUAUGUAUAAAUAAUGAACGACUGAGUUUAGUAUUCAUCUAUCUCUUUUGAAAUACCAAACGUACAAUAUGUGACAUUUGUGUAACAAAAGCCGUCUCCUUAUUCUUAUACUUCCAACACCUAGAGUAGUACGUAGCAGUGGUAGUCUUAUCGCACUUACUGACCUUUUUGUUUCAAUUGAUUCUCUCGAUUGAUAAGUGGCCGGUGUUUGGUCCUAAAUAGAAAUUAGGUUAAAUUAUAAACAUAAUCUUUUUCACAAAUGUAUGUUUUACAAUAAGGUAGAAUAAUUAUGUUGACAAAAUUGAAGGUUUCAAUGUACGAUAGAUUAAUUGGAAUGUAGAUGAUUCUCAGUUGUUGAGGCAUUCACUUUAUUUGGUGCGGAUGUAUAAUUGAUGGACAGUCGUUCAUGCACGUGUGUUUGUAUGAAGAUAUGUAAAGCAACCCUCUAGAUAUGAAUAGACAUAAGGUCUUUGUAAGUUGGGCUACUACUAUAUAGCGAAUUAAUUUUAUGUUGAAACCUCAGCUUUAUUCAUGAUAUCAAAGUAGGGUGUUUCAUGUGUGAAGCCCAACGGCUACACGUGCUUCACAUCACUCAUUUUAUUUUGUCCAUGUGCUAAGCUUAAAAAUUCGUCACGUGAUGAGACGUGUUGGAGUAUUAAUCCUACAUCGAAAAGAAGGAAACUUGCAUUGACAAAUAAGAUACGCUAAUACCCAUAUUAUCAAUUAAUUUUAUAAAUUUUAUAGUAAAACCCAAACAUUUUUCAUAAUUUUCUUUGGAGUUAACUAAAGCCAGAAGUUUGUGGUGUUGUUAACUCACUACCUAGGAGUGGACAUUUUAACCGGUAAAUCGGGUCGAGAAAACCAAAAGAAUCGGGUUUGACAUUGUCACAUUCUUGUUGCAUUUUUUCCCAAAUACCGAAUGUAAUGUGCCAUUCUUGUUACGGACAAGGAUUGUCUGCCCUCCUAGUUGUGGUGCCCUUCUAUGCCCUCCUAUUUUGUGCGGUCACGGUUAAGCCACGUCAACAUUUUAUAUUAAUUUUUUAAUGAGAUAAUAAGACAAAAAACAAUAAAAAUAUAAAAUAUUAACGUGGCUUAACCGUGACCGCACAAAAUAGGAGGGCAUGGAAGGGCACCACAACUAGGAGGGCACCUUGUCCUUCUUGUUACAAAAGCCUCUUUAUUCUUAUCCAAUAGAAGUAGUACGUAGUCUUAUCUCACCUAAUGGUCUUUUCUGUCAAUUGAUUCUCUCAGUUUAUAUAUAAGCUUUGUUUGUUUCAAAAUACAAAUUAGCUAAAUCAUAAACGUAAUGUGUUUCUGUUUGGAUCUUACUGUACACCAUUGAUCUGUUUAAUUGAGGCUGUUGAAUUUUAAUAUUUUUCUUAAAUAUUACUAUUGCUGAUUCGAAUUCAAUAGAGAAAACCAGGCAUUAUCCAUUGCUGGUUGUUUGUUGGAGAUCCAUUUGUUGAUAAAGACUUACUCAAGUGAUGGCAAGGAUUUUCCAACUUGGCUUGAGUAAAGAAAAGAUAAAAGAAGGUACCAUCCAUUUGUGAUAUUAUCCCUUUGGCCAAUUUGAUAAUUUAUUCUUUUUGGCCAAUUUGAUAGUAUUUCCUAAUAGAAUGCUCAGUGUUCAUUAAGAUAAAGAUGGCCAUCAAAAGGCCUUUGGUAGCCACGGUAUGGACUUUACAACACGUUCAAGCGUAUUAGUCCUAUAAAUACAUAAAACCGUGUAAUGAGAAGGCAACCUUCAACUUAACAUACAAAUAUGCCUUGCACAAAUCUCGCUCUAGGCGAACACUUCUCACACUCAGAGAACUAACUAACUCACAUUUUGAGAAAUCACUAACUCUCCACUUUCCUAACUACUUAAAGCUCGAUUGAUUAUCUAUCCAAGUCUCAGCUGACGAGGAGUCCUUGAUUCUUUAAUUGAACGAGGUCACUUUACUAGCUUUCCAACCAAAUUAAGUGUUUUAUGCUUGGUUACUUCUGGUACAUUUUAGAGUUCGGUAUUCUGACGGUUGAACAACAUUUACCAUCAAGACAUUUAUCUCUUUCGAGUACGAGUAUCCUUACAGUUUAACUCCGAACUGAUCAGAGCACUUAUAUUUUCACAAAUAUAGUCGAGGCGGCCGAACCUGGUGCAAAAGAUCAUGAACUUCACAGUGACUAACAACCUUUUUGACAUCACCACCACAUUCAUUCUACUAACCGACCGAGUUCGAUGGCAAGUUAGCACGACCGCAUUCAUCAUAAUGACGUAGUUAGCUUUUUGUUAUUCAGUCUACGUGUAAGUAAACUUGAUAGUUUUUAAGGUCAACAAUUUCACAAAUUGUGCUUUACAUUCUAACAAGUUUUACGAUCUCAACUUAUACUAGACGAAGGCGGACGAUCGAUUGUUAGUUGUUGCUGCGAGUUUCAUUGUGAUUGCGGAUGUAUAAUUGACAUACAAUCGUAACGUGUGUUUGUGGGCAAAGCAACUCUCUAGACAUCAAAAGAUAAGGUCUUUAGUUUUAUUCAGAAUUUGAGGUGUCUAUAUAAGUCACAAAAACCAAGAAACCUCUCGAACUCGUACCUUGGAUGCAGUGGAUGGGUUCCUAUCACAUGGUUGUCGCCAAAGGCAACAGAAGAGUACUCGCUAUAAUACUAAAUUAACAUGGUCCACUAGACGGUGGCUUUCCACCCUUUUUGUCGAUCGUGAGAGUAUGAUUUGGCCAAAUGCACUGUUAUUCUCCCAAAGUCGAGGUCAAUUUAGUAAACUAAUAUAUAGAAGUUUUUAAAAGUCACUAGUCUAGUAGCGGGUAGAGGCCUGUCGCUUAGGGGGGCCUAGGUAAUUUUUUAUUUUUAAUUAAUUUUUUAUAUAAUAUAUAGAUAAAUAUCUACUUAUAUUUUUUUUAAAAUAUAACUGUAUUGAGAUACAUUAAUUAGAAAAUGGAACUAUAUAUAAAUUAUAAAGUAUUAGAAUUGAAAACAUGGGGAAUAAACAUAUAAUGAGUGUUCAUCUCAAUAUUUAACAAGUUUUUUACAAUUUAUUGAAAAAAUAAAAUGUAAAAUGAAAGUUAUCUAUUUUCUAUCUAAAUGAGAGUUACGAUCUAGACGAGCGCCUACGCAGAUCUAGACGCUCUUUCUUAGUUUUCAAACGUCUAGUGAUCAAUCAAAGCGAUGACUACCUGCUUAGCGCCUAGGCAGGCUUAAGCGAAGCUAGGCGGUAAUUUUUAAAAGAAUGUGAUAUAUAGUUAGUAAUGAUAGCUACAAGGAAGAAAGAAACAACCCCACUGUACGAAACCAAAAACACUAAGCUACGAUGUGUUCUUAUCAUCUUAAGUUGUCCUACGAAUAAGUUAUGAAACCUAAUAUUAUGUUGUUGACCUAACCAAGUAGCUAGUAGCUAGUAUCGUUCACAUCAUCACUCCUAAAGUAACUUGAGGUAAAUUAGUUGCAAGAUAGCUAGAAUACAGAUCCGUCAAGGGACAUUUUUGUAAGACACAUUUUUAUUGAAAGCGCUACAAAUUUUUAUCGAAAAUUCAAGUACAUCUUGUUGGAGCAUAACGUGGUAUUGUUUGCAUACAUCAUGUAAAACUUUUACAUGUUAGGAUUUAACAAAGCAAGUAUUUUACGUUUUCAUCUCUCACACUUCAUUGUGAUCGAAACUCAAAAGAAAGAUGAUAAUAAGGUCAACUAGUACCCUAAUGAAUAUGAUUUUUAAUUUUCCGUGUAUUGCAUUACGGUUAAAAUGCAAGAUUUUUCCAAUAUUAAACUAUCAUAAGUAGUGUGUGAUGUCAGAGAUAUUACGAGACGAAGAACUUGCUGGUUCUAGUAUGAAAAUUGUUUUUGAAAUUUUGAUUUAAAAUGAUUCAGUCUUCAUAGGUGUCGGCGGGUUGGAUUGGUUUUUAGCUUAAAAGACCAUUUCUGUCCAUUAAUGUUGGUAGUCAGUUGAAUCAAUUAUUUUUUCUACGUGUUUAAUCUUAAACAAAAUUAAAAAAACGGUUUGUUUGGGGAAGGCUGUUAUUUAUUUUUAUUAAUUUUGAAAAAGUCGCGGUAAAAUCCCGGACAACUGUCAGCAGCUGGAGUCACUGUCAGUCGCGCUUGCACGCCGCCGUAGCUUAUUAAACUCCGGUCACUCACUUCCGCUCGUCUUCCGCCGGAAACGCCCUUUUUUUUUUGCUCGAUCAAUAAAAAUUAAAGUUAAAAAAAAAAGAAAAGAAGAAGAACGUUUCUGAAUUACCAAUCAGCUCUUCAACUUCCAUUGGCCACAGCAGUACAGAGCACUGUGUCUCUCUACUUUCUCUCUCUACACACUCUCUCGUAUACUUUCUCUCUCUAUACAGAGAGAAACACAGCACGAGAGCUCUCUGUUGGUAUUUUUUACGGACGUACACGCGGUUGUGUAGGCGUAGAUUCCUUUGCCCCCACUGCGUCAUAUAAUUUUAUCAAUAAAUAAAUGCCAAAAAGCUCUCUCUCUCCCCGCUGAAACCGCAUUUAUACACAGAGAGAGGGCCUAUUCCUAACGUUUUCCUCAUUUUUAUGUGCUGCUUUGGUUUGCCUAUAUUCACUCCUCCUCCGGGGAUCUCAGCCGUCCUCCGCCGCUCUUGCGAGAAUUCACCGGCUCAGCUGUCACCGGCAAGUUUCUCUCUUUGCUUUGGUAUUUAUUUCUGCUGAAAUUUUAAGCUGUUUUUUGUUUGUAAAGUUGGAAACUUUGCUGUGAUGGAAUUGAUGGGUUUUGAGUAUGUUGAUUUUGUGCGGAUUUUGAGGGCAUAAGUGGGUAAUUUGUGGAUUUUGGGCAGAUGGGCAGAUGGGCAGCUGUUGUUUUAGCCCAGUGCAUACGUGGUCUACAGUGUACUGCUUUUGGAUUUCUGGGGAACCUAUAGAGAAUAAUUGCCAGAAAGAUAUGGUCUUGUAGUGUAAACUUAUUGAUUUCUGGGUGAAAUCGAAGGUUUCAUAUCUGGGUUUGUUUUAAUUCGUUGAAUUGGGGAUUUAUAUCUCGUGGAAUUGGACUAUUGGCGUUAUAAAAUUCUGGAGUUUUUGUGGAAUUUGGAUUUAUGGAGGCUUUUGGAGGCAGAGCUCGGAAUUUCUAUGGUACGAUGGUGCCGGAUUUGAAGGGGGCUGGGAAAAAGAGUUUGGAAUGGGAUUUGAAUGAUUGGAAAUGGGAUGGUGAUCUUUUUACCGCUAGUCCUUUGAAUGCUGUACCAUCUGAUUGUAGGAGCAGGCAGUUGUUUCCGCUUGGGCUGCCGGAAACUCCCUCCACUGCUGGUUUGUCCAACAGUUCUUCUUCUGGUUCGGACGGUAUCUGUCCAGGGAAUGAGAAAGGUAAAAGAGAGCUGGAGAAAAGAAGAAGGGCUAGUUUUGUAGAAAAUGAAGGGCUAACUGAUGAAGUUGGGUCUCUUAAUCUCAAGCUUGGCGGGCAAGCUUACCCAAUCAUGGAAGGAGAGGUACAACAUGGGAAGAAGACGAAGAUAGUUGGGACUACUUUAAACCGAGCAGUUUGUCAGGUGGAGGACUGUAAGGCUGAUCUUAGCAAUGCCAAGGAUUACCACCGACGACAUAAGGUCUGUGAUAUGCAUUCUAAGGCAACUAAAGCGGUGGUGGGAAAUGUUUUGCAGCGGUUCUGUCAGCAGUGUAGCAGGUUAGUUCAAUUCUAUGGUUGUCCUUGUAUGGUGAGAAAUAUUUCAAAUUUUCUUCAGUUAAGUUCUACGUCGUUUAUUCGGUGCUUUCUUAUAGACAUUGUUUCUAGAAGAUGAAAUACAGAGUUUGAUUUGUAAGUUUUAAAAAAAUUAUUUGUUGCUCUCAUGAUUUGGGUCCAUAGUUGUUCAUCACUGUGUUUGGUAUAGUCGAAUUUUGAAGAACUUUUUUGUUGAAUUUGGAAUGUGGUUAUACUUAUGGGCAGGUUUCAUGGCCUUCAAGAGUUUGAUGAAGGAAAGAGAAGUUGUCGUAGACGUUUGGCAGGCCACAAUAGGAGGAGAAGAAAAACACAUCCUGAUACUGUAGUUAAUGGAGGCUCAUUGAAUGAUGAAAGAGGAAGCAGUUAUCUAUUGAUUAGUUUGCUGAGAAUACUCUCCAACAUGCACUGUAAAUCUUUGUGUUAUUGCACAUUCAAUUUUUGGCUGCUUUGCCUGACAUUAAAUUGAUAUGCUAAGUGUAUGUUAAGUGGUUACCGGAUUGUGUGUUGAUUGCCAUAGACUGAUGUCAAAGUUCUUGUGGUCUUUUGCUCUUAGGUUUUGUCAUUAUUUGAUUGAGGCUUGUAGCAAAAUGAUUAUGUCAAUUAACAUUUAAUAACUCCACUCAUAAAUUUUUAUUUGUAAACAUACAACAUAUUACUUGAUGAGUCCUUAACUGCUUAAGGUGCUCUAUUUUUGUGUAUAAAUGACAAAGUGCUAGUUUCUCUGAAUUUAAUUUGAUGAAAAUUUGAAUAUUGAUGCUUACGCAUGAAAAGUUUUCAGUUUUUCAGAGGUUGAUUUGAUAGAAAGUUAGAAUUUUGUGCAGACCUUCAUGUCGAAAAAUAUUUCAAUUUUUAUAAUCCAGAUUACACCUUGUGUGCUUGAAUUUCAUCCCUUGAACCCUUGUUUUUUGCACUUUCUUUCUCUGAUUGUUGGACUGUCCAUAUUUCACAUUCUAGGAUGCAUGAAGGAAGGGCCUAUUAAAGGGAAUUCUAAUUAGGAAUUGUUAUUUAGGAAAUUAUGUCUCAGUGAUCAUGUUAUUAUAAUAUUUAUUUGAUUAUGUUUGUGUUUGUUUUUCUUCUCAUAAGUGUCUUACUCAACUCCACUUUUGAUGCCUAAAAUGCAGCUAAUAGUUCAGAUCAAACAAAGGAUCAGGAUUUGCUAUCUCAUCUUUUGAAGAAUCUAGCCAAUCUUUCUGGUACAGUUGAUGGAAGAAACAUGUCUGCAUUGCUUACGGCAUCUCAAGGUUUAAUAAAUGGCGGGGCAUCAAUUCAGACUGCACAAAAGGUCCCAGAUACAGUUUCCAACGGCUGUGAACCAAGUAAGCCUUCUGUUUCAGCCUCUAAAAUGGAUGAUUAUAUUAAUGGUGAGGACCCUUCAAGACCUAUACGACAGUGUUCUACGGUACCUGCAUCAGAUUUCAGGAGAAUAUCUUCAGUUGAUGCAGAUCAUGGAGGUCUACAAGUUGUUUCAGGUCUAAAUGCCACGAAGCCAUUUCCUUCAAGAGACAGUGUUCCAUCCACAUCAGUUGCACCAGAAGCUACAAUGGGGAGGAUGCAGUUAAAUGGCAUUGAUUUAAAUAAUACAUAUGACGAUUCCCAGGACUAUUUGGACAACCUAGGGAAUUCGCAUGCCCCUGUAAAUUCAGGGACAGUGGCUCAUGGUUUUCCCUUUUGGAUGCGUCAGGAUUCGCAAAAGUCUAGCCCACCUCAGACAAGUGGGACUUCAUGCUCAACUUCAUCAAGUUCUAGUGGAGAUGCUCAGGUAUAUUCUUGUUGUACUUGCAUCUCGUUCCUCGUUAUUGCUUGGUAUAUUAAUGCUUGUAUAUGCCAUAACCUGUCCUUUUCUGUUGGAUAAAAGAAUAGCUUUGUUCUCACUUUAAUUUGGCAUUUAGGUGACAAUGCUUUGCAUUCGACUUGUCCGUUUGUCUAGCCAAUUGAUUGAAAAAACAUGAAGUACUCGGCAUACCUAAUAAAUACUUCUGUUGUGACGUAAGAGUCAAGAUGGAUUCUCUUCUUUUGUAUAGUGCUUUGUAUGUAUAAAUGUGUGCGUAUGCUUCUGCUUGAUAAGGUUUAUAGAGUUGUAGUUAAACUACAGGAGGUUGCAGGCUAUAUCAGUUAGAGUUGAGUAUUUUUUAAAUAUUUUUUAUUAUGAAGGCCAGUGUGUAAAAUGUUACUGCACUGUUACGUCUCUUAACCACUCUUUUUCUGCCGUGUUUCAGAGUCGCACAGACCGUAUUGUUUUUAAACUCUUUGGAAAAGAUCCAAAUGAUCUUCCAUUUGUUCUACGAGCACAGGUAAUAUUUGGUGCCUUGAUUUAAUUCUUCACAAUGUAACUUGUGUUUCCUUGCACAUACAACAAUUUUAUGAAAUAUUUUGAAUAUCCAGAUUCUCAACUGGUUGUCCCACAGUCCUACUGACAUUGAAAGCUACAUAAGGCCGGGAUGUAUCAUUUUGACAGUUUACCUCCGUCUAGAAAAAUCCACGUGGGAGGAGGUAUGUUUCUGUGCUGAUGCCAAAAUGUUGAUUGCUGACCUUGUAUCAGGGAGAUCUCUUUUCUUGUCCUUAAUUGUUAUGUUUGCCUGCAGCUCUGCUGUAAUCUGGGAUCCAUUAUAAAACAACUUUUACAUGCUGCCAAUGAUCCUUUUUGGACAACAGGAUGGGUGUAUACUAGGGUGCAACAUUCUGUAGCAUUUACGUACAAUGGUUUGUUCUCUCUCUCUCUCUCUCUCUCUCUCUCUCUCUCUCUCUCUCUCUCUCUCUCUCUCUCUUAAUUAUUCAUUCAUAUAUUUUCUAGCUCAUUUAGUGAUUUACCAAUAGUUGUGUUAUGAAAGAAAAGACAUUUUAAAUAGUUAUGUCUGUACUGCAGGUCAAGUUGUCUUAGACACACCCUUACCUCUGAAAAGCCAUAAAAAUUGCAAGAUAUCAUGCAUCAAACCAAUUGCAGUUUCUUUAUCCGAAAGAGCUGAAUUUGUAGUAAAGGGGUUUAAUCUUUCUCGUGCCACCACAAGGUAUCCUUAUCUUUCAUUCAAGCUUCAUUAUGUAGACCACUCCAGUGUCAUAUGUUAUUUCUGAAUUAGUAACUAUCAGGAUAACUGGGAAGGAGGAAAGUACUAAGUCCUAGCUUGUGACAGGUUGCUCUGUGCUCUGGAAGGGAAGUAUCUAGUCCAAGAAACUUGUUAUGACUUGAUGGAUGGUGCUGAUACAACCUUUGCGAAUGAUCAGCUACAGUGCCUCAGAUUCUCCUGCUCUAUACCCAAUGUUACUGGCCGAGGACUCAUUGAGGUGCUGUUCCAUUCUUAAUAUAUGUUUUAUAUUUCCUUUGAAGUGUGCUUAUCAUUACUUAUUUAUUUAUUUUUAUUUCAGGUUGAAGACCAUGGUCUCAGCGGCUGCUUCUUUCCAUUUAUAGUUGCCGAGCAGGAAGUAUGUUCAGAGAUUUGUACCCUGGAGGGUGCGAUUGAGGUGGCUGAGACUGCAGAUAACAUCCAGACAGAACCUGAAAAGUUGGAAGCCAAGAACCAAGCGUUGGACUUUGUACAUGAAUUGGGUUGGCUCCUUCACAGAUGUCACACUAAAUUUAGACUUGGUCACGGGGAUCCCAACUUAGAACUAUUUUCUUUUAGACGGUUCAGGUUGCUUAUGGAGUUUUCCAUGGACCGUGAUUGGUGUGCUGUAGUGAAGAAACUCCUGGGCAUUCUGCUUGAGGGUACCGUUGACACUGGAGAACAUCCUUCUAUUGAGCUUGCGUUAUUGGAUAUGAGCCUCCUCCACGGAGCCGUGCAAAGAAAGUGCAGGCCUAUGGUGGAACUCUUGUUAAGAUUUGUCCUAGACAAAGGGUGGCAACAAGUUGACGGGGACGGCAGCAACUUCUUAUUUAAACCCGAUGCAGUUGGGCCCAUGGGAUUGACUCCUCUUCAUGUUGCAGCCAGUACUGAUGGAUGUGAGAAUAUAUUGGAUGCCUUAACUGAUGAUCCUGGAAAGGUAAUUUCUCAUUGUCUUCUUUGACAGUUUUCUUUCUAAUUGGAUGUAAAAAUCAGAACAGGUCUGCAUCAUUAUCCAUUUUUCUCCGUACGUGUUUGACCGUUUGCUCAUACAAAUGACUCAUGUCAGCUCAUUCUGUGUCUCACAUGAAUGUUGAUAUUUCAAAUCGUUGUAUUUUCAAGCAUACAAAUGUUGAUAUCUUUGCUUCUUUAGGUGGGAAUUGAAGCGUGGAAAAAUGCUCGAGACAGUACAGGAUUGACACCAAAUGAUUAUGCAUGCCUGCGAGGCCGCUACACCUAUGUCCAAAUUGUCCAGCGGAAAAUCAACAAGAAACAUGAAAGCGGGCACGUGGUGCUUGAUAUCCCUGGCGUUAUCUUAGACAGCAGCAGCAAGCAGAAACAAUUAGAUGGGCAUAAGUCCUCAAAAGUCUCCAUCUUGGAGACCGAAAGGAUCGAUAUGAAAGCAAUGCAGGCACAUUGCAAGCAAUGUGAAAUGAAACUAGCAUAUGGAAACACAAGGUCGUUUGUGUACAGGCCGGCAAUGCUGUCAAUGGUAGCCAUUGCUGCUGUCUGUGUUUGCGUGGCCUUGCUCUUCAAAAGCUCGCCUGAAGUCCUUUAUGUCUUCCAGCCCUUCAGGUGGGAACUCUUGGAGUAUGGACCGAGCUAAGGCAGUUUACGCGUCUCAAAUUUUAGUUACUCUGGCUUUAGGCCGUUUGUGUUAAUCAUAUGUAUAAACGGAUAACUCAAAUUUUAGUUACUCUGGCUUUAGGCUGUUUCUGUUGAUCAUAUGUAUAAACCGAUAACUCUAUAGGGAACAUAAUGUACCAGUUUUCGUAUCCGUUAAGAUUUCCACGAGAGGUGUUGCACUGUAUGUAUUAAUGAUAGUUCAUAUAAAGCGUGUAUAGGGAAAGAUUGACGUAAAUAGUACUAUUGACCAAUUGUUGAGGCAAUAGAUUGCUGCAUUACUUCCAAAAACACAUACAAACAUUGUAUUCGAUGAGGCGGAAGAUUCGGACUUGAAAAUUCUUUCGCUUUUAAGUCAGCUUUCUUAAACAGAAGACAAUAUUUAGUAGGGCGGCCUGACUAAUAAUUUCUUUCGCUUUUAAGUCAGCUUUCUUAAACAGAAGACAAUAUUUAGUAGGGCAGCCUGACUAAUAAGUAGGUUAGACUACUCUUGCUAAAUUUUAUGCAUUGAGAGUUGUAUUUACGUAAGACUGGAUGGUGACCAAAUACAUAGAAUCACGUUCCUUCAUGAGGGGAUAAGGCUGUCUCACAAAGGUUGGAGCUUUGUGCUUACUUAGAUACAUGAAUCUCGUUCUUUCGUGAGUCAACUUUUCAGGUUAUUCAACUCAAAUGUUAUGAAUAAAAUUGGGCCAAAAUUAGAUCAAACAGUUGUUUUUCUCCAAAUAUUUUUAAUUUGGUCAAAUGCAUGAAUCUCGUUCUUUAGUGAGAUAACUUUUCAUGUUAUUCAACUCAAACGUUAUGAAUAAAAUUGGACCAAAAUUAGAUCAAACAGUUGUUUUUCUCUAAAUAUUUUUAAUUUGGUCAAAUCCAAUCCGAGUCUAAUAUUAACUAGCAAAAAAAAAAGCAGAAAAAUGGAUUUUACAGGCUAAUAAAAUAAUAGGAAAAGGACUCCAGUCACAGAGACACGUUGACUCAUAUUUUGACAUGAAAUUGUUUUCCACUUCAACAAGUCAUAUUCAUGGUCCUUACAUAGUGUACACAAUUAUUACCUUGUUUAAUCUUUUUCAAUUAUUUUGUCGUUUUGAACCUUUUUUCUUUGGUUUAAUUGCCAAUAAUUCAAGCAUUAAAUCUUGAUCUCGAAAUGGAACAAUUUUCCGGUGUACUAAGAUCACGUUCACGUAAAAUUACUGGUUCAUUUAAAUUAUAUUACGUAGAUUUGUUAAUAUUAAGUUUAGGUUAAAUCUCACAAUAAUUAGUAAUAAUAUGACGAGAAUUAAACUUGAAAUAUAUCACUUAUAAUAAAAUAAAAUAUCAUUAGUUUAAAUAUUAAAAUGAUACACCUCGUAACUUGUAACGCUGUUAAUUUCUAAUCGAAAUCAAAAGGAGACGCGUCAUUUGAGGCCACCACCUCUCUCCUCUCACUCUCCCCACUGAAACCGAAUUUACACAGUAAGAGAACCCUUUUCCUAACCUUUUCCUAAUUUUCAUGUGCUGAUUAGCUUUGUCUCGGGGCCUAUAUUCUCUCUGCCUCAACUGCGAUCUCAGCCACUUCUUCGUCAGCUCUCAGUUCUCAGCUCAUCUCCCAACAAUUCACCAACCUGCCGGCAAGUUUCUCUCUCUUUACUCUCUCGCUCUCCUCUUUAUUUCCACAAAAAAAGAUUGGGUCUUUCAGUUCUUUCAGCUCAAGUUUCUUUCCAUGGAGUUGAAAGCAUUGACUAGGAUGUAAUUGUGGGCUUGCAAAUACGGUAUUUUGUACUGACUUGUUGAGAGAAAAACUGGGUAAUUGGUGGAUUUUGGGUUCUGGGCAGCUGUAGCCUGUAGUUUAGCUCCAUUUUUAUGCUGGUGUGCUGUUCUUGGUUUUCUGGGGUUCUUGGAAAGAACAAUUUCCAGAAAUUUCUGGGGCUGUGGUGUUAUUGACUUUUUGUUUUGGGGUGAAAUUUAUAGUUUUAUCUCUGAGCUGUAGUUGUUGUUAUUGUUCAAUUGGGUGUUUGUAUCUGGUGGAGUUUGACUAGGGGGCAUUGUAACAUCUCUGGGUUUUUUGUAUCUUGAUCUAUGGAGUCUGAAUUCGGAGGAAAGGCUUGUAAUUUUCGUGGUGUGAUGGUGCCGAAUUUGAAGGGGGUUGGGAAAAAGAGUUUGGAAUGGGAUUUGAAUGAUUUUAAAUGGGAUGGUGAUCUUUUUACUGCUAGUCCAUUAAAUUCUACACCAUCUGAUGGUAGGAGUAGGCAGUUGUUUCCGGCCAGGCCAGAAACUCCGUCGGAUGCUGGUUUGUCCAACAGUUCUUCUUCUGGUUCGGAUAAUAUCAGUCCGGGGAAUGAGAAAGAUCAAAGAGAAUUGGAGAAACGGAGAAGGGAUUUUUUUGUGGAAAACCGAGAGUUGAAUGAUGAAGCUGCGUCUCUGAAUCUUAAACUUGGCGGGCAAACUUACCCCAUUAUGGAAGAAGAAGUACAAACCGGGAAGAAAACAAAGACAAUUGGGACUACUUCAAACCGUGCAGUUUGUCAGGUGGAGGACUGUAAGGCUGAUCUUAGCAAUGCCAAGGAUUAUCACCGGAGGCAUAAGGUCUGUGCUAUGCAUUCUAAGGCAACUAAAGCGCUGGUUGGAAGUGUUAUGCAGCGGUUCUGUCAACAGUGUAGCAGGUUGGUUCCAUCCUAUUGUUAUUUAUUGUUUGGUUGAAACAUUUCCCCGAUUUUCUUGAAUUAACUUGAAAUACAGAGUUUGGUUGUGUAAAUUUUGUUGUCAUGCGUUUGUUGUGCAUGGCUGUUCAUCAAUCUUCUUACGGUAUGGUUGAGUUCUGCAGAAGGUUUUUUUUGUUGAAUUAAAUGUAACAGGGUUAACACUCGUGGACAGGUUUCAUGCUCUUCAAGAGUUUGAUGAAGGGAAGAGAAGUUGCCGUAGGCGUUUGGCUGGCCAUAAUAGGAGGAGAAGAAAAACACAUCCUGAUACUGCAGUUAAUGGAGGCUCUUUAAACAAUGAAGGCGGAAGCGGUUAUCUAUUGAUUAGCUUGCUGAGAAUACUUUCAAAUAUGCACUGUAAGUACUUGCCUUAUUCAUUGUACACUUCUGUCUUAGUGAAACAUUGUAUCUCAGAUUUAUUUGAAUCCGCAUAUUAUGCCAUUUAUAAAUUGCAGCUAGUAGUUCUGAUCAAACAAAGGAUCAGGAUGUCAUAUCUCAUUUGUUGAGGAGCUUAGCCAAUGUUGCUGGUACGGCUGAUGGAAGAAACAUAUCUACAUUGCUGCAGGGAUCUCAAGGUUUAUUUAACAGUGGGACAUCUGUCCAGACUGCACGAAGGGUUCUAGAUAUGAAUGCUGGUGUUAAUACUGAGGACCCUUUAAGGUCUAAAGGACACUGUUCGAUACUACCUGCAUCAAGAGACAGUUCUGAAUCCAAAUCAGUUACACCGGAAGCUACAAGUAGAAGGUUCCAGUUAAAUGAUUGAUUUAAAUAGUACAUAUGAUGAUUCACAGGACUAUGUAGAGAACCUAGGGAAUUCUCAUGUUCCUGCAAGUCCAGGCACUGCAUCUCUUGGUUUUCCUUCAUGGAUGCAGCGUGAUUCUCAUAAAUCAAGCCCACCUCAGACAAGUGGGAAUUCAGACUUAACUUCUACUCAGUCACCGUCAAGUUCUAGUGGAGAAGCUCAGGUAUAUCCUUGUAAUUGCAUCUAUUCCAUAAUUGCUUGGUAAUAUAAUGCUUAAAAAUGCCUUUGUCGUGGAUGAUGCUCAGCCCACUGUAAUUCGUCUUUUUUUUAAUCUUUUUUUCCAUGAGACCAGGGAUUAAUAUAUCAAUUGUCAUUAAUCAUUAUACGGCGUAUAACUUGUCUUUUGUUUGGAUAGUAGAAUACCUUUGUUCUAUCCUUGAGAGUAGUUAGGCAGUCAUGUAUUGUGUUCUGAACGUGUCUGUGUAUCUUUCCAUGGAUUGUCAAAAUAAUGGCGAGGUUAAGUGCGCUCGCUGCUUGGUUAUGGGAUAUAUGUAAGAAAUGCUUCAAUUGUGACUUAAAGUUGAGAUCAGUUAUCUCUUCCUUCAAACCAAUAUGGCAGUUUACAAGCGCAACCACACACACAAACAUACUUGUUGUGUAUACGUCUUCUUGAUGCUGUUAAUAGAAUUGAGGUUAAAGUUACCUGGUGGUUUCUGCAGUCCUAAUGGAACAUGCAUUAUUUAUGUAAAAGGCCAGUAUGUAGAAUGUAUCUGCAAUUUUACGUUUCUUGACUGCUCUUUUUCUGCCACAUAUCAGAGUCACACAGACCGAAUUAUUUUUAAACUAUUUGGAAAAGACCCUAAUGAACUUCCACUUGCUCUGCGAUCACAGGUACUAUAUUUCCUUUGAUUUUUCUAGUUUUCAAAGUACUUUUCAAAGUAUUUUGGUGUUUCAUUCCACGGACUCCAUGAUUUUUAUAAAUUAUUUGAAUAUCCAGAUCCUCGACUGGUUAUCUCACAGCCCUACCAACAUUGAAAGCUACAUAAGGCCGGGCUGUAUCAUUUUGACAAUUUACCUUCGUCUAGAAAAAUCCACGUGGGAGGAGGUAUUCUCGACUGUGGAUGGCAGAUCCUUGUAUGAGGAAGACUUUUUCUUCAAGUCCUUAAUUUUGACAAUUCACCUCUCCCAGACCCUGAUUAAAGCGGGAGCCUUGUGCACUGGGUACGACCUUUUUUUUUAUAAUUAUUUUUGCUUACAGUUCUGUUGUCAUCUGGGAUCCAGUUUGAAAACACUUCUUGAUGCUGCGGAUGAUCCUUUUUGGAGAACAGGAUGGGUGUAUACAAGGGUGCAAGAUUAUGUAGCAUUUACAUACAAUGGUUUGCCUCUCUCUCUCUCUCUCUCUCUCUCUCUCUCUCUCUCCCCCUCUCAUUUCGUGUGUGCGUACACAUUUGUGUAUUUAGGGUCUAUAGAAGAAUCUUGCUGUUUUAGUUUUCCAUUAUGCUUUAUUGAUUUUGGUCAUGCUUUGUUUUGUUAUUUCUAGUACAUAAUGAGGAUUGACCAAAAACAUUAACCUUAUAUGAGAGAAGCAUUUUGAUUAGUUAUGUCCAUCCUGCAGGUGAAGUUGUGUUAGACACACCCUUGCCUCUUAAAAGCAAUAAAAGUUGCAGGAUAUCAUGCAUCAAACCAAUUGCGAUCUCCUUAUCUGAGAGAGCUGAAUUUAUAGUAAAAGGCUUUAACCUUUCUAGUUCCACCACAAGGUUCUUUCAUCUUUCAUUCAUGCGUCAUUACUUUGUUUUCAAUAUUCCUCUCUAGUUUUAUAGGAUAACAGAAGAAAUACUAAAUUCUAGAUCUUGAGUCUUGACAGGUUACUCUGUGCUCUAGAAGGGAAGUAUCUGGCUCAAGAAACUUGUUAUGACUUGUUGGAUGAUGCGGAUAGCACUGUUGAGGAUGACGAACAACAAUGCCUUAAAUUCUCCUGCUCUAUACCAAAUGUUACUGGGCGAGGAUUCAUUGAGGUGCUGUCAUAUUCCUAAUUGUCCCUUUCCCCCUUCCUCCUCUUGUAAUGUGCAUUUUGAACGAGCCGUAUUUUAUAAGUCCGGAAUUUGUUUAUAAAUCUUCUUAUGAAUACUGAGUAUAGAUUUGUUUCUAGACAGCGCCUUAACUGAAAUCCACGGUUCUCAUUUUAUUGGUCAAAUUUAUGUCAGGUUGAAGAUCAUGGUCUCAGCAGUAGCUUCUUUCCAUUUAUAGUUGCAGAGCAGGAAGUAUGCUCUGAGAUUUGUAUGCUGGAAGAUGUGAUUGAGGUGUCCGAGACUGAUGAUGAUAUCCAAUCUGGACCUGAAAAAGUGGAAGCUAAGAACCAAGCCUUGGACUUUAUACAUGAAUUGGGUUGGCUCCUACAUAGAAGUCGCGUUAAGUUUAGACUGGGUCAAUUGGAUCCCAAUCUAGAUACAUUUCCCUUUAGACGGUUCAGAUUGCUCAUGGAGUUCUCCAUUGACCAUGAUUGGUGUGCUGUGGUGAAGAAACUCUUGGGCAUUCUGUUUGAUGGUACUGUCGACGCUGCAGAGCAUCCUUCCCUUGAGUCUGCACUACUGGAUAUGGGCCUCCUCCACAGAGCUGUGCGAAUCAAUAGCAGACGUAUGGUGGAAUUCUUGUUAAGAUUUGUCCCAGGUUUAACAGGAUCUGAGCAGAAGGAACAAGUUGACAGGGACGGCAACAGUUUCUUGUUUAAACCUGAUGUUGUUGGGCCCAUGGGGUUGACUCCUCUUCAUAUUGCCGCCAGUACUGAUGGCUGUGAGCAAGUAUUGGAUGCCUUAACUGAUGAUCCUGGAAAGGUAAUAUCUCCGUUUUUUGAAUUGCAACAUAAUAUUUUUCUUCUAAUUCUAUGUAGAAAUCACUUUGCGCUGGCUACAACCUCCAUCCCAUCUCCAUACCCAUUUGAACUCUUGCGCCUACAGUUGACCUGUGUCUGUUCUCAUACUGUUUCACACACGUGUUUUGAUGAUUUUAACUCAUUCUAAUUUCCAGCAUGUCAGGUUGCUCACGGAUUUUAGAUCUGUAAUCAUGUCUUCUUUGACUUUGAGCUCUCUCUUUAGCUUUUCCACUGUCUUCUGCCUAAACAAAAUACACUGAUUCCAGUUAUUGAGUUGUAUUUCAAAUUCUCAAUUAACCAAUCCUAGACAAAUUAUGCAGUCUUGUAUUUUCUUUGGCUUGCGAAACAUAUGAAACAUAAAUCACCGUAGAAAAGUUAAAUGCGCCAUUCAAAUUGGUAAAGAAAGCAGCACCCCACAUCUAAAUGCAUGCUAACUCUUUCACAGCUGAAAGCGGCACCCAAAUUCUACAUUCAACUUGAAAUCAAAUAGGACUGCUGUUAAAAUUUUUGACGAUAAAUGAAUUAUGAUUCUUUUCAUCGUUCUAGUUUCAACUUUCAAGCAUGUGUUUAGGACUGCUGUCAUGAAAUUUCUUUAGUGUCAGAUAAUCCAUUCAUCAAGUUGAUAUGGGCGUUUUUUUCUUUAGGUGGGAAUUAAAGCAUGGAAAAACACUCGAGACAGCACAGGAUUGACACCAUAUGAUUAUGCAUGCCUUCGAAGCCGCUACUCCUAUGUCCAUAUAGUCCAGCGGAAAAUCAGCAAUACACUGGAAAGCGGGCAUGUGGUGCUUGACAUCCCUGGCCUCACGUUAGACAGAAAUGGAAAGCAGAAGCAAUCGGAUGCGCAUAAAUCAUCAAGAGUAGCCAGCUUGGAAACUGAAAGGAAUGAUAUAAAAGCAAUCUUACGACACUGCAGGUUAUGUGAACAGAAACCAGCUUAUAGCACCACACGGUCACUUGUAUACAGGCCGGCAAUGCUGUCAUUGGUGGCUGUCGCUGCUGUCUGCGUUUGCGUGGCCUUGCUCUUUAAAAGCAAUCCGGAAGUUGUUUUCGUGUUGGAGCCAUUCCGGUGGGAACACUUGAAGUUUGGUUCAAGCUAAGGUUAUAGUUUACGUGUAUUAAUUUAUAGUGACUCUGGUUAUACAUAGACCAUUUCUUUUCACGUGGAUAGGAGUAUAUUUUCUAUCUGAUUUUUAUAUGUAUAUCUAGGGCCACUCAAGCCAACAAGACUCUUCGCAUUGCAAUGGUCGGAACGUCUAUCGUAUCUGUAUUUGUAUACCUAAGCUUCCAAAAUAAACAUGGGCUGUCAUGGAUUUUGGUCCACCAGGUUUGAUUGUAUUUGUAUUUGUAUAACAGUGUUACAAACUGGAUGACACAUAAUUUCUCUGUUUGAUAUUUCUUUUUUUUUUUUCAAAAUAAACAUUUGGCACGAGGUGAUUCGGUGUUCGAUUAUUAGUGCAUUUACUGUAUAAAUUAAAUUUUAAUUUUAGAAAAUUCAGCAUUUUUGUUGGUUAUAUUGGAGGAAAUCGAACUUUGGUCUACUCUAAUUCUAACUUAUUACCAUACCCUCCUCCAUUAUUUGAGCUCAUAUAAGCAUAAGCACACUAAACAAGGUUAAGUAUAGAAGAAUUUGGGAAUUGAGAAUUAUUGUUUGAGCAUUAUUUCAUGUUUAGUGCAAAUUGAGGUUGAAUUAUUUUCUAAUUUUAUUAGUUUAAUCAUUUGGAUGAAUUUGUUCAUGCUUCCAUAUGAAAUCAUUAUUUUAUUAAAAUAAUUUAUUAAUAGUUCGAGAAAAACUUAAAUGGAGGUGCUCACGUCAUUCAUCACGCAUUCACAUUCACAUUCGUUACACGUUUCUCAUAAAAACAUAAAACUCUUUCAAAUGAAUAGGUUUCACUGAAUUUGGAUAAUAUCCGACUUUACAUAAGUACAAGUAUCAAUGCACAUGAUUCCAACCAGUAAUUAUUAUCUUAUUUGAAUUACUUACCCCGAAUCAGACCUGAAAAAGUGUAAUUUAUUCAAAUUUUAUUUUCUGAAAUUCAAAAAAAUAAAAUAAAAUUUGAGGAUAAGAAAAUAAAGGGUAAAGAGGUCAUUUGCAUGCCCUGCCUCCUAAAAUCCACCUCACUACUCACUACCCCGUCACUGCUCUAACAAUUUUGCAGGCCAAAGCCAUCCAUGGCUUCUUCAAUCUCUCUCUCCUUCUCUUCCUCUCUCCUCCCUCAUCCUCUUCCUUUCAACAAAUACUCCACCGCCACCGCCGCCGCCUCCCAGAAAUCCCAAUACCCCAACUUUAAGCUGCUCCUCCGCGCAUUCGCCAACCCAGCUGUAAGCCGUCGCUCCACUCCAUCUCCGUCUUCCGACACCAGAAAGAGGCACUGGAAGAAAGGUGAAUACCCAGGCGUCUCGGAGACGUCGGCUCCGGCGAAUUACAGAAAAACCCCUGGUCGUUCCACUUCAUCUGAGUCUUCCGACACCAGAAAGAAGCACUGGAAGCGAGGUGAGUUCCCGGGCGUCUCGGAGACGUCGACUCCGGCGAAUCACAGAAAAACCCCUGGUCGUUCCACUUCAUCUGAGUCUUCCGACACCAGAAAGAAGCACUGGAAGCGAGGUGAGUUCCCGGGCGUCUCGGAGACGUCGACUCCGGCGACUUACAGAAAAACCUCCGCUCGUUCCGCUUCAUAUCCGUCUUCCGACAACAGAAAGAAGCACUGGAAGCAAGGGGAGUUCCCGGGGGUCUCGGAGACGUCGAUUCCGGCUAUUUAUAGAAAACCCCCUUUGAAAAAUGUGAAGAAGAAGCUGGACCGGAAGAACAAUGCCAAGGCCUGGGUCAACACCGUCACGGAGGCCCUGUCAGACGCCAUUGACAAGAAGCAGUGGCUCCAAGCUCUUGAGGUUUUUGUCUUAAUCUAAACAAAAAUUAACAAAUUUUUCAUCUUUUUUCUUAUGUGUUUUUAGUUUGGUGAAUGUAAAUUGAUGCAAAAUUUAAAAAAAUGGUAUUUUUAUGCUUACCAAUUUAGUUUCUUGAACCAUGUUCUUGAAAAAUGUGAUCUUUUUAGCUGAAUGAUUUUAGUGGAAUUAUAAUUAAUUGGGUGUUUUUGUUUGGAAAAUGUAUGAUGAAAUUGGGUACUAUUACGUUCAGGUGUUUGACAUGCUUAGGGAACAACCAUUUUAUCAACCGAAAGAAGGGACUUACAUGAAACUCAUUGGUAUGCUUGGAAGGUGCGGCCAACCCAAUCGUGCCCGCCAGCUUUUCGAUACAAUGGUUGAAGAGGGCUGUGAACCAACUCUUGACCUUUACACAGCCUUGCUCGCGGCUUAUUGCCGGAACAAUCUGAUUGACGAGGCAUUUUCUGUUCUUAACCUGAUGAAGACUCUCCCGCAAUGCCAGCCUGACGUUUUUACUUACAGUACCUUGAUAAAGGUUUGCAUUGAUCAUUUGAAGUUUGAUUUAGUUGAGUCCUUGUAUGAGGAAAUGGCUGAGCGGUUGAUAGCUCCGAAUACAGUCACCCAAAACAUAGUGUUGAGUGGAUAUGGUAAGGCCGGGAAGUAUGACCAGAUGGAAAAAGUGUUGUCCGGGAUGCUGGAGGGUACAAGUUGCAAGCCUGAUGUCUGGACAAUGAAUGUUGUCCUUAGUGUGUUUGGAAACAAGGGUCAGAUAGAUAUGAUGGAGAGAUGGUAUGAGAAAUUCCGUGAUUUUGGGAUUGAGCCGGAAACUCGCACUUUGAACAUUCUGAUUGGUGCUUACGGGAAGAAAAGGCUGUAUGAUAAGAUGUCAACUGUGAUGGAGUACAUGCGCAAGCUUCAAUUCCCAUGGACAACCGCAACUUACAACAAUGUGAUAGAGGCUUUCGCGGACGUAGGAGAUGCAAAAAACAUGGAAUACACGUUUGAACAGAUGCGUGCUGAGGGCAUGAAAGCAGACACCAAAACAUUCUGCUGCCUUAUUAAUGGGUAUGCCAAUGCAGGCCUCUUCCAUAAGGUGGUUAGCUGCGUUCAGUUGGCUGGAAAGUUUGAGAUACCUGAGAAUACCACAUUUUACAAUGCGGUGAUAGCUGCAUGUGCAAAGGCAGAGGAUUUAAUGGAGAUGGAAAGAGUUUUCAACCGGAUGAAAGAGAAGCAAUGUCAACCGGAUUCCACAACAUACUCUGUCAUGGUUGAGGCAUAUAGUAAGGAAGGUAUGAACGACAAGAUCUACUACUUGAAGCAGGAGAUUGGUACUGAUGGUAAUCAAAGUGAUCAGAUUAGUGUUGAAGAAAAUCAAAGUGAUCAGAUUAGUGCCGAAGAGAAUCAGAGUGAUCAGAUUAGUGUGGAAGACAAUCAGAGUGAUCAGAUUAGUGAUGAAGGCAAUCAAAGUGAUCAGAGUAGUUUUGAAGAUAAUCAAAGUGAUCAGGCUUUUGGAGCUGAGUCUGGCGGUGUUGUCUAGUUGAGAUCUUUGGAGGCAACAGUAUGCUCCAAAAAUCCCUAAUCUCACAGGGCAAUUCCAUUCCCCGCAGUUCUUCUAAGGCAGCAGCAAACUCUUAUUGUGAAAUUGCCGAUCGAUCAGGUAAUCAAACAUUUCCAUUCUCGGAUGGGUGUUAGCAAUGCUGCUUCCUCCAAUUUUAUGUUUCUGGUGAAGGACUGUAUGGAUUGAUCUGAUAGACUGAUAACCCGGGUGAAACUUUAUGGAAAAUGAUUGUACAUACAGAGUUGAUAAGUGUCUCUCUCCAAACUUGAUGCGAUCUCUAAACUAGCAUGCAAAAUUGUACGACGAUUUGUAAGAGUGUUUAACUGUGUUCAACAGAGGAAUUGCUUUUUGUUAUUGCCUGAAAUGUUUUGAAUGUAACUUCACGUAUAUAUUGUCUGCAGCAGCUGCUGGACAAUCAUAGAAGGUGGUCUGUAAACACGUUGUUUUUGAAAAUUAAUCGCUCUUUUCGGUACAUUUUGUGCUGCUGUUGUUCGAAUGUUUUGGCACUUGAGGCAGACAAUUGAUCUGCAAUUAUCCCAAAAUGUAAGGGUCCAGCUCAACAAAACGCAGGGGUAAUUUGAUCAAAGAUGUAAGUUUUGUUAUAUUGACUUUUGAGUAGCAUUGGUAGUGUAAUAAACAAUAUCAGUAACGUUGAAUAAUAAUAAAUUUUACUUGGAUGCCGGCGUGUGUAGUAAGAAUAUGUCCAAAGUGGUUUGGACAACGACAUGAUGGUGCGUUAACUAAUAUGAUCUUAUCACGUGAUGAGAGAUAAAGGAGAGAUGAAUGUAUUCGUGACCUGGAGGUUAUUCUACACGUAAACUUGUAAAGAUAGGCAAACAGGGUGCUUUUUGGUUGAAACGAAAUGCUGAAUUGUUUACUCUUUCUUGUGUAAGAAGAGAAGACUUGUAUCGUAAUCAGGUACUAAUUGUUGUCUUUUGGUCCCACCUUACCUCACACUAUAAAUAAUGGCAUCUAAACCCGAUUAUUCACAGAGAAGCUUUCACAAAAGCAUAAAACUCUUAUAUUUUGGUUUCACUCGCCUCAAACUAGUCUCCCUCGUUGAAAUAGCUAACCUAGUUAGGAACUGUACACAAGUUUCUCUCGUAUCGAAGAAAGUCAAAGAAGUUUUUAGCUCACAAAAGCACAUAACCCCCUAUAUAUUCCAUUUGAAUCACCAUUUACAAAAUUUGUACUAACUUUCCAGUCGAAGAUAGGAUAGUUUCGACAAGUAUUGAACGGCUAAGAUAACUUUAUUUAUUACAUGAAUGGCUAAGAUUAAAAACAAGGGCACGUAGACGAAUACAAACAUCUUCAAUGAGAGGAUCCACCAUUUCUACCAUUGGAAAUUUAAUUUCCUUACAGAAUAGGCGAAAAGUGAAGCGAAAACAAUCGGGAAAGCAAUGAGAACAAUCGCCACGAGGAAUAAACGAUCGUGAUGGAAGCCAUAGUAGUCUUGAAGGAAGGAAGCAACUGUUUUCUGCUCCCCAAAAAUCAAAAUCUCUUUGUUCAUGUCUCCAUAUUGUGAACUGAGGAGGGCAUUUAGGGACCAUGAUGUAGGACAAAUCCAAUAGAACCAAAUCCACCACUUGGGAAUUUUCUGCAUAAAAUAUAUAGAACAUGGUCCGCUAGGCUCACAGUAAACCGUCAUAUUAAGGGUUUAUUUGGCACUGCUUCUUUAGAAAGAACUUUUGCUUAUAAAUUAUAAGCGCUUUUUCUGUAAGUUGUUUAAUAGAGUUAUGUUGCAAAAAAAGCAGUUGGGAGGGCUUCGCAUACUAAAAGCUCUUAAAGUUUUACUACAUAGUCUUUUGGCUUUUCUAGAAGCAGUCUCAAACAGGGCUAAAGACUAAAGAGAGAGUUAGAUUUAGUUACCGGCCCGAGCACAAGGAAGCCGGAAAAAAGAUUCAAUAUGGUGUAGAUUGCCGUUGCGAAAAUGGAAGCUACUUGCAGGCUUGUGCUAAAAGAAGCUAUCAGCAUCCCAAGGUAUACAAAUUAGAGAAAUGUAGAGAAUGUUGCAUGGAAGUACCAGAAAACCUUAGUAGCUGACCAAUAGUACCCUAUUGUAGGGUAUGUAAUAAUGACAUACAGAAUUGCUUGAACCACUUUGUAAGUUAUUUCAAUGGCCACCUACAACAACAUUCAAAAUUUCGACAUGUUAAAAACCUUUCCACUACAAGCUACGUUAUAGUACCAGUUAAAAUGUACGAACCUGUGCAAACGAAUGAGCGUUUGAUGAGUACAUCCCAGCAAAUCUUUCCCGGUACAGAACUGCGCGCUCAGUAGCCACGUAAGGCAGAACCGUCGAGCAAUUGGUUGUGCCCAAAAAUAUUACAGCAAUGUACAGUAACCCAAGCACGUUGAACAAAUCAUGCUCAUUGUUUCUUGAGGAACAAGAAAAACACAGGAUUUAGCGUUGUUGAGCAAAAAUUGUACAUAAUAUGUAAACAAAUAAUUCUCUCGACAUAAUUUCACCCUCGUUCAUUUUUCGAAGAGGGUUUUAUUAGUUUGAGUUUGAUUCAUUCUAGGUUACGCGCCUAUUAAUUACAACCUUUCUUUUGGGAAAGGAAUACCCUUUGAUUCUAAUAUGAAUAAAUCGUAAUUUGAGGAUUUGGGUGUUUAUUUGAUUUUGUGACUGUAUCUAGGUAGAGCCCUAGAUUGCCUACGUACCCUCGUUGAGGGAUCAAAUCACUCGUAGUUCCUUAUGUGUUUUGUUGGGGUUUGACGCCUUGUGCAGUUUCAGCUCAUGCAGAUGAGGAUUUUAAGCCGUUGGAGCUUUAAUAAAUUUGAUAUGGUUUUAUGCCAUUCUGAAAUUUGAUACGGCUUCGUGCCAGUUAACAUAGCUUCGUGCCACUUGAGAUUUUGUUGCGGCUUCAUGCCAUUUGAUAUUUGACUUUUUCUUCGGCUUUACGGCUUCGUGCCAUUGAAUUGGCUUUGAGCCAUUUGAGGCAGCUUUGUCCCAUUUAAAGUGGUUUUAUGCCGCUUAAACGUUGAGUAAAAUUAACAGGUUUAUUUCUGAUAAACCCACUAAUAUUUUGGCAUUUGACUCUGGCUUGGUACCAUUUCUUACUCCAUGUUUAAUUUUACUUUUCCUUUUUCGUUUGCCCUUUCUUCUGACAAAUUUGUAGAGAAUCAUGCUUGGAAUAAAAAAAAAAUUUCCUCUGUUCCUUCAUGGGAUUUACUCCACAAGGGUUUUGUUCAAAGCAGCAGAAGUGAAUUUAGUUUAUACAAACCAGGGAUUCAUCUUGAUUUCUUGGUUGCGUCUAAAAUUUGAUAUCAGACUGCCUACGUAUCCUUAACGGAAUCAAACCGGCGUAGUUCGUAACUUUUGAGACUCAUCGCGGCUUUGUGCCAUUUGAUACUUGAUAUGGAUUCGUGCCAUUUGAAGUUUGACGGAGCCUUGUGGCAUUUGUGUCUUGUAAAUAUUUGUGAUGAACCCACUUUUACAUUGGUAUUUGACUUUGUCUUCCUUUUCAUUUAUUUUGUCUUGGAACCCAUUUUAUUUUGCCUACAAGCCCGUCACUCUAUUGUUGCCCUUUAUUUUUUUGCAUGGUAGCACAAAAAAAAUCCUUGCUUUCAUAUGGAAAAUAUAAAAGCAAGAGUCAAAGCUCCUUUAUUUUUACCAAUGCCUUUUUCAAGCUUUUAAGUCCCUUGCUUUUCUUCUUUCUUUAUUUUUCUUUUGUCAUUGCCGUAUGUCUCCCUAAGAACAACUCCACUUUUGGAGCCCUUUCUCCAUGCAAUCCACUAUUCAAUCCACCAUGUAAACAGUAAUUACCCUUAAUAAACAGUAACUACUUUUGUAUCUCAACCCUUGCACUUGAAUACCCUUGGCAAUAGGCAAUAAAAUAUUAAUUUUUAUAAUUAAUAUUAUAUUAUUUAAUUUGUACAAAUUAAUAUUAUAUUAUUAAUUUAUCUUUUCCAAUCUCUUCCCGAAACUUCUACCAUUUUUGUUUUCUUCUUCCUUCCCACUCUCUCACUCCCCUCUCCCUCAUUGUCUUCUUUUUUUUCUCCGGCCGACAGUCUACCUCCCCUCUCUCUUUUUCUCCCCCAUUUCUCCCUGUUUUCUUCCUCAAACGAGGAAGCUGCGAAUUUUGAGAGAGAGCAGCACCGAACCCACCCGCCUCCCGCCAUGUCUAAAUCCACUGAUGUGUCUUUCUUCCUCCUCAUGGUCCUCUGCGGCCAGGCCCAAAGAGGCCGCCUGCUUCUUUCCGACUUCAACCAAUCAACGUCAUCCGAUCUGAUCUCCGAUAGAGUCCACCACCACCACCGGUCCCACACCCUGGCUCCCUACCUCACUCUCGAGAACGCCCUUUCGGCGGAAGACUCCACCUGCAAGCAGACCUACGUUUUCCUGCCUUGCACCACCACUGUGAUCGACAACCUUUCCUAAUUCCUGACAGAAAAAAAUUAAAAAAAAGGACUGACGCCAGCCUGACGUCAGCCCCUACUCGGGCUGGCAAUUCCUCAUAGACCCUUUGCUCGGGCCUUGGCUGCUGCUUGGGCUUGCUCACGCUGGAGCUGGUCGACAGGGCCUUGGGCUCUUUCUUCUCCCCCCGUCCCUCGAGCAGGAGCUUCCGCUAAAGCUGCUCUAAUGGUUCGAAGAUGAUGGAAUCCAAUUUGAAAUGGCACAAGUUAAAUUUCCAUAAAGAACUCCCAUAACUUUAUUGACCCCUACGUGAGCAACUUUCCAUGUGAGGUGCUGAUUUCAGUUAGCAUUCUUCUUUGAUCUUUUCAAACCCAUUUAAACAUGGGACUUCGAACCUAUCUGACCUAAACUUCUGACCAAUCUGAGAGCAAGCCUUACUCUUUUCUUUGUUUGACUUCAAAGGUCUCCAAAUUCCAAUAAGACUUUAUCCCAUACUUUAAAUGGGGGAACCAUGACUUUCUUUUGUCUUCCACGACUUUCUUUUGUCCUCCACGUGAGUGGUUUUCUUGCUAUGAAGUAAAAGAAGACCACAUCAACAUUUUUUUAACUUUACUUUUGAUUUGACAAAAGCUUUUUGGUCUGGAACUCUUCUUCUCUCCUUAUGAGUUUUAAACAUUUUUUUUUCUUUGUCUUCAACCUUGAAUUUAGCUUUGCCCAACAUUUGACAAUAACUUACUUCAUCUUUGAGGUGCCACGUAUUUAGCCUUUUUUAAAAAAAACAAGCACUUUCUUUUGAGUUUUCUGUUUCCUGCAUGGAUUUGUCUUCACAGGGGUAAAACUAGUCUUCGACUAAAAUCACGAAUCAUCUUUUGCUUGUUGGAGAUUUUUUCUUCAAUUCCUAAUUUAAACAGGAAUUUGAAUGAAACUUGGUCAGUGGCAACUAGCGCCUAUUCUUCUUUGGCUGGGCUUUCUUUGGGUUUCUGUCUCAAUGAAGAACGCCAAAAGUUUUUGAAGAAGACCAUGGCCCGUCGACCGACAGAAGCUUCGGGACCAUAGCUGGGCAUGUUGGGUUCUUGUUCUCCACUUGUUCAAAUGUGCAGAGUGACGGCUUAUUCUCCGUUGCAUCUCUGAAAAGAGGAAGGGAGAUGUCGAAAACUUCUUUAGACACCCAAGAGGCUACAGGAGGUUGUGGGAAGACGAUUUGCUGCUGUGUUUUGAUGAAAUCUCCGUUGGACAUCACAAGUUGCAGGGUGUCGAUGAUGUUGAAGACAUGGCGCAGCUGCUGUCUCUGUUUGGGCUUCCGUCUAACGUCGGCGGUUUAUUGCAAUGUUGCCUUCAUUAGCUAUUUCACACCGCUGCCAUCUUCUUGCUCAAACCUUCGUCAAAUUUGUUGAUGGUCUGGACUGGCGUGCCCAACUACGUCACCUGGUUUCAUCACCUUCGGAUCACGAACUGCACUGCCCUUGGGCUUCUUCCGGAGGACUGACAGAGACGACGGUUGAAAAAUGGUGGUGUUGCCGUAGUGCAGUGAUCACCUAGACCUGGUUGGAACUUCACGGGGUGGUUUAGACCACCCCGAAGAAAUUCAUGGGACUGGGGAUGGGAGAGAAACAAAUUGUUUUUUUUUCUUCUUGCAAAGCCGAGAGAAAGCAUACAAAGAAAGAUUUAGAAGGAUAGAUUUAUACCUUUAAAUGCUUUGUAGCAUUUCCUGCUCUUUGUUCUUGCGGGUAGCACUUGAUAUCUUCUUCUUUUUUCUUCUUUUGUUUCUCUUUUGCCUUUGCUCUCUUGCUUUGCCUCUCAUUCUCUGUUGUCUUCAUUGCGCUUUUCUGUCUCUCAAUUUUUGCAGAGUACCCUUGUCUUUUUUUUUUUUUUUUCUCUUGCUGUAGUUGAUGCCUAUUUAUAGGCAUCCCAAGUAAAGGAUGAUACAUUCCUGAUCUCUUGGGAUUGUUUCCUGUUUCAUCAUGAUUUCCAGAUUUCCCUGUUUUAUUAAAACAUUCCCCUUAUGUAUUCUUUGUAGAUUAAUUAUACUUGUAAAUCAAGUCAUUGUACACUAUUUAAAUCAAUGAUAAUGCACCCUCUAGGGCAUCGAGGGAUUGAGCCAAAAUACCUUCUUUUGAGUUAUCUUUUAUGGUACUCAGAGCCAGUGACUAACGUCUUUUUUUUCUUUUCGGAUUCUUCCUACUCUUCUCCAUGGCUGCCUCAACCAGUUCGACUACUCCUUCCUCCGACAUCUUCCCUUCUGUUUCUCAUGCGAUCUCCAUCAAACUUGACUCUUCCAAUUAUCCUCUUUGGUUGGCUCAGUUGCUACCUGUUCUUCGCAGUCGUCAAUUGUUGGCUUUUGUUGAUGGUACUUCCAUCUGCCCCUCGGCGUUCUUGUCCGACGAUACCGGCAACGCCUCUUCCAAACCCAACCUCGCGUAUGCUGACUGGGUUCAGAAGGACCAGCUUGUUCUUUCUUGGAUCAAUGGCUCUCUUGGUCACCAGGCCCUCGCCGCCACUGCUCGUCAUUCCACUGCCCGUGAUGUUUGGGUUGCUCUUCAGCAGCGUUUUGCUUCUACAAACCAAAGUCGCAUUCUUCAGCUUCGUACUGCUUUCUUCCAGACCAAACGAGGUGAUUCUUCAAUUUCUGACUUUCUUGAUAAGAUCAAUGGUAUUGCCGAUCAAUUGGCCCUUGCCGGGGCACCUGUUUCUGCUGAUGACAUGGUGCCGGUCGUCAUGUCUAAUGUCGGCCCCAAAUUUGAGAACACUGUUGCUGCUGCUCAGGCCCGUGACAACCCCAUCUCCCUUUCUGAUCUUGAGGCUCUUCUUCUCGUUGCUGAACUCCGCCUUGCUGAUCCUCCUGCUCCGCCGGACUCCAGCGUCUCGGCCCUGGUAGCCUCCCGCGGCUCUUCUGCCUUUCAUGGCCGCUCCUCUUCUGAUCGCGGCGGCGAUCGUGGCUCUGGCCGUUUCUCACGUGGGGGUGGUCGUCCUCAACAUGAUGGGUCUCGCAACAAUGGUGGUGACGGCUAUCGUGGCUAUCGCGGUGCUGGUGGUUUCCAUGAUCGUCCGUUUCGCGAUCGUGGUGGUGGUCGUCCUCAGCACGAUGGCUCUCGCUUCCGUGGCUCCAACAAUGCUUCUGGGGUUCUUGGUCCAGCCCCAUAUCACGGUUCCUCCCGUCCUCGCUGCCAUAUUUGCAAUACUUUUGGUCAUGGUGCUCUUGACUGUGCUCAACGUCUUAAUUUGGCUUAUGAAGGUCGUCCUCCUUCUUCCCGUCUCACUGCCUUGACUGCUCAGCACUCCCAGCCUUGGCUCAUUGAUUCCGGGGCAAACUCGCAUAUCACCAAUGAUCUCAAUACUUUGUCUCAGUCCCGUGAUUAUCGUGGUGGUGAUUCCGUCGGUGGUGUCGUUGGCGGUACAGGUUUGCCCAUUAACCGUAUUGGCUCCUCCACUCUCUCUCAUAAUAAUAUUUCUUUCAAGCUUAAUGAUGUUCUUCAUUGUCCGGAUGCUUCUACUUCUGUGUUGUCUGCUAAUCGGUUUAUGUUGGAUAAUAAUUGUUAUAUUACAUUGUUUCCUUCUUGUUUCUAUAUUCAGGAUAUGGAGACGGGGACGAUUCUUUUUUCGGGCAAGAGUAGCAAUGGCUUUUAUCCCUUUUCCUCUUCAUCACCGACUGCUCAUGGUCGUGCUGCUUUUCUUGGUGUUCGUGUUGGUAGUGAUGUCUGGCACUCUCGUUUAGGCCAUCCAUCUUCUUCCAUUUUAAAAUUUCUUUUUUCUAGGCAUUCGAAUAAGUUGCCUGUUUCUGGCAACCUCAAUCUCAAUACUUUUAUGUGUCAUUCUUGUCCUUUAGGCAAAAGUGUUAAGUUACCUUUUUCUGCAUCAUUGUUUGUUACUCAAGCUCCUCUUGAGCUUAUUCACUCCGACGUGUGGAGUGCGUCCAAUAAAUCUGUUAGUGGUUUCCAAUAUUAUGUUCUUUUUGUUGAUAAUUUCUCUCGUUAUUCUUGGAUUUAUCCCAUGAAAUUGAAAUCUGAAGUCUUUAAUAUUUUUACUCACUUUAAGACCUUGGUUGAAAAUCAAUUCUCCACUAAAAUUAAGAUGUUUCAGUCCGAUGGUGGGGGCGAAUACACUAGUCACCAAUUCAAGAAUUUUUUUCUUCACCAUGGUAUUCAUCAUCGUCUCUCAUGCCCUCACCAUCCCGAACAAAAUGGUUUGGCGGAACGCAAACAUCGUCACAUUGUCGACACUGGACUUACUUUAAUGGCCCAUGCGUCGAUGCCUCCUGCCUAUUGGGCUAAGGCCAUGCACACAGCAGUUUAUCUUCUCAAUCGCCUCCCCUCUAAAGUACUUGGUUUUAUGUCUCCUUAUCAAAAGUUGUUUCUUAAGGAACCUGAUUAUAGUUUUUUAAAGACCUUUGGGUGUGCAUGUUUUCCCCACCUACGACCCUAUAAUAAUAAUAAACUCCAGUUUCGUUCUACUAAAUGUGUUUUUCUUGGUUACUCUCUCAAUCAUCAAGGUUCUCGGUGCUUAGACAUCUCUACUAACCGCAUCUUUUUAUCACGCCAUAUUGUGUUUGAUGAAGGUAAUUUUCCUUUCAAGGCCAUCUCUGGCUCUCUUGCCCCAUCCUCCCCGGCCUCGUCUCCUCCUCCUGUUUUAGAAAUCACUGGGCCUCUUCCGCAUGCCCCCCGACCGUCUAGCAGCCAACCGGUGGUUGUGUCCCCCUCUUUGGAGACUCAUCAAUCCAGUCCAUCAUCCGACCCACCACAGCCGGCCCUACAGGUUUACUCCCGUGACCCUCACAGGCGGGUUCUUUCUUUUGCACAAGCAGCAACCCCAUCUGUCACUCCCAGGCCCACGCCUGCUGUUGCCUCUGCAGUUCAACCUGAUGCGCCUCCCGAGGCUCCAUCUGCUGCUGUACCACCUGCCGUGCCCUCUACUUCCCAUGGUAUGCUCACUAGGUCCAAAACGGCUUCUCUUAAGCCUCAUAAAUAUGUUUUUUCUGCUGCCAUUUCUUCUUCUACCGGUCCUAUUGAGCCUACUUGUUUUAGUCAGGCCAACACUUUUCCCGAAUGGCGUACUGCGAUGGCCGAUGAAUUUAAUGCACUUCAACGUGCUGGUACUUGGACUCUUGUUCCUCGUACCGCUUCUAUGAAUAUUUUGCCAAACAAAUGGGUGUUUCGUAUUAAACAGAAUUAUGAUGGGUCUAUUCAGCGGUAUAAGGCUCGUUUGGUAGCCAAUGGUUUUCAUCAGCAACCCGGCCUUGAUUAUGGUGAAACUUUUAGUCCUGUUGUCAAUCACUCUACUAUUCGCUUAAUUUUGGCUCUUUCAGUUCAGUUUCAAUGGCCUGUUCGUCAGUUGGAUGUUCAGAAUGCUUUUCUUCAUGGCUCUUUGUCUGAGGAGGUCUAUAUGCACCAACCUCGUGGCUUUGUUGAUCCACAGUUCCCUCAUCAUGUGUGCCGCCUUCGUCGUUCUUUAUAUGGGCUCAAGCAGGCGCCCCGUGCAUGGUUCCAAUGUUUUUCCACUCAUUUGGAAGAUUUGGGUUUUCGUCCCUCUACUGCGGAUCACUCGCUUUUUACCUAUAUUCAUGGCUCUACUCGCAUUUAUCUCUUAAUUUAUGUUGAUGAUAUUUUGGUCACCGGGAAUAAUCCCUCAUAUUGUCACCCUCAUUAAGAAUUUGGGCAUCCGUUUCUCUAUGAAGGACCUUGGACCGGUUCAUUAUUUCUUAGGCAUGGAGGUGGUCCGCACUCCAUCAGGUCUCUCUCUUUCCUAACAAAAGUAUGCCACUGACCUACUUCACCGCACCAAAAUGCAUGGUGCUAAGCCGGUUCCUACUCCUGCCGUUAGUGGGCGACGGCUCAGUCUUCAGGAUGGUGACCCUCUGCCGGAUCCUAUUGAAUACCGAAGUGUUGUCGGCGCCCUUCAAUACUUGACUCUCACUCGUCCCGACAUCAACUUCGCCGUCAACCAAGUCUGCCAAUUUCUUCACCAGCCGACUUCUACUCAUUGGGCCGCCGUCAAACGCAUUCUUCGUUACCUUGUCGGCACUACUUCUCACGGUCUUACCUACAAGCCUGGUUCCUUUCGUCUUACAGCAUUUUCCGAUGCCGAUUAUGCCGGGAUCCUGAUGAUCGGCGUUCCACCGGGGGCUAUUGCUUGUAUCUGGGUUCCAAUCUUGUCUCAUGGAGUGCCAAGAAACAAAAUGGGGUCUCUCGGUCCAGCACUGAAGCCGAGUAUCGUCAACUUGCAAUCACCGCUGCCACUCUUUCAUGGUUUCGUAUGCUGUUCCGUGACCUCCAGUUUCCUCUACAUUGUCCUACACUGUUUUGUGACAAUAUCAGUGCUAUAUCCCUUGCUUCCAACCCGGUGUUUCAUGCCCGCACUCGGCAUGUUGAGGUGGAUUACCAUUAUGUUCGUGAAAAGGUUGUUCGCAAGGAGAUUGAUGUUCGUUAUCUUUCUACUCAUGAUCAGAUUGCUGACUUCUUCACCAAGGGCCUUUCUCUUCCUCGUUUUCGACUUCUGGUUUCCAAGCUUCCUGUACUUGAUUGUACUGUCAGCUUGCGGGGGCGUAAAGGAUGAUACAUUCCUGAUCUCUUGGGAUUGUUUCCUGUUUCAUCAUGAUUUCCAGAUUUCCCUGUUUUAUUAAAACAUUCCCUUUAUGUAUUCUUUGUAGAUUAAUUAUACUUGUAAAUCAAGUCAUUGUACACUAUUUAAAUCAAUGAUAAUGCACCCUCUAGGGCAUCGAGGGAUUGAGCCAAAAUACCUUCUUUUGAGUUAUCUUUUCCCAAGAAGGCUCUAGAAUUUGUUACGUGGGGGAAGAUGGAGACCAUGACCUCCUGCCACUUUCUGUUAACCCCCUUUUCUGACUCCACGUUUCUUUUUGUUGCAGAAAAUGGGGGAGCACCUGUUUUUUGCACGUUACUUCCCCCCUUAUGUAGGAAAAAAAUUAUAAAUUUUUUAUUUAUUCCUGAAUGUAUUUGUAUGUAAAGCUCAUCCUCAUCUUUUGGGUUGGAUUACAUUUUUGUUUUACCUUGAAGUUUGACUCAAUUUGAAUGGACUUUAUUUUUUCAUAUUUUUUUUGUUCAACAAGCGUAGUUUUCUUUUUCUUUUUCUCUGUGAAAUAUAUAGUAUGAAGAGGGUGGAAAUGGGUCGGGGCUUACAUUUCCUUCACUUUCUGCCAAAAGAUUGUUCCGAACCACACUGAUAGAGCGAAAAUAAACGCGAAACGUGCUAGAUUGUACUUUGGACUUCUCCAGUGGGACAAGUGUUGUUUCCACAGACAUGCCUUAAACUGCACCCAGCUAUUUUGAGCAAAAGGAGUGGGAAGGUUCAAGCCCCUUGAACCCGGCUUUGGUUCGCUCAACCGGCUAACCAACUCGACCGUGUCUCUCUGAAAAAGAAGGAAACAAACAUAUAAAUUUGAUGAUUGAAAUAAAUACAUGAUUAAUCCUAAAAUAAUGGAAAUAUUAGAGAUAUGCCCUUACCUAUACUGAGUAGAGGGUUUAUAAAUUUCAGCAAAAUCUAAACAAAGUUUUGCCUCUACUGAGGCAGAAGUAACUUCUAACAUCCAAGUUGCUGGAUUGUAAUUUUCUUUGAUCUUUGGUACAUCACGAAUAUCCUCAAAAUAUUUGACGAGUUUACUCGAGUGAUGACCGAGAACUCCAGAAUAGAUGAUUUGGCCUCCCCUUUUCAUCAAAAGUAACUGCAAAAAUCAAUGUCUUCCGUUAGUGAUCGAGUGGCUUUUAUGAUUUGGUUUAGUUUUCUUGGACUCCAUGACAAUGCUCGUUAUACUACCUCGUCAAAUGACUGAAAAAUAUCAAUGCUUGGCUUGUGGAUUGUGCAAACAGUUGUCCUUCCUGUGGAAACAACAUUCUUUACUACGCAAAUGGCAAUUGCAGCUGCUCUGGCGUCUAAGCCUGACGUAGGUUCAUCCAUAAAUAUUAUUGAUGGGUUGGAUACAAGCUCCACUGCAAUUGUUAGCCUUUUGCGCUGUUCAGUAGAUAGGCCAGUUUGUCCAGGAAUGCCAACUAAGGAAUCUCUUAUAUCCUCCAGUUCAAUCGUUUGAAUGACUUCCUCCACAAAUUUCUGCAUAGAUUAAGCAAAGGAUACUUUCUUUUAUAUGUUCCAGGAAAUUUGCAUAUUAUUGAUAAAUUGAAAGAAUAUCAUCCUACAGCUUUUAUGUCUGGAUCAGUUUCGUGUGGCAACCUCAACCAAGCUGAGAACAUAAGCGAUUCUUCUACCGUGAUCUGUGGAGAAUGUAUAUCAGUCUGCUCGCAGUAUCCUGAUAUUCUUGCAAAUGUCUUCUGGACCUUGGGGUACCCUCCGAUUCUUAUAUCUCCCACGAUACUACCUCCUGUUUCCCUUCCAGAAAGAACAUCCAUGAGAGUUGUUUUUCCAGCCCCAUGCGGUAGGAAUUCCUGGACUGAAUGCUCCUGUUAUAUCUUUAAGCAACUGAAGCUUUUUCUCCUUGAAAGCAUGCUGUCUCAUUUCCUUUUUUAAGAAGGAAUGAAGUUAAAAUACAACUAAAUAGUUUUCCAAUGAUACUAAUAUGUGAAAAUUGACUAAUGAUUUGAUUAAUUACCGGAGGUGUAUCAACAUAAUACUGCACGUCCUUAAAUGAGAUUGUCAGUGGCUCGAACGGCAGGACCAUUCUCCCUGUUUAACAAAUUGAUUUACUCUCGAAUAAUUCAGUUGUUAAAAAAAUUCCUUGCUCGUUGCUUUGAAUGGAAAAUGUGAAACUGAUAACCCGGAUAAACUGGAUGCAACAAUUCAUCUCACCUAGUGUUAUCUUUUCUCCCAUGGUUUUGAAUAAAUCGGAUAGAGUUGAUUCAUUUUCCAACGGUGCACCAGUUUGGGUUAAUAUUUAACAUUGGGCUUAUAGGAGAGAAAGCCCAAAAGAGUUCAAUAAGAAGAGUUUCGUCCGAAGCCCAGCACCAAGCCCAGACCGUCCAUCUCAAGACCAAUUGGCACUCUCCUAUUAAUGCAAAGGCUAAGUGCUUACAAGAGAAGUGACAACUGAUGAAAAUCAACCUACUCUCAGCCCAAAAGUACUUUUCAGUGGCAAUACAAGUAAAAUAUUGAUGAGUCACUACCAUUCAAUUGCUUUUGGGUAAGAACAAAGCUACAAGCGGUCGGACUAAUUCGUUUAUAAAAGGAGGAAGAGGGCUCAGAGACAAGGACACUCAAUCAAUCAAACAUACAACUUGUCUCUCAUCCAAGCAAAUACCCAGAAAGCUGUGCUUUGUCCAGACUCUGCACCCUUUUAGCCUUAGAUUUCCUUAGAAAGACAUCUUUUUUCUAUGUAAAAGCUCUGCUACAUUUUUCUAAAUGUUGUAGUAUCGAUCCCUCGUGUAUAAACUCGUUUCCAGUCAUCUCCUUUAGUACUCAAUUCUUUUGUAAACUGCAAAGAGAAGAGAUCGCAAGGCGUUUAACCUUGCUUGACAAAGUGAAAUCUUGCCCAACUCUCUUUGUUUUUAUCUUUCAAUUAACAAAUAUGGUGUUAUAAUGUAUUCCGUAGUUUAUAUUCAAGUUAUUUCCAGUCCUUUGAUGACCCAAAGCCCCAUCAGUUCUCAGAUCUGGUUCACUUAGUGGUUUUAUCAAGAAUUGAAAUGAAUUAAACUGAUGACUUGAUCAGAUCUAAGCCUUCACCCCUCAAGCAUACAAAAUAACUAAAAGUCUUUGAUCUCAAGGCAUAGAAAAUAACUUAAUGUAGACUUAAUCCAUCUACAACAAUCCUUUGAUAAACAAGAAGUCAGAAAUAACUUGGGGUGCAAGUAAUCGGCUUAAAACACACUUGUUCUACAUCUGCCAUACAGAGAUGGCAGUGGCACGCCUAAGCACCUAGUUAGUUUUGAAUGCGAGCCUCAAGGCCUAUACCUAAGGCCCCACAAAGGCACCUUUCAGAACUAACUUUGUUUUCCUCUUGCAGUAUUGUGACAAGCAGGAGCCCAACAAUCAACCAAAGUGCCAACUCCUCGGGCAGCUGUGUGCUCGAGCCAGGAACGCCCACCAACCAGAUUUCCUGCCCAAAAAGCACCAGUUUUGCGAGCUCCCCUUCUUCAAAGUUGAGAUAAUCUUUUUUUCGAAACAAUAGCCCGAUACACCUUUGGAGCUGUAUGAGGAAAAGCUUAAGUAAACUGAUGUGGAGCUGUAUGAGGAAAAGCUUAAGUAAACUGAUGAAGUGGAUUGUAAUACUUAAGUUAUCAUCUGUCAAUUAAAAUGAAUCUAAGUAAGUUAAUGCUAAAAUAAAUCCAAGAUCAGACAGCAUUGUGAACCCGAGUAAUGCUCCUACUGAUAUCCAAUAGAAAUAGCCAUCAAAGUUCAAACCAUGCCUGGUUAGAACUUUAUUCCCUAGGGUUGUGUUUCCCUCUGAGACCUAAAGAAAUGAAUUAACACUGUCAAAACACUUAUUCGACUUCGAUGAUCGGGUACUAAAAAAGUUUAUCAUCUUGAGUUGUACCUUUUGCCAGCGAGGAGCGAGGAACUCGUUUAGAGUUGUACCGAUUUCCCCAUAAGUCAUAGGUGAACACCAGAAUAGUCAACGCAACCAAGGAGGUAAAGAGGCUGCAAAACACCCCUUAUUAGUCUAGUUGUAGUUGAAUGUAACUAAAGGAAAAAUACGAUAAAUGGACUUACAUCGUGGCAAGAUGAAGCCUCCGGAUAAAAACAUUAGCACUAGGAUUAAAAUACCGCAAGUUGAUGCAACAACCAUAGUUUGGAAAACUACAGCAAUUAAACGACAUAUGGAUGUCGAUGCUUGAUGGAGAGCAAAUAGCACAAGGAACUGGAAGAAGAACCUAAAAACCAUAGCAUAUUCUUGAGGCAUUAUUAUGAUUAUUGUUCAAGCCUUUCAUGUUCUGUCGUGUGACUAUAAAGUUGAGAUCUUACGUUUUUAUGUCUGGAGCGUACCCAAUCAAAUGGUAAGUUAUUGCUGUCCACAGCAGUGAAUCAAUCACUGAAAAUGGAACCUUCAGGAUAGACUGGAAGAGAAUACGCCCAUGCUGGAUACAGAUUGAAUCCUCUUUGCUUGUAAACCACUGGUAAUCUAGUAACAGUCACAGCUCUGCAAUUCCGUUGGUCAUAAGUCGAAUAAGUGUAUAAAACAAUGAGUUCAUAAAAAAACUUGCAUUUAUCAAAUCCACGGUCCUACGGGUGCUUAUACAGAUUGCCAUUGUAAUAAAUGCAGUGAUGACAAGCUGUGGGAAAAAAAGAGAGAAAAUAUAGUAAGUGAUUUUGAGUUUAACUUCAGAAGUACAACCCCUAAAAGUGAUAUCAUUAGGCAGUAAACCUGAGCUGUUUUGAAUACGUAGAGAAAGGAAUUCCGUUUCAUGAGAAGAAGCUCUCGGGCCAUACAACCUUUGAACAACUCCCAUUUGCUCACAGAGUAAGUACUAAAUGAUAAGGCAUUAUCAUGGCACUGUGAUUUAUUGUAUGGUUUUGAGAGCUCAUCGUCUAAUUUCUUCCCCGAGUAACUUGCUCUGAAAAGUUCAAAAAAUUUGUUUGCAGAAACAUGACCGUAGGGAAUGUUAUCAUGCUUCCAGUAUUGUGCUUGAUCCUUCUUUGAGAUCACCUCUUGAAGGAAAUCUGCAGCACCCUUUCUUGGUGGGCACUUGAAACCAGAGUCUUCGAAAAACUCAACUGCGUGGCUGCGAUGACCGUGGUAAACUAUCUUCCCCUCUGCCAUUAGUAUUACAUCAUAAAAAAUAUCAAUGGUCUCGGGUGCUGGUUGGAGAAGUGAUACCAAUGCAGUUGUAUCUGUGAUAUGCACCAGCUGCUGAAGAUAGGUAACUAUCUGAAAGGUUGUAGAACUGUCUAAUCCCGUUGAUAUCUCAUCCAUAAAAAGAGCUUUUGUAGGACCUACAAUCAUUUCUCCUGAAGAUUAAACAGAAGAGGAAUGUUAUGUUUGAAACAUUUUUCUACAUGGGAAUUAGUAAUUACAUUCAAAUUUCCCUCGGAUUCAAGAUUUCACUACCGGUUGUCAGCCUUUUCUUCUGGCCACCAGAAAUGCCUCUUCUUAAUGCAUCACCAACCAUUGUGUCACUCACUACACAUACCCAGUCCAAGUAUCUAAAGAGAUUCCAAAAUAUCGUAAUUCAUUUUUCCUGUCCGAGUGAGUUAGAAAUGUCACGUUUGAACUACUUAAUGUCAGCAUUGUCCAUGUCCAACACUGGUUGGAGAAAAAUUUACCUUCAAAACAUAAUCGGUUUGGAGAUUUUCCCUUUGUCCUUCAACUGAAAUGGCCUGUGAGUAUUAUGUAAAUCUCUAAAACCUCUAACACAAAAGGGUGGUAAGAUUUACUAAAAGGAAUGUUAUGAGACUUUACAAUUACCUUCAUGUAGGUGUCAAUAUCUGGAUCGGGGACUAUUCCUGCUUCUUUUUCCCUUCUGCUGAGCUCCAUUAUUAUAUAUGCAUAAAAUACGAUCGAAAUUAAACUUCAUACGUCAAUAGAAGUACACGACUAACCCAAUAGUAAAUGCAAUAGGGGAUAAGGAAUAUGCACCAGCUCUACUGCCAACACCCUGGCAGCGGGAGGAAAAGUCAAUUGUUUCCCUCAGUCAUCUCAGGCAGGUGAAGGUCAUGCUGGCUAAUGUAAGCUGAUGUUUUUUGGGGAACAAACUCAUCUAGCUUGUAACCAUUAUAAGUGUUGUAAACUGAAAUAGAAAGGAACGAAGUUACCUAAAAAAAUGUAGAAGCCUUGAGUGGUGAAUGAUUAUUGGGAUGAGUUGCGGACUAAGUCGCUUUCUUUAAGACGUUUCGCGGCUCUACCCAAAGUGUGCAAGCAGUUCACAAACACCACAUCGUCCUAGGAUAAAACAGCCCAAAACCUUCUUCUUCUUCUUCUGAUAAAGUUCUUCCUUGUACAGUAGAAGAACCUUCGAAUUCACAUUCUCUCAAUAUGUUGCUAACCAAAACUAUAUAUUAGAAAAUAUAUCUUCUUUUUUUUCCGCAUACUUUCAAUGAUCCAGGGACUACUAUAUAUACAUUUAGACGAAAGAGAUGUUGAGGGUUUGAGAAAAUUGAAAGCAGGACAAAAUCAAAACGUAAGUCAAAUAAAACGGUUUGAUUAUGUAUCAUGACAUGAUCUUCUUCUCUAUACAAAGAAGGAAUGGCACGUUUCAAACUUAAAAGGAGAUAACUCCUUACCUAAUUGAAAAGUCAAAAUCAAUUGGCAGUUAUGCAUAGAAUAUUGGUAAUAAAACAAAACGUUAUGUAUAUAAUAUUGGUAAUAAAAUAAAACAUAAAUAUAUUUAAAUAUUUAAAUAAAAACAUAUUUACUCAACAAUCCCCCACUUGUUUUUGUUUAAAACUAUACAUCAAGCAAUAUAUCGUAAAGCUAUACAGAAGUAAAUGUGUUUCUCAACUUAAAUCUAUACAUAGUGUUAGUGAUCGAGAUUAUACUAGAGUAACUUAUAGUUUUGAACUCUAUCCCUAACAACACCACACACACAACUUUAUUAAGGUGAAGUUCAAAAAGCCAGCACAUUACAACCAUGUGCUUGUAUCCCAGUAUAGUGAACGCUCUAGAAACUUGCUCAAGAUUUCAUAGGAAGCGGCAUCACUUCCACAUUCACAUAGUUAAGACUAUCAAGGUAUUCCUGUAGCUAGAUAUCUCACUUAACAUAGAGUAUAGACCUUACUAAGAGAAAAAAAAAUCUCAACCUAAAUACGCUUCAGGAUGUCAUGCUUCUUAGGGAUGGACAUGGAAUAAUAUUCCAAACUAAAAUUAGCAAGACUUCACUCUUAUCACUUGUGACUUGUUAUUACCCUUUGAACCUAUUUCUUGGGAUCUCUAGUCUAUAGGUUGGGUUGCUAUCACAAAUAACUCAAUUCUCUAGGGCUUUAGUCCCAUCCCUUUCGAGGUUUUCCAAACCUUUUCUCGUGCUAGUCCUUUUGUCAAAGGAUCAACCAAGUUUUCUUCAUACCGUAUAUGAUCCACUCUCACAGCUCCAUUAGACAGGUAAUCUCUUACAGUGAUGUGCUUACGACGUAUUUGUCGCCCUUUCCCAUUAUAAUAAUGAUUUUGCACUUUAGCUAUUGCCGAUGUGCUAUCACAAUGGAUCAAAACUGCUGGAAUCGGUUUCUCCCAUAAAGAGGUAUCUGACAGUAGGUUUCUCAACCAUCCUGCUUCUUCGCUUGUCGUAGCUAGCGCUAUUAAUUCUGACUCCAUAGUGGACUGAGCCAUGAUAGUAUGUUUCUUAGACUUCCAUGAUACAACCCCACCACCAAGACUAAAAAUACAUCCACUAGUGGCUUUAGAGUCAUCUGAAAGGGUAUUCCAAUCAGCGGCACUGCAACCUUCUAGGACAGCGGGAAACUUCUCAUAGUGUAAUCUAAAAUUCAUUGUCCUUUUAAGGUAUCUCAUAAGCCUAUCUAUGGCAUGCCAAUGCUCCAAACUAGGUCUACUAGUAAACCUGCAUCAAACUCCUACGACAUAAGAUAUAUCAGGCCUAGUGCAAUCAGUAGCAUAACGAAUGCUACCAAUAAUACUCGCAUACUCAGAUUGUUUAACACUGUCACCAAUGUUCUUGAACAAUUUUACACUAGGAUCAUGAGGAGUACAUGCUGGUUUACAAUCAAAAUAAUUAUACUUUCUUAAAAUUGUUUCUAUGUAGUGAGAUUGAUCUAAAGAAAACCCAUGUUCAAACCUAGUUAUUUUCAAACCAAGUAUUACGCUAACUUCACCCAAGUCUUUCAUAUCAAAAUUAGCAGAUAACAAAGAUUUGACAUUAUUCACAACAUGAAUAUUCGAACCAAAAAUAAGCAAAUCAUCCACAUAUAGGCAUAUAUUACUUUCAGACUUAUAAUAGAUGCAUUUGUCACUUUCAUUUAUUUUAAAACCAUUUGAAGUAACCAAACUAUCAAAUUUUGCAUGCCAUUGUGUGGGAGCCUGUUUCAAUCCAUAAAGUGACUUAUUUAACUUGCAAACUUUAUUUUCUUUUCUUGGAAUAAUAAAACCUGUGGUUGACCCAUAUAUAUUUCUUCCUCUAAUUUACCAUUUAAGAAAGCUGUUUAACAUCCAUUUGGUGCACAACAAGAUCAUGAAUAUAAGUUAAGGCAAACAAUACACGAAUAGAUGUUAUUCUAGUCACAGGUGAACAAAUAUAAAAGAAAUCAAUCUUUUCUCUUUGUCUAUAGCCUUUGGCAAUAAGUCGGGCUUUAAAAUUUUCAACUGAUCCAUCAGGUUUUAAAUUUUUUUUAAGAAUCUAUUUGCAACCUAUUGUUUUGCAACCAGGUGGAAGAUCCACCAAGUGCCAAGUUUGAUUUGACUCCAGGGAGUCCAUUUCAUCAUUUAUAACUUCUUGCCAAAAAAUUGCAUCUAAAGAAGUUAAAGCUUCUUGAAUUGUAUUAGGAUCUUCUUGUAAGUUAUAUACAUGGAAAUCAGGGCCAAAAUCUUUAGCUAUUCGAGCUCUUUUACUUUUCCUAGGUUCUAAUGCAGAUUGACUAUGUUUUACAACAUUAGGUUCAUAAAUUUUAGAAGAAUUAGAACCCCCACUAUUUUGAAGAUUAAAAGGAAAUUUAUUCUCAUAAAAAUCAGCAUCAAGUGACUCAAUUAUGACAUGGUUUUUCAAAUCAUAACAUCUAUAUGCUUUGCUAUUACAUGCAUAACCAAUAAAAACACAUUCAUAUGCUCUACUAGCCAAUUUCGAUCUUUUUGGACCAAGUUUACGAACAUAAGCUAAACAACCCCAAGUUUUGAAAUACAAUACAUUUGUUUUCUUAUUUUUCCAAAUUUCAUAAGGAGAGAUAUUCGAUUCUGAGGUAGGAAUUCUAUUUAAUACAUAACAUAUAGUCAACACAAUUUCACCCCACCAAUAAGAAGCAGCUCCAGAACUAAGUAGCAACACUCAAUUCGCAAAGAGUUCGAUUUUUUCUUUCCGCUUUACCAUUCAUUUCAGGAGAAUAAGGAGCAGUAGUUUCAUGAAUAAUUCCAUUAGACUUAAACAAAUUAACAAAUUCAAUGGAUUCAUAUUCUUGUCAUCUAUCACUACGAAAUCUUUUAAUCUUAUGAUUAAACUGAUUUUCAACUUCAGUAAAGAAAGUUUUGAACAUGUCAAUAGCUUUACUUUUAUUUUUCAUAAGAUAGACAAAACAGUAAUUCAAACAAUCAUCAAUAAAGGUAAUAAAAUAACGUUUUCCAUUUCUAGUUAACACUCUAUCAAAUUCGCAUAUAUCAGAAUGAAUUAAGUCAAGUGGUUCAGAUUCUCUAUUGACAGAUUUAUGUGAAGUUCUAGUGAUUUUAGCUUGACUACAAUAUUCACAUUUUUCAAAAUCAGUCAACGAUAAGUUAGGUAAAAAGCCUAAGUUACUCAUGUUCUUAACCAAGAGUUUGUUAACAUGACAAAGUCUAGCAUGCCAAGUAUUAAAAGAAGACAACAUGUAAUCAGAAGUAGACAUUUUAUCAACAUUCAAUUUAAACAUUCCAUUAGUAGCAUAUCCCUUUCCCACAAAAACCCCAUUUCUAGUAAGAGUAUACGUAUUUGCUCCAAACGUUUGAGUGAAUCCAGCCUUGUUGAGAAGUAAGCCUGAGACCAAAUUCUUCCUUAUUGUUGGAGCAUGCAUCACAUCUUUCAGUAUCAUGGGUUUUCCAGAGGUGAACUUUAACUCCACCUCUCCAGUACCAGCAACAUCAGUUGAGUGCGAAUCACCCAACAACACAUUUCUUCCCUCAGCCAUAGAAUAGGUCUUGAAAAGAGAACGAUCGUAGCAAGCAUGGGGAGAAGUGCCAGUGUCCACCCACCACCCACCACCCCUCGGACUAAGUUGAUUUCUGAUAUCAUUGCAAUUAGUUGCUCUUCAACAAGAUUUGUUUGAGAAGCAAAGUUUUCCUUAUAAUGCAUGGCAGAUUGAAUUCAUCUUAAAAUUGUUGUAAACUGAAAUAGAAAGGAACGAAAUUACUCAAAAAAAAUGUAGAAGCCUUGAGUGGUGAAUGAUUCUUGGGAUGAGUCAGGGACUAAGUCACUUUCUUUAAAACAUUUUGCGGCUUUGCCCAAAGUGUGCAAGCAGUUCACAAACACCACGUCGUCCCCAGGAUAUAACAUCCCAAAACCUUCUUCUUCUGAUGAAGUUCUUCCUUGCACAGUGGAAGAACCUUCGAACUCACACUCUCUCUCAAUAUGUUGCUAACCAAAACUAUAUAUCAGAAAAUAUAUCUAUUUUUGUUCCGCAUACUUUCACUACUAAAUAUACAUUUAGACGAAAAAGACGUUGAGAGUUUGAGAAAAUUGAAAGCAGGAAUAAAACGGUCUUAGGUCCGAUUCUCGCCGAAGGCGAAUUUGAACCACUAAACCGUAGCACUAAGUGGCUCCUAACAAUGUCUCUUAACAAGUUUAGAGGUAUUUGUCUUCACUAAUAAAUGAAAAGCGUUUGAAUUUCAUGAAUGACAAGUGCAAUACAAAAUUCAAAUUAUCAUGGUUCUUCCAUUAUAUGAUUUAACCAAAGCAUACCAUCUCUUAGUGUAAAUAUAUCAUUGAACUAUCAUUGAAGUAGUUCCAACAUUCGUAUACCAUCUUAAUUAUCAAUUUACUAUUACAAAAUUUCUAUUAAUUUUUCUUUACAAACUAAAGUGUUAUUAGGCUAAGUUGUUAAAUAUUAGGAGAUGAGUAGGGAUCGACCCACCGCCAAAGUACAUAUAUAGGUAUUACUGUUUUCUGCUACUAUGAUAAAGUGUAAUAUACUUCUAUAUAUUAAAAGAAAAUUCACUGAUACAUUUCCACAUGUAAACAUUCAACAUUGGACAUAUAUAAUAUUUUUCCCUACUUCUUUGGAAAUUUAAUUUUCCAAUGCAAUAGGCAAAUAGGGAAACAAAGACAAUCCCAACUGGGAAAGCAAUGAGAACAAGAGCCACAAGGCCUAAACAAUCAUGGUGGAAACCAUAAUAAUCUUGUAGGAUUAUUUUCUAUUUAAAAAACGUAUGUGAACAUACACAUUAUUUUCUAUUAUAAUAUGUGUAAGUUUAUGAAGGGAAAUAUUCACUAAAAUGAUCAAAAAUCAAAUUCUGAUGCCAAAACAAAAUCAAAUAUUGUCAUACUGAAAAACUAAUCAUUUCAACAAAUGAGAUUCAAAUAUUUGAUUAUUUUGGCCAAUUUUCCUGUAUUGAUACCCUAACCUAAAGUAUAAAUUACUUGCACAUCCAAAUUAUAACACAUGAAUUAACAACACUCCGUCAAUUAGACUUGUGUUACAUGUAUUUACACGGUUAUUGUCAUUCCAAGUGCUCAAAUGCUAAUGGAGUUACACAAAACCAUCAAAUAUUAGAAAAGAUUGGAUUCAAGAUAUACUAAGUAUAAUGUACAGAAUGUUGCAUAUAAAGUACCAGAAAACUUUAGUAGGUGACCAAGAGAACCCUAUUGCAGGAUAUGCAACGGCUACAUACAAAACUUGUAACAUUGUAUAAUGUAUUUUAAUGGCAACAUGCAACAUUUAACACUUUACACUAUAUUUGGAUGAGGAAGUUUAAGAUUGCUAAGGAAAUUUAAAGUAACGGAAAUUGAAAUGAUGGAAUUUUAUUUUAUAGAAUAUGUGAAUUUUCUUGUUUGGUUGAGGAAAAUAAACUUGGAAUUUAGAUAAAAGUCAGAAUUUGUAAAUUGACAUGCACCAGUUUCCUUGUUUGGAUUCAUAAACAUAUAUAGGAAUUUAGAAUUUUCGGGUGAAAAAAAAACUUGGAAUUUGGGACCUCCAAUUCCCAAGUUUAAAUUCCAUGUAAAUAUGUAUCAUUUCCCAAUUUCUAUGAUUGAGUGCUUAAAAAUAACAAAUUCCGUAAUCAAUUCCAUUUAUUUUUAGGUUAACCAAACAAGAGAAUUCACAAAUUCUAGAAAAUAAAAUCCUGUCAAUUCAAUUUCCGUCAUUUUAAAAUUCCUUAGUAAUCUUAAAUUUCUUCAUCCAAACAUAGUGUUAAGAACAAUGGAAUUUGAAAUGAAAUUUGUUAUUUUAAACCCUCAUUCAUGAAAAUUCAGAAAUGACACCAAUUUACAUAGAAUUUAAAAUGGGAAUUAGAUGUCCCAAAUUCCAAGUUUUUUUCUCAUGCAGAAAUUCUAAAUUUCUAUGUUUAUGAAUCCAAACAAGAGAAUUGGUACAUGUUAAUUUUUAAAUUCCAGCUUUUAUCAAAAUUCCAAGUUUAUUUCCCUCAUCCAAACAUAGUGUUAGUUUAAAACUGUGAAGAUUUUGAUUUAUCGAUUACAAACUAAAUAAGUACUUGAAUUCUUAGGCACUUCAACGUAUGAACUUGUGCAAAUGAACAAGGUCGGCCCUGAGAUUUUGAAGGCCCGAGCUAAGCUACCAAAUAGGAGCCCUUUAAUUCUUAGGCACUCCAAUUGGUUGUAGGUUCAUAUACAUUUUAUUUUUAUAGUAAAUACUCAUUAAUUUAUUAUUAUAUCGUACUCUUAUUUAAUUAAUAAUCAACAAUAUGCUAAAGUUUUAAGAAGGUGUUUGGACCCAAAAUUACAUCAUCGGCCCGUGCAAUCAAGGCCGUUGAGUAGGCAUAGCUCUCAAUCGUCGGAUAAAAAAGCAGAGAUAAUUUUGUUAUUAAAGGAUAAUAUUAUGGUUUUUAUCAUAAUUAUCUUUUAAUGAUUUAUCUCGACAUCUUCUUAUGAAAGAGGGAAAAUAUAUCUCCAAGCUGGAAACACGCAGCACAAUUCAAAGCGAUUUGGAUGUUUGGCGUGUGGAUGUGGUUUGGAUCGGUUUUAGUUGACAAAUAUGCAUGCAUGUGAUAAGGGUGAAGUAAAAAUGGUGAUAUGCUUUGAAAAUGAGUCUACAUGUGUUGGUGAUAAGAUGGCAGCAACUGCCUUGCUGACAAUUAACAUUGGGUAUUUUAUGCUAAAUCAUGCAUAUUGGUAUAUGCUUUUGUAUUGUGGGCCAGCAUAUGUUUUUUUUUUAUGGAGCCAAAUUCAUUUAACAAUGGAUAUUUGGAACAAUAAGAAGUUUAAGUAGGCAUAGGCCUUUGAGAGUUUGAGUUUCAGUUGGUUUCUACGAAAUCAUCAAGGCCACGCCAAGCGGGAUCAUGCAUAUUUGAAAGAGAAUAUUCCUAUUAUUUUGCAACUUACGACGGCAAUCUUACGGUUAUAGAGGCAAUGACAACAUAAAGGUGGUAUUUCGAAUUCAACACACAAACUGCCAUGCACAAACUCUUGCUCUACGCGAAACCUCUUAACAACCUUGAGAUUUUUAUUUUCCUUUUUCGCCAACACAUCUUCAGUUUGGAUAAAUAGCACUAUGAAGGCAACCGGUGAACAUCUUCACUUUGGAUAAACAAUACUAUAACCGUAGAACCAUUCGACCAUGAAGCACCUUUAGUUUGGAUAAACAACAUUGCUCCGAGACCGAUUGAUUACCUAUCCAAGUCUCGGUCAAGAAGAAUUUUCAAGUCCUUACUAGUAGAGAUCAUCUCAUCAGCCUUCUCGACGAAGUGAGGUGUUACCAGGUUACUACAUUCGGCACCCUGAGAGCCCAAUUUGAUAUUGAACUUCGUAGAACUAAUAGCCUUGUCUUCAGGUUCUAGAACCUGAAGGUCGAGACGUGUUCAUUUCUCGACCGCAGUCGUGAGAUUCAGAAGUCAAUAGUGCGCCCAAUGCAACAUCAACUCAUUUUACUUACCGGUCAAGCUCGACCGUCGAGUUGGCAUGCCCCACACACAACCGAAGGACAUAGUUAGCUUUUUAAUUACUCGGCUUGUGCGCCACGUAUACUUGAUAGUUUUUAAGAUCAACAGAAGGUAAAGAGCAAUAAAAACUGAUUAACGAAUUUAACAAAUUUAAUAGCGCCAAUUGAUCCUCUUGUAUUCUUCUUGAAAUCAAUUUCACAAUAACGAAUAUUAGAAUCAUGAGAUGAUUGAUAAUAAAUUAUUGAAACAGAGAAGAUAUAGCAAAUAAGAUAAGGUAGCUGGCAUUUGAUAGCGAUUUUGCUUGUAAAACUACACUUUUUGUCCAUCCAGAAGAAACCCAUUCUUCUGUUACAUGGCUUAACCGUGACCACACAAAACAGGAGAGCACGGGAAGGGCACCAGAAGUGGAGGGCAAACAAUCCUUGUCCGUGCUUUGUCCAUCGAGAAUAAGAAAUUGUAGGGACUAGGGGCCCAUUGCUCUUUUGAGAUGCAAGUUAAGGGACCUAACAAAGGGAAGUAAAAAGCAUUGGUAGGACAAAACAAGCCGUUUUAGGAAAACAACUUGGGGGAAGAUUCUCUCAUUUCCUAAUCUCUCUCCCAUUUUCUCUCCUUCUAUUUGAACGGUUACGGUUUAGCUACGUCAAUAUCUUAUAUAUAUAUUUUUAGAGACGAUAAGACAAAAAAUAAUAUGUGGGAGAAGGGAAAAGAAGGGGAUGAGAAUAGGAGGGGAGAUAAUUCUCUUCCAAACAACUUGCCUAUACAAUUCGGAUUCUAAGACGGUGGUAUCCCAAACGAAUCUCAUCCGACUAUGUGUUUAAACAUUGCACAUGACACCACGUGAUUGUUAAAACAUUGUCACCGUAGUGUAUUGUACAUAUACAUGAUUGUUUUGAAGUAACAUCAUCAUUGUGACAUAUUCAUGACGUAUGCUUAUCUCGCCGACUAGAGUUUCAGAUUCCUAACCAGGCGGGCAUAAACGUGCUUACAGCCUAAAAGGCCUUAACCUCAUAGAUCUGAAAACACAUUUCUGUCGGAGAAAUUGUCAAGAAUAAGAUACGAACUAGAGUUUACUCCGGGCAAGAUACCUGAGAUUUUUAGCCGUUAAAGUCAUUGAAUUCUUGACCAAUGAUCUAACAGCUAAGUUCACAUUGUAUAACCGAGGCACACUACAGAACGUAGAAAAAAAUAAUGGGGAUUAAAACGCUUCAUUGGGUAGAGGGAUAAGUGACAAAACAAUGAGAAAAAACACAUCAAUUGUAUUAGAAAUGCAACUUGCCAAUGUGCACAACAACAAAUGAACAUAGUUGCUACUCCACCGCAAAACCACCUCUGUGUCUGUCAAAUCUUAUUAAUCUCUGCGAGCAGAGGUAGCAAAACAACCUUGAAAAAAAACCCCCCACAACUUUCCAUAUGUUUUUUUUGACACCCCCGUUAACCCCUCAUAAUCAUAAACUACUAAUGACACAUUCUUCAAAGAACACGAAAAUAUAAAAAUACUAAUAAAAGAAAACCCAAAUGGCGCAAUGCCUGUAUAGAGAGAGAGAGAGAGAGCGAGAGCAGCAGAGGCUUAAUUCAAUUCAAUGUUUUGAUUCGAAGGGGUGAAGACUGAAGAGCCGCCAUUAAAGCUUUAAGCUUGGGGCUUGUCCCACUUGAGUGGCUUGACAACCUCCCAGGUGAAGUCGGGGUCAUCCCUCCCGAA